GAGAGGAUGCUGUUGGUGAUGUUCAUGGACAAUAAUAGUCUCUGGUAGCGAGACCAAGCUGCUGUUGCCACACUGAAGAUGAAAUCUGAUGUUACAUUCAACACAACAAACAUUAAAAAGACUCUUGAUCGCAGAAUUACAUGCUUUGCAUGCGUUUGUGUUUGUGUUUGUGUAUCUGCAAUUAUCUACCAAAGUAAGAAGAUGUUGUUGAUGAGCUUCGUGCUUUAUGUUGGGCUUCAGAUAUGCACAUUCAACAUGCAUCCUAAAGUCACAGUUCCAUGCAACACAUUUGUAGAAGAUAAAUUCCAGAUGGUAUCCACAGACUUUACAGUCUCCACAUUCAAUCAAGACUCUUGAUUUAUCGAUUGUCAAUUGAUGGCCAGGGUGAAACGAAUGGUGGAUUUUUUUUCUGCAACUCAACACAUGAUUUAUGGAUAUGAAACUCACAAUUACGAAAAACCUCAUGGUCAGCACCACCGGCGAAAAAGUAGCUCGGAUCACCAUGAAUGCUUUGGUUGCACAACCAGCAGUUCCCGUAGCCUUCCUUACGAAGGGCCAGGGGACAGGGGAACCAAUAAAGUUCGAUGAUAUGUCUCCCUGAUUUACACGAUCUCUCAUAUCUCUCGAUCAUCUCUUUUUUCUCCAUGAUCUCUCUUUAUCUCGUUGUGUUGCCGAUUUUGUUUUUGUUAAUGUUUUUUUUCACUUAAUUUGAUUUAUGGCCCUUUCUUUUUACUCUUAUAUAUUCAAUAUAUGCAAUUGGGAUAUAUAAUAUUCAUUAAUUAAACUCAUUAUUUCCUUUGCUGAUGCUUCCUGGAAAGUCACCCCUCAACCAACUUUAAUUUGACGUUAAUAAUUUUUAAGUGACAAAUUUCAAUUAAACUGGAAAGUUGUUUUGGCCGAUCCAGGGAGUCUACAUCGUAUAUAUUGAUUAUUAUUUAUUUCGAAGGGGCAAAGUUAACACAACACAAGCAACUCCUCCUUAAGUUGGUUGCGACCUCCUUUAUGAAAAGUAGAACUUCCAUGAUUUUGAAAGCCAUAGUAAAAUGGAAAAUACUUGACUUUGGGCUUCUGAUUGAAUAUUAAAAUGUGUUAGGUUAUCUAAUCAAAUUUAUCUAUGAAAUAGAAUAAAUACAAAUAUAGGAUUACGAUACCGAGAUGAAUUAAUUAGUUAUUUGUGUGGGUGUUGAUGUCUAUAUGGAGAUAUAUAAUUAUUUUUAGUUGCGGACACUUUUUUUUUUAACGUGAACACACUCAAAAAAUAGGAUAUAUAUAUAUAUCCUCUAGUGAUAGCAUUUAACCAGUUAAAAAAAAUACAAAUUUUAAUACUCUCUAGAGGCUCCUAAAUAACAUAAUUUAAUAUAAAAUAACUACUUGGUAUUUAUAAAAUUAAAAAUUUUAAUGAUAAAAAAACUACAUAGUAUUUAUAAGUUUGCAUAAAUUAGUAUUUAUAAAUUUUAUCGGAUGGCAAAAUCUACAGAUCAGAAUGCAGAUAAGAUCCGGAUGCGGAUAAUAUCUGCACGGAUUAUGAGCGAAUAUUACAUAUACUUGAUCCGCAAAAAUUAAAAUUUAACAAUUUAAAAAUAAGAUUAAAUAUUUACAAUUUUACAUUAUAUUGAAAAUUAAUGCAUUUAAUUAAAGUAAUUAAACUAAAAACCAUAAAUUCAUUCUUACUACUUGUUAAUUAAUUCAUCAAUUAAUCAGUCAAAUUUUUGUAAGUCGUCGUUGAGAUUCGGAGAAAUAAAGAGGAUUAAAACCGUUAAAUUCAAUCUUCAAAAUCAGCAGCAACAGCAAUAGCAUGCCAACGGUGGCUACUUGUCUCCGUUCAAAUUAGCCAAGUUGUUAGAUCCAGACGCAUCCUGGGAUAGGGAUCAAUCGGGAGAUGUGUUGCAUUGGAUUCGACAUGUGGUGGCUGUUGCUCUGAUUUUGUACGGCUUGUAAGACAGGAAAAAAAAAACCUAAUUAAAGAAUUGAAUUAAUUUGUAAGCCAAGGAAGAUUACAGAGAUGCAGCCAUGUGUAUUGUGUGGUGUGCUUAGCGAGCCAGAGAUGCAGCGGCGUGCCGGCGUUUGAUGACAGCAAGUGCGGUCAGUGAGGUGAGGCAGAGCAACUGGCGUUCAACGACAGCAAUGCGUGCCCAGCUCUGUGAGGCAACCGGCGUUCGAUGAUAACGACUGCAAGGCAGAUGGCAUUCGACGGUGAGGCAUUUGGGGUUGUUUUCGAUUUCAGCUGCAGCGGCUGCUUGUGAGCGGUGGGGAAGUCGUGAGUGCAUGCGAUUUUAGUUUUAGCUUUUAGGGUUGCUGGGACUAGUUUUUUUUUAGUUUAUAUAUUUUCCAACUGAAAAUUGAUUAAAUUAAUAAUUUAAUUAAAAAUCAGACGGAUCCGGAUAUCGGCUUUCUGGAUGCAAGCGCAUUCAGAUCCGGAUCCGGAUAUGUGCAUAUAGACUCUGGAUCCGAAUCUUUUGUAUCUUUGCGGAUGAUUCGGAUUUUUUUUUCAUCUCUAAUGACAACAAAGAUACGUAGGGUACAAAAUGUCCUUUUCAUUCAAAAGAUUUGAGCCAAUUAAUGAAUUUGUGUUUUUUUUCGAAUAUUUUCUAUUUUACGUCUUUCCCUAUUGUUUUAAAGAGAAAAGAAUAUUUUUAUCAUGGUAUGUUAAAAAUUCAAGCAAUACAGUGGCUGACUACCAUAUACCAAGACUUAUAAUGUAGAAGCAAAGAAAAGUAAUUUUGUACAAGUGAUUUUAAAAUAUAAGAAUUAAAGAAAGUAAUGUAAAAGGAAAAAAAUUAAUUUUGUACUAAUUAUUUUAAAACACAAGUAACUUUGUAAAAGUGAUUUUAAUAGUCACUUAAGACUUAUUUAUUAAAUAUCUGGAGUUUAAAAUUUUAUUAGUGUUAAAUAUACUUUAAAUUUAUUUGUUUAUUCUUUUUGUAACUUAUCUUAUUUUUAAACAUUUAUAUCUAAAUUAAAAAAAAAUGUUAAAAAAUAAACCCUUAGUUUAUUGUUACUUUCCCUUCAAUUUCCAUUAUCUUUUUGCUGAAGAAAUUUCAAUGAAGCCUAAAGAAGCCAAGCAAGUCAAAGUCUGGUGAUAGGAAAGUAGAUCCAAGCUCUCAACACACAUCUACCCUCAAGAAUCACUGUUUCUAUCAGAAAAUUAAUCUCUAAAAUUUCCAGUCAUGGGUUCGGCUUUAUCGUCAUCUUCUUGCAAAUACGAUGUCUUCAUCAACUUUGGAGGGGGGGACACUCGCGAUAACUUCACUAGCCAUCUCGUUGCCGCUCUACACGACAGAAAUGUAAAAACCUUCAUUGAUGAAGAAAUUAGGAGAGGAGAUGAGAUAUCUACUGCCAUUUCGGAUGCAAUUGAAGCAUCGAAGAUUUCAGUAAUCAUUUUCUCAGAAGACUAUGCUUCUUCGAAAUGGUGCUUGAACGAACUUCUCAAAAUUCUUGAAUGCAAGGGAAAAAAAGGCCAGAUUGUUAUACCAGUUUUCUACGAAGUAGAUCCAUCAGAUGUAUGCUAUCAAAGUGGAAGUUUCAGGGAUCCUUUUGUUAUGCAUGAAGGACAGUUCCAGGUGCAUCCAGAAAAUGUACAGAAAUGGAGGGAUGGGCUGACAGAAGCAUCCCUUAUAGUUGGAUUGGAUUCCAUGGAUUUCAGGUAGCUCCUUAAUCUCUUUAUCUGUGAGUUUGAUAAUAUCGUAGUUGUAGUUAAUUUUUAAAAUAAUUAUUAUUAGUUAUAAGAUAGAAAUAAUUAAUUAUGAACAAAAUUAAUAAAGAAUUUAGUAAAGAGUUGAACUAUUGGCGUUCCUCUCAAAUUCUCUUGGAACUGGUGAUUGAGAAAAAGAAAAAAAUAAAACACAUGUCAAAAAUCCCUCUGAUUUUCUUAAAAAACUUUACCUUUCAUCUGUAAUUUUGUUUCUGUUUAAUGAAUAAAUUCAUGUAUAUCUGUGAUUAAUUUUGUAAGAAAUCGAUGAAACAGAUAUGUACCUACAAAAUGGAAAUAAAUUAUUAUACAAAUCUCUUGUGGGCACUAGCAAAUCGAAACAUUUCCCAGAAGCCCAAACGCAAUCGCAAGUAGAUGUUUGCAUCGCCGAACAAUUAGUUCAUUUAUAAUGAAAAAGAGAAGAAAGAUAAAGACAAAAAAAAAAAAAAAAAACAAAUGUGAAAUCCUUAUUUAGGGAGGGGACGUUGAUUUGGUAAAAUCUCCAUUCCCUCCUCAUUCCCCAUUUCUACUUUUAAUUUUUUUCAUUUUAUUUCUUCUAAAACUUGUAGUAAAGACAUUUAAAAUUUAAAUUGUAUACGGCGUGGAUGUAAAUAACAAAUGUGAUAAAAUUUGUGAAAUUAAUAUAAAUAACAACUAAUAUAUACACGUGAAAAUUGCGAAGGUAAUUCUGUUGAUGAUCCAACCGUGUGCCUUCUACAAAUGUGUUCAACUUUGAAGCUCUGGUUUUGCUUAAUGUUAUAGAUCAUCUAAUAUUUUAUUAUUAUUAUUAUUAUUUUUGCUCUGUAGUUUUAAGUACACUUAUUAUCUAUUCCUAAGUUUUCAAAUGCCGUCACUAUUAGAUGAAAUUCCUUUUAUAUCAAAACAGAAAAAUAAAAAGGAAUUUAGAUGUUAUUCUUCUGGAUUUGCUUUUUCUAUUUGUGAGUUAAAUGUGAGUAAAAUAUUUACAAUUAUUAUUAUUAUUAUUAUUAUUAUUAUCAUCGGUGUUUCGGGCUUAAUUAAUCCAAUUUAUCUCAUUGCUUUUCGUCUUCUCAUCUUGUAGGUCCGAGGCGCACCUGGUAGACAAAAUUGUGGAAGAUGUUAGGAAGAAAUUGAAUAUUUCAACCGUCUCACUUGACUUUAAAGAUAUUUUUUCUUUUUUUUUUUCAGACAAUUUUUUUUUUCUUCCUGCCUUCUCCAAGAGCGGCGGUCAACUUGACCGCUCUUUGAAAGAUAUGUUGUCACACGGUCGGCUCACCAUUUUUUGGGAUUUUUUUAAGACCCGUUCUCACUUAGUGACACCACGUGGUCCCUUCUCACUCUCUUUUCUCGUCAUUUUGUCAAAUUUUUUAAGACACGUUCCACCUCAUCCCCGUUUCUUUCCCGAAUAAAAAAUUAAAUAAAAAAAAUUUUCCAUUCCUUCCUACAAUAAAAAACAAUAAAAAAUAGAUAUAAAAUUAUUUUCGUACCCUCUUCAAAAUGAACAAAAUUUCCAAGAGUACCUAUUUUCGUGAGAUUUUUGCUGUCCGUACUUAAAAUAUUCUCUGCUGAUCAAUCGCGCUGCAAUUAUUAAAUGAUACGUCGAAGCAUCGCCAUCACGAGAUCCACAAUCGCAUCAAUAGAUAUGAACAAAAUUUUAUAUUAUCAAAACUCACGGCAUGCAUUUAUAUCAAAUACUAAAUUUAUCGGAAUCAAAUGUGAUUCGUUUAUCAAAAUGUCUGAAUUCCAUUUGUUUAACAAAAUUAAUAAAAUAAUCACAUCAAAUUUGGGUUCGCAGCGUAAAGUUAUCAAGCAAAAAAUAAUCUCACAUUAAAAAAAUAAAGCAAAAUAAAAUAUUAUAAAGUGUUCAACUCAUUAAUUAACAUUCAAAUUUGAAACAUUCUGUCAUCUAAACAUUUAUAUUAUCUUUAUUGUUUAUGAAUUUUUUUUUUUAAUUUAGAUGGCAGAUGAACGGAAUCAAUGUGCUCGAAGCCUCAACCCCUAUAUAUGAUUGAAGCUCAUGGUUGAGAUGCCGUGCGAUAGUCGUGGCGGUUGUGCUGGUAAGGGUUGGGACCUGAUCGGACCGGUCUCGGAGUGGGGACGGCGACCCGGCUGCUGCUGCUGCCGCCGCCAUUCUCGGUGCGACUUUUAUGGUGGUGAAAAGUGUUAGUAUCUGAUCGGACCCGUCUCGGAGAAGGGACGGCGGCCCGGCUUCCGCCGCCGCCAUUCUCGGUGCGAGUUUAAUGGUGGUGAAAAAUGUUAGGAUCUGAUCGGACCGGUCUUCCACCAGAAACGGCGGUCUAGUUGCCGCUGCUUCUAUUCUCCGAGCCAGACUCCUAUCAAGAAGAAAAAAAGCAUAAAAAAUCGCCGAUCAUAUAUAACUAAAGCUCCAAGUGUUACUUUUCAAAACGAGUAAUGAGUUAGUUACCUGUGUGAUGUUCCGAACAAAACCAGUAGAGCUGGCUAGAGACUAGAGUAGCGAAAAUAAGACAUAAAACGAGAACAACGGUUACGGUGUCGUUUCUGUUUCCGACGGCCAUUUAAGCAACCGGAAAAAUAAAACAAUGUAGGGGUAUCUGUGGGGGAAACGCUGCAUUUUAUAAGUGAGAAACAAAGCAUAAAUAAAUAAUAAAUAAUAUGAAAAAAUGGUGGCGACGUGGAACGCCGUUGAUAACACACGUAUUUUCCAGUAGCCAUCUUCUUCGGUUUUCUGACAGCGACUCGUUACUAAAGACAAAUAAACAUGAGCUCAGUAUAGGAUUAUCAUUUAGUUAGGUAGAGUCAGGAUUUUUCUCUCUAGCAAUUUGCGACUCUAUCUGGUCAGAAAGGGUGAUGGAGACCGCCACCGCAGCAAUCUGCAGACAGCGACAAAAAUAUGAUAAAACUUUGGAGGAAAGGAAAAGUUGUGCGCGGCGGCACUAUCACUAUAACCUUUUGACUUCUUCUGGACAUGCGAAUUGGGUUUUUAGGAAUUUUUAAUGAGUACUGGUUUGGUGUUGGGAUUGAUAAAAGGAAUAAAAAACUUUAGUUUCUUUACACAGUAAUUCAAGACAGUGACAACUACUAAUUGUGUAAUUAUAUUGACAGGUGAUUUGACGGCUUUACGUACGUUCCUGCCUAUAAUAGACAUUCUCAUGAUCGUAUCCAAACAAAAUGUUGACCGUAUCCAACUGGGAUCCCUUGACACGUGAAGAAAAUAAUUGACACUUUGACGGGACUUUUAAAGCAAAUAUUUUUUUCUGCUCCAAAGCCCCACCAAAAGACUCCCGACACAAUAGCAGGUUCCCAAAAUUGUCAAAUGGCAGAGCAGAGCAUGAGUGGCUGGGCCUGGGCAUACUAUCUUAGUUGACUCAAUCAAAUUAAUCUCUGUUUUUUUUUUUAUCCCCUCCAUUUAUCUCUCUGUUAUGAUGGAUCUUUGAAUUAAUGGUACAUUUAUAUUUUAUACCUCAUAAAAUUUGUACAUGUUUUCUUUUUUCUAUGAGAAUUUGGUAAACUAAUAAAGAAGGGGAAGAAUGAAUCACCGUGAAUAAGUUCUUGUAACUUGAUUUUAGCAAUGAACCCAGAAAAUUAAUAAAAAAAGAGAGUGAAACCAUCAUUCAGCAUUUCUUGAUCACCACAUGGUUAUAAGUAAGUGAAUCAAAUUUUAGUGAAAAAUCGAGAGUCAAAUUUACCUUUUUAUCAGCAAAUUCGAUCAGCAACUGCGGCUUCAAAAACUGCUUCUCCUUGAAAGAAAUGGAGUAAGAAAAACUGAGUACUCAAAAACUCAACUACUCUGUUUGAAAUUUAAUUCAAAUGUAUCAAGCACAAGCAGUAUAAACAGUCCAACUGCAUGCUAAAAGAACUUCAAAUUUCUAAAUUUUCUAGAAUGUCAAGUUAGACUGGCUACACAUCUUCUAGUGAAGGAACACGUUGACGUCAACCAGCAAAUCCAGCAGAAUAUUCAUUUGGGAGAAAUUCGAAAAAUAUUCAUCAACUAAAAUGUCAUCUAAACAGCUUUCCAUCCUUCGCAUGCUGUCCGGCCCAUGGGACUACAUUUUCGAUUUGGGCCGGUCAUGGAAAGCACCCAUUUAUGCCUCAGAAAAUGGUUCGUCAUUAAUUAGUUUUUUUUUUAAUUUGUAUUAAAUUAAAAAUCUCUGUCUUUAGUACUCCCCCACUACAUAUGUAAUCGUAAAAAACGUUUUAUCCUUAGUAUUAUAUUUAGGGUUUUUAAGAUGCUUAAAUGUGAUUUUGAAAAGUUAAAAAUUAAUUUUUUAAAAAUCGAUAAAUUUUUAAAAAAAUUAUUUUUAGCAAAAUCAUCUUGUUUCUUCAACAGAUUUUAAACAGUGGGGGAAAAGUAAUUUUUUCAAAAGUGGUGAUAUUUGACCCCCUCAAUUUCUCUGAUUAGCCCAUAUUUCUUAAUUAAUCCCAUAAAAUUUUAGAGGAGAUUUGCCAAUUUCUACCCUACAGUAAUUAACAUAUACUAUUUUCCCCCCUGCUGUUUUUAUAAUAGUAAAAAACCCCUGCUGUUUUUAUAAUGGUCAAAAACCCCCAUGACAAUAUAAGUUUAUAAUAUUACCCUUAUUUUCAACUACUCUUUUAUUUAUAUUUAUUAUAAAUUAAAUAAAUCACAUGAAUAGAAACUAAAUAAAAAAUUAAGCAUUAAAAAAAAGAAAUAUAUGUUUUGAUAUGAGAAAAAAUAAUAAUAAAAUUUUUUUUGUACUUAUUUAUUUUGUGAAAAUUUUCUUAUAAUAAAUAUAUAAGAAAGUUAUUAUAAAAUGAUAAAAAAAUUAUUAUAAUAAAAUUUGAAUGACAAAUAAAAAUUUAUUAGAAGAUAAAUAAUAAAAUAUUUUGCCUAUACGUUUUACAUUUAAUUUUAAAAUAUUACAAAAUUUUUAUUAUAAGAAAAUGUUUACAAAAUAAAUAAUUACAAAAAAAUUAUUAUUAAUUUUUUUGCUCAUAUCAAAACAUAUAUUUCUUUUUUUAAUACUUAAUUUUUUAUUUAGUUUCUAUUCAUGUAAUUUAUUUAAUUUAUAAUAAAUAUAAAUAAAAGAGUAAUUAAAAAUAAAGGUAAUAUUGUAAACUUAUACUGUCAGGGGGGUUUUUGGCCAUUAUAAAAACAACAGGGGAAUAAAUGGUAUACGUUAAUUUCUAUAGGGGGGGAAGUGGCAAUCUCCCAAUUUUAAAAUAAUUUUUCUCCUUCAAUACAUACCAUGCAAUCCUAAAUUUACCCUUGUUAUCAUUUUUUUAAAUUCUUUUUAUACUCCCCAUCAUUUAAAACUUCCAAAAUCUAGUUGUUAAUUUUAAUCAUAUUUUGAAAAUUAAACAUAAUUCCCUAAAAAAAUUAAAAUUAAACCUUUGGCAGAUCUCCAACACCAAUGAAUUAUCCUCCUCCUGAUUUCUCCUCUUAGCCAUUGGAUACAUAAAGCUGGUAUUUGACGAAUAAAUAUUUUUCUUUACAUUGAAACCAUUUUUGUUGGGUUAUUUUCUUUUUGGUAAAUCCCACAAUCUUUAUGGCUAACAAAUUAUGCAGUGGGGGUGGGGGUACCAGUUCAUCGUCAUCAUUCAUGAGUUUCCAGCUAUUUCGACUUCUUCUUCCUUACUACAAACUAGAUAACAGAGGUAGUUUGAGAAUUUAAAUAAUUUGAAAAAAUUAGAAUAUCAUAAUGUAAAGACAAGACAAAAUUGAUUGAAUAGCUCUGUUCUUGCAAAAAAAAAAAUUAUUUGUAUUGUCAAUUGUGGGUACUUAAAGCGUAUUUAUCUUUUUUAGUAAUUUCAUAUAAGAAUAAAAUGGAAAUUUACAUUAAAGUAAUUAUUAGGAGCAGGUGAGAGAAAUUAGGUGUUCAAAUACCAUCACUCCUUUUCAAAAUUUAUUUUUGAGAAUCAAUUUUGUAUUUAAUAUAAUUUUAUAUAUAUCCAUCCUCACAUGUAUUAUAAAUAUUUAAAAUCAUCCUUAUUCAAUUAAGAAAUAAAAUCAUUAAAUUUAGUUAGACUAUUAUUAUUGCCAAUUAUAUUGAGAUGGCAAUAUAAAAAAAAUUAAUAAAAUAAAAAUAUUUAUUUUAAGUUUUCCAUUAAUAUAUAUAUAUAUAUAUAUAUGUUCAUAAAUGUGUAAAUAAAUUUUAUUAAAUAUUAUGUUCAUUUUUGUUAUUUGUAUUAUUAUAAUAGUUAUUAAUAUGAUUUAUUCAAUAUAUAUGAUUGCUUUUAAAACUCAUAUCACUUUUAAAAAUAAAUUUUACCGAACGUCUAACUAAUUUAUUUUAUAAUUAUUAUUUUUAUAAUACAAUUGAUAGUAUUAUUUUAAAAACUAUAUAACGUCAUCAAAUUUCCCCAUAAUAAUGUUUUUGCAUUAGACACAAACGUGUGUUAACAAAAGACUUUAGUAUUUAGAUUAAAUUCAUCAAGAAGGUCACUUUGAAAAAAAAAAUCAUUCGAGUAAUAAAAAUAAUUAAAAAAAAAGAGAGUAAAAGGCUUUUAUUAUUAUUAUGUUGACAAUUGCGGGCGGUCAUCGCCCCCGUCAUGCCACGCCAUUCGCCAACUCUCCACAAAAAAAUGUACACCCCAAAUAAGCGGCAAAAGAUUCAAAAGCUAGGGCAACGCUUUGGCUCAUCUCAUACGUUAGUUUUGACUUUUGAGAUGAAGAAACAAGGUAAUUUAAUGAACUGAUUAUGACGGUCAGCAAGUAGAUUUAGUAGCUCUUUCUAGACGAUGAACGUUAUCUUAUCAAGAUUUCAAAACUUGGAAUUUUCUUUUUUUUUUUAAUGUGAAUAUUCUCCAAAUGUAUGAAGAUACUGCAACUAUGACUCAAUGAAUAAAGCUCGCUUUUCGGCUACCGCGUGUUGGAGCAUAAUAUCACAACUGUUGUCGGCCGUGUAAAGCCAAGAAAUUAAGGGCCAAAGACUUCUUUAUAUGUAAACACGAUAAAAUUGACUAGUUGAAUUAUUAAUUACUGUGAACAAGAAAGUACAAGGCAAUUGCAUUGAAAAAUGAAAUUCAAUUUUGAUGGGCUCUCGCUAAUAUACGGCAGUGUUUUUUUGACUCAUUAAUUAUCACGGUCAAACUAAUCACGUGGUGAUGAUUUGGAAUUAAUACAAAUAGUAUGAUACCAUACAAGCUCUCGCUAAUAUCCAAGUCAAAGUGAACUGAAUUUUCUGAUCUCUUUUCAUUUGCAGAAACCAUAGUAUGAUACCAUAUCAUCUGGCAUCUUGAUGCAUUUUUUUUUUCAAUCACUAAAAAUCAAUUGUAAAAAUAGGCGUAAUCUGAAGGGAUUAUGGAUCCGCCCCCUACACACACACACACACACACACAUAUAUAUGUAUGUAUGUAUUGGAAUCUUUGCACUUUUGGAUAAGGGUGAUUUGGGCUGGGGCAACCGCCUCAAUUGCCUAAGCAGAGUCCAAUGUCUAGGCCUAAGCCACCCUUGCUAUUAUCUGCCCUUAUUGUAUACAAUUUGUUAAGAUACGUUUAAAAGCAUGAGGCAUAGAUUUUAGAAGGAAAGAACUUGAAUGGCUAACUAUUAUAACUUUUUAUAAGAUUUAGAGUGGAGCUCUUACAACCCCCACAAAUUAUCUCAUAACCAAAUCUCAGUUGUUGUUAUAUUUAAAAUGAUGAAAUUAAUUUCAAGGAUGUUGAGUAAGCUUAUGGAGGAAAUGUCGAUGAGAAAUCCUUACUCUUAAAAUGUCCAACUUUUAAAUGUCUCUCUUGUGUUAUAUGAAAGGAAUCAAUAAAUCUUUUACUGGAGCUGAAAGCGUCCUACAAGGCGGAUGUACGGUACAGCAGAAAUAAAAUAUAUAUAUUAAUUUUUGUGGAACACACUCUUGAGUUAAAAUAUUAAAUUUUCUAAAAAAAUUGAUAAUGUAAUUUUUUACGAUAUUGAUUGCGGGCGGUCAUCGCCCCCGUCAUGCCACGCCAUUCGCCAACUCUCCACAAAAAAAUGUACACCCCAAAUAAGCGGCAAAAGAUUCAAAAGCUAGGGCAACGCUUUGGCUCAUCUCAUACGUUAGUUUUGACUUUUGAGAUGAAGAAACAAGGUAAUUUAAUGAACUGAUUAUGACGGGUAGCAAGUAGAUUUAGUAGGCCUAAGCCACCCUUGCUAUUAUCUGCCCUUAUUGUAUACAAUUUGUUAAGAUACGUUUAAAAGCAUGAGGCAUAGAUUUUAGAAGGAAAGAACUAGAAUGGCUAACUGUUAUAACUUUUUAUAAGAUUUAGAGUGGAGCUCUUACAACCCCCACAAAUUAUCUCAUAACCAAAUCUCAGUUGUUAUAUUUAAAAUGAUGUAAUUAAUUUCAAGGAUGUUGAGUAAGCUUAUGGAGGAAAUGUCGAUGAGAAAUCCUUACUCUUAAAAUGUCCAACAUUUAAAUGUCUCUCUUGUGUUAUAUGAAAGGAAUCAAUAAAUCUUUUACUGGAGCUGAAAGCGUCCUACGCACUGCAUCCAUUUCAAGCUAAAUGCAGUCAAACAUCAACUGGGACCAUCCUAUAGCUAUCCUACACAUGCAAAGCCGACAUUUUCACACAUAGGGUGAGUUUGAAAUUUCAAUUGCUGAUUUUACUUUGCGGAUGUAAUAAGCUGAUCACUAAAGAAGCAGCCUGGUAUUUGGUAAACGGGUAAAAGCUCGUUUAGUCCUUAUAUUUUGAAGUUAGUGUCUGUUUAGUCCCUAUAUUUUUAAAAAUACCUCAAAUCAUCCCUACCAUUAAAUUAUUGACACUUUUGCCAUUAUCUUUUGUUCCUUUUAACUUAUUUUUAUAAAUUGCCCUUUUAUAAUAAAUUUUUUAGAAAUUAUUAAAAAGAAAAAAAUAAAUUACCAGUUUAACACCAAAAAAUAAAAUAAAAUAAAAUAUAUAUAUUAAUUUUUGUGGAACACACUCUUGAGUUAAAAUAUUAAAUUUUCUAAAAAAAUUGAUAAUGUAAUUUUCUGCUGUACGGCCAAGGCGGAUGUACGGUACAGCAGGAUUCGCANNNNNNNNNNNNNNNNNNNNNNNNNNNNNNNNNNNNNNNNNNNNNNNNNNNNNNNNNNNNNNNNNNNNNNNNNNNNNNNNNNNNNNNNNNNNNNUGGACACUAACCUCAUAAUAUAGGGACUAAACAAGCUUUUACCCUUUGGUAAACUGUAUUGUUAAGGCUGCUCUGGGUUUAAAAAGCAGUGUACAUGCGUUUGGUAAAUUUAAUUAUUAACGUAUUAUUUUAUUAUAUAAUAAAUAAAUAGACAUAAGUUUUAAUUACCUCUUAUUUUUUAGAAUAACACAUAAAAUAACAUAAAGUGAAAAAAAAAACUCAAUUAAAUAAAAUCUAAUGAACUUAUUAGAUCAAAACUUUGAUACUAGAGAUAAUUUGUAGUAGUUUUGACAGUAAUUUAAUUGUGGCGAAAAAUUCUGAAAAUCAGGCCAAGCUAACACACCUUGGACUUGGGGACUUGGGCGGACAAUUACUUAACGCACCUCUACUCGCUUCUAAGCGCACCUUGGGGCGCCAGUCUAACUUUCUUUUCGGAAAACUUCGAGCGGCUCGCGACGAGUGGCCGUCAAAAGAAAGUGGGGAGCUACUAGAAAGAUUCUAAAGCUCGAUUUUUGUAAAGAAAUUGAUUUGGCACCAAUCUCGUCAGCCAAAGGGAAGAAAAUAUAAAAUUAGAGAAAUGGUACAAUCAGCGAAUGUUGAAAUUCCACCUAAACCCCAUACCCCCCCGUAAAAAUAAAUAAAUAAAUAAGUUUUUUUAAAAAAAAGGUUUUGAGAGAAUUCAAUUUACAGAUGAUGAGAUUUUUUUACGUGGGAUUUAUUAACAGAGAGACAAGUAUUCCGAGAGUACUAUAUCAUUUGCUUUUAAGAGAAUUUGAUUUGCUUUCUGGCACGUGCUGGUCGUGUCAAUCGACGGCAACGGCGACAUUAAAAGGCAACUUUCCAACCGUGAUCACCAAUUUUUUAUUUAUUUAUUCAAAUAGAAGUUAAAACAAUUAAGAUUGAAGACUCUGAAUGGUAAAAUAGAAAGAAAAAAGAAAAGAAUACAAUGAUUACCGCUGUAGGUCUUUAUUUAAGAUUAAUUUGAAGAACAAGCUGUUCGGCGUCCAGGUGCUAAUUAAUUAAACCAACUCAUCCAUUCAUCAGUUAAAAUAUUUACACCUGUGUGUGGUAUUAUAUUAUUGGUGAUUAUUAAUCUUUAAUUAAAAGCAUACUUUCCUAUAACAAAAAGCCAUUUUCACCCUCAUGAAAAAGUAUUUUACUAGCGGACACAAUCCUUGUCAAUCUCCCACAGAACUACUGUCAAAGAUUCUUUUUCAAUGCUCUCAUGUCUUCAUAGAACAAAAUAUAUGAGCCAAGAAGAGUUAAGGAAAUAAGGGUGUCUGUCAGAAAAAUGAGUCAUUCGGCAGAAAAAAAAUUAAAAUUAAAAUGGGUGUUGAGGGUAGAAGAAAUAAAUUUUAUAAAAUGGGAAAUUCCCUGGCGUUGGUGAUUAAUUUUUAUAAGGGUGAUUUUUAAAAACCUCCCCUGAGGUUUGGACUUGUUGCAAGUAGAUGGCGAGAAUUGAUUUAUUUGUAAACAAUCUCCCACCGUCAGUUAAUUUUAACAUUGACCGUUAGUUGACAUUGAAAAGACAAUAUUACCCUUAAUAAUAGUUUGUAAACAAAAAUAACUAAAAAAAAACCAAAAUUGUUGGCACAAAAAGCACAAACCCUAUUUUUUGAUAAUUUUAUACUUGUCAAUUCCAAAGAUUUAUAAUAUCAUAGGUAAAGAUUAUGACUAUUUUAUUUUUAAGUUUUUUAUUUUAUCUUUCUUGUAAGAACUUUAAGGAAAUAUAAAAAAUUUAAAGAGAAAUUUUCAAGUUUUUAAUUUUAUAUUUUUUAUGGGAACUUUAAGAAAAUAUCAAUAAUUUAAAGAUGGUAAAAUAGCCAAUAAUUUUAUUUAUUUUUAGUUAUUUCGUUUACAAACUAUUGUUAAGGGUAAUAUUGUCUUUGCACGGUCAACUAACGGUCAAUAUUAAAAUUAACUGAUAGUAGAGAAUUUAUUAUAAAUAAAUUAAUUCUCGCCAUCUACUUGCAACAAACCCAAAUUUCAAGAGAGAUUUUUAAAAAUUACCCUUUUUAUAAUGAAGAGACGGUGGCCGACAAAAGAAAGUGGAGCUAAUGGAAAACUUGGAUUCUAGAGCUGGAUUGUUUGUAAAGAAAUAGAUUUGACACCACUAUAGAAAUUGAUUUGACACCACUAUCUCCGCAAUCAUUGGUAAGAAUAAAAUGUGAGAAAAUGAUGCACUCAACGAAUAUUAAAUUCCACCUAAACCCCACACACCCACCUUAAAAAAGGGGGAAAAAAAGUUUUAAAAAAUAUUUUGAAAGAAUUUACUGAGAGGAUGUGAUAUUUAGGUGUCAUAUGAGGUGGUUUUGUUACAAAUCGGCAUGUUGUAUGUGAUAAUUAUUUAUUCUGAUGGCAAAAAUAAUGUUAACUCGUUAAAAAGUAGUAACAAAAUUGUCAUUUUUCUGAAAUUUUAUUAUUCAUUGUUCUCUUUAGUCCUCUCCAAAUUUCUUUCCAUUUUCUCCAUUAAAUUAAAAGACAAGAAUUAUUACUCAUUUCUAGAAUAUAUAUAUGGAUUAUCACUUAAUAAUUUUUUUAAAUUUUAAUAAAAUUUAAUAAUUGGAUUAGAUUUUAUAUGUAUAUAAAAUCUUAUAUUAAGCAUCCUUGCCUUGCACAUGCUGUAUGGUCAAAUUUGGAGGUAUCGUAUCAUUUCCUUUUGGGUCCGCCUUAAACUUACGGCCAGCCUGUAAAACUUCAUCCAGGCCCCUACACUCUUUAUUAUUUAUAAUUUAUUGAUAAGCAUUAUAAAAUUUUUUGGAUUGUAAAAUUUCAUUUAGUCCCUUACACUUAAUUUUAUUUUAUUUAAACUCUAGAGUACGAAUUCGCCCCCUAUAAUUUUAAAUUCCCAAAAAAUUAACGAUAAUUAUUAUUAAUAAUUAAUUUUUGAAUAAUAAUAACAAUAACAAUAAUUAAAAUAUAAAAUAAUAAUUAUGAUAAAAAUUAAUGAAUGCUUUUAUAGCAAUUGGUUAUAAUUUAAUUCAUUCUGAUUUUGAUUCUAAGAUAAAUUAAACACAUAAAUGGUAAUAAAGCUCAUUUUAUCAUAUUAUCGAUAGAUGAUAAAAUCAACUAACAUUUGGAUGGCAGUUUUAUAUUUAAUUUUUUUUAUUUAGGAAAUGGACGGAGAUAAUUUAAUAUCCAAUAUCUUAUUUAGGGAGGGGACGUUGAUUUAGUGAAAUCCACAUUCCCUCCUCAUUCCCCAUUUCUACUUUUAUUUUUUUCAUUUUAUUUCAUCUAAAACUUGUAGUAAAGACAUUUAAAAUUUAAAUUGUAUACGGUGUGGAUGUAAAUAACAAAUGUCAUAACAUUUGUGAAAUUAAUAUAAAUAAAAACUAAUAUAUACACUUGAAAAUUGCGAAGGUAAUUCUGUUGAUGAUCCAACCGUGUGCCUUCUACAAAUGUGUUCAACUUUGAAGCUCUAGUUUUGCUUAAUUUUAUAGAUCAUCUAAUAUUUUAUUAUUAUUGUUAUUAUUUUUGCUCUGUAGUUUUAAGUACACUUAUUAUCUAUUCCCAAGUUUUUAAAUGCAGUCACUAUUAGAUGAAAUUCCUUUUAUAUCAAAACAGAAAAAUAAAAAGGAAUUUAGAUGUUAUUCUUCUGGAUUGCUUUUUCUAUUUGUGAGUUAAAUGUGUGAGUAAAAUAUUUACAAUUAUUAUUAUUAUUAUCGGUGUUUCGGGCUUAAUUAAUCCAAUUUAUCUCAUUGCUUUUCGUCUUCUCAUCUUGUAGGUCCGAGGCGCACCUGGUUGACCAAAUUGUGGAAGAUGUUAGGAAGAAAUUGAAUAUUUCAACCGUCUCACUUGACUUUUCAGAUUUUUUUUCUUUUUUUUUUUCCAGACAAAUAUAUUUUUUUUUUUUUGUGUAUGGAGGGUGGUUAAUGGUCAGAAAAGCUCUACUUGCACACAGAAAGCUCUAAUACCCCUUCGCACAGUGCGAAAAGCGAUACUAAAUGUCAUUCUAUUGUAUAUUUUUAAAACUCAAGAAAGAAUAGCUCUCAAACGGAGAAAAUAUCGAACCUACAUGCAUCUUCCACCACGAAAUAAAAUUAAACAUGCUAGAAAGGACUCAUUUUAAACAAAUUCAAUAAUUCCACCCAUUUCAGGCUGUAAAAGUUGCUAUAUACGAGAAACGAGUAAAGAAUUAUUGUUGAAUAUUUAUCCUUAACUAAUUAGCUGCCAUAUAUAUAUAUUAGUAGUUUUCUGGUCAGGGAUUUUAAAGUACGGGAAAGUUCGGGAAACCCUUAAAACCGCAUGGUUUUAAAGGCUUAAGGCUUUCCCGGACUUUCCCGUACUUUAAAAUUCCGGACUGGAACAUUUCUCUCUCUCUCUCUCUCUCUAUAUAUAUAUAUAUAUAUAUAUAAUCAAAGUAAAGCUUUAAUUAGUUUACUUAAGAUUUGAUUUUGCGAGACCUCGUUAAUAACGAUGCCGGAGCAAUUGCACCUAACUUGUUUUCCGAGAUGGACGGACUUAUAUCUUCGACUCCUGUUGCAUCUGCAAGAACAAGAAACGAUGGACGUGAAUUGAGUGUACUCGUACGUAAUAAUAGUUAAUAGUAAUAAUAAUUUUUUUUUUUAACUCAAGAAAGAAUAGCUCUCAAGGAAUCCAUCAACCCCAGUCAAAUUUGUCCAUUAACAUAUUUGCCCUUUGUCGUGUCGAUGCUGCUGGCAAAGAAAAAUUCAACCGUUGAUUUCAAUUCAAAAGAAAAUAUCUUUUGGUUUGAUUCUCACAUGCAAAUGCAAUGAAGGAAAACAAAGUAGAUCAUUUGAUUUCAAGCUUAAUUGUUUUGAGCAUGGAACUCAAAAGUAUGAACAUGAAUUAACUAGUCUGUGACAUUGUAAAAGAAAAUCAUCUGGAUAAAUGAAUUUUAGAGAAGUGUUUGUCUUUCUUGAAAAAUGGCAAUAGUCAUAAGUCAAUUACCAAUGAUGAUUUGAAAGAAAAACAAAAUCUCAGUGUGCAUAUACCAGAAAAUAUAUAUAAAAAAAAAAAACUAACUAAUAGAAAUGAUAUUCUAGAAAUCUAUUUGUAUCUUGAGAUAGAAAGCCACGAAUCUUUUUGAGGAGGCUCCUGCCACCAAGUAAAACCCGAGUAAACCAAACCUAAAUUGUGAGACAAUCUGCAAGAUUGUUAUUAUCCAGUGUGAGUACAACAAAAAUUCAUACUAACAAGUAAAUGUUUGUAUGAUUUUAAAGUAAAUUUUGAAUUUAAAUUUAAUGUACUUAAUUAAUUCAAUGGUGGCAAAUUUAUAAUUUAAAUUUUUUUCCUUGAUUUUUUGGACUGACCAUUUGUCCGAAAUCAGUAUCUUUUUCGGAUUUUCCAAUUUAUAAUUUGAAUAGGUGGGAAUGGCGGAGCCACUGCUGCACGACAGUUUUGAAUUGGGAUUUUGUUGAUGAGUUGACGUGGACAGGUACACUUUCUCGGUUAGUCAUGGACUUGAAUAAUUUUGUUAAUGACACAAUGCAAUGUAGUCUGAUAUCACUCUCAAAAGACUAAACCAACCUGGAAACCUGCAUUCAUAUUUUCUGCUUUAAAAACCCAUCACAUGAACUUCAAACUAUCAUCCAUACCACUCACAUUACAUUACUCUUAUCAUCAAACUCUCCAGACAUGCUUAAUUCCAUUUCCAUUACCUGCCUUGCCACUUUCAUAUUCAGCUUCAGCUUGUUGCUUCAUUCUCAAAGCUUUUCUGCCCAUACAAACGAGACAGAUCGCCUUGCAUUGCUUGCAAUAAAGUCGCAGCUUCAUGAUCCAUUAGGAGUUACAAAUUCAUGGAAUAAUUCUAUAAACUUGUGCCAAUGGGCAGGCGUGACGUGUGGUCAUCGGCAUCAAAGGGUAACUGAGUUAGAUCUGAGACACCAAAACAUAGGUGGCUCCUUAUCUCCAUAUGUUGGGAAUCUCAGCUUCCUCAGGUAUAUCAACCUCGCAACCAACAACUUUCAUGGUGAAAUUCCGAAAGAAAUUGGUUUCCUAUUCAGGCUUGAAACUCUAAUGCUAGCUAACAAUUCAUUUUCAGGUAAAAUACCAACCAAUCUGUCCAGUUGCUCUAACCUCUUGUCCUUUGUUGCCUAUAGAAACAACCUUGUGGGAGAAAUUCCAGAAGAUAUUGGCUAUAGCUGGUUGAAGCUUGAGCAUAUUUCCCUUGCUCGCAAUCAUCUAACAGGAAUGCUUCCAGCUUCCAUUGGGAAUCUUUCAAUAAUUUAUCUCCAUGUAGGGGAAAAUCAAUUCUCUGGCACAGUUCCUCCUUCACUUUAUAACAUGUCUUCACUUGAAAAUAUUCUCCUCGACGUAAAUGGAUUCACUGGAAAUUUACCACUAGACAUAGGUGUAACUCUUCCAAACCUUCAAGUAUUUGCAAUUGGGGAUAACUAUUUUUCAGGUUCUAUACCAGAGUCAUUCUCCAAUGCUUCGAAUAUUGAGAUAAUUGACCUUCCCAUAAAUUAUUUUACAGGAAAAGUGUCGAUUAUUUUUGGUAGACUUAAAAAUUUAUGGUCUCUAGAUUUGGGAAUAAAUAAUCUGGGAAGCGGAGGAGCGAAUGAUCUUGAUUUUGUAACCAUUCUAACCAACUGCAGCAAAUUGAAAGUUCUUGCUUUCGAGGAAAAUAGGCUUGGAGGAGUUCUGCCACAUUCUAUAGCCAACCUUUCCACAACAAUGACCGACAUCUACAUGGGAGUUAAUCAAAUAUCUGGAACCAUACCUUCUGGGAUAGGAAACCUUGUCAAUCUAAAUUUACUUGGUAUAGAGUUUAACCAACUAACUGGAAAUAUACCUCGUGAAAUUGGUCAGCUUAGAAACUUACAGGCAAUAGGCCUAAGCUCAAACUUUUUACAAGGUAACAUUCCCUCAUCUCUAGGAAAUUUAACACUUAUGACCGAUCUUUUUUUGAGUUCUAAUCACUUGCAAGGCAACAUACCCCCUUCUCUAGGAAAUUGCAAGAAUUUGGUAUCCUUGAACCUCUCUGACAAUAAGCUCAUUGGUGCUGUGCCCCAGCAAAUUCUCACCAUAACAACUCUUUCACGUUUCCUAGAUCUGGGUAAUAACCAUCUCAACGGCUCUCUUCCUCUAGAAGUGGGCAACUUAAAGAAUCUCGUUGCAUUGUAUAUAUCUGGUAAUCAGUUCUCUGGUGAGAUUCCUGUUACUCUAACUGGUUGUACAGGCUUAGAAAUUUUUCAUAUGCAAGGCAAUUCAUUUAGGGGAAGUAUUCCUCUUUCUUUGAGAUCCUUGAAAAGCAUUAAAGAGUUAGAUCUUUCUUGCAACAAUUUGUCUGGUCAGAUUCCAGAAUUUCUUGAAAAUUUAUCUUUCUUGGAAUACUUGAAUCUCUCAUACAAUCAUUUUGAUGGCGAAGUACCAACAAAAGGAGUUUUCAGCAAUAAAACAAGAGUGCAACUUACAGGGAAUGGAAAGCUUUGUGGAGGUUCAAAUGAAUUACAUUUACCAUCCUGUCCCUCUAAAAGAUCGAGAAAAUCAACUGUCCUUCGUCUCGGUAAAGUGGGGAUUCCAAUGAUAGUGUCAUGUUUGAUCUUAUCAACAUGCUUUAUUAUUGUUUAUGCUCGAAGAAGGAGAUCAAAACAAGAAUCUUCUAUUUCGGUGCCGAUGGAGCAAUACUUUCCAAUGGUUUCUUAUUCAGAGUUGAGUGAGGCAACUAAUGAAUUUUCAUCAUCAAACAUGAUUGGUCAAGGAAGUUUUGGCUCUGUGUAUAAAGGGAUUUUGGGUGAAAAUGGAACAUUUGUUGCGGUGAAGAUCCUUAAUCUUAUGCAAAAAGGGGCCUUGAAGAGUUUUGUAGCUGAAUGUGAAGUGUUAAGAAAUACCCGCCAUCGAAAUCUCAUCAAAAUCAUCACUGUUUGCUCUAGCAUAGAUUUCAAAGGGGCUGAUUUCAAAGCUCUUGUUUAUGAAUACAUGCAAAAUGGAAGUUUAGAGGAGUGGCUACACCAAAGUAACGGUCAACCCGAAGUGUGCGAUUUAAGUCUUAUUCAAAGACUUAACAUAGCCAUUGAUAUGGCCUCUGCAAUCGAGUAUCUUCACCACCAUUGUCAACCCCCAAUCGUUCAUGGAGAUCUAAAACCAAGCAACGUUCUGCUUGAUCAUGACAUGGUUGCCCAUGUGAGUGACUUUGGGCUUGCAAGAUUUCUAUUCGCUCGCCCAUUUGAUACUUCGAUGGAAACUCAAUCAAGCUCAAUUGGGAUAAAAGGAACUGUUGGCUACGUUCCUCCAGGCAAGUCUUUUUUAUGACUGAUAUUCAAUGAUUUAUCUUUGCAAAUGUUUUAUUCAUUUACUAGAUGUCAACACUGAUCAUAUAGCAUAGCUAAGAUGUUAAAUCUGCCAUGUUUAGAGUAUGGCAUGGGCAGCGAAGCUUCCGUAACCGGAGAUGUAUACAGCUUGGGAGUUAUGUUGCUUGAGAUGUUUACUAGAAGGCGACCAACGAAUUGCAUGUUCCAGGGAGGCUUGACUCUCCAUGAAUUUUGCAAGAUGGCUUUGCCGGAAAAAGUGAUGGAGACGGUUGAUCCUUCACUGCUGUUAGCUUGGAGCGAUGGACGCAGAAGAGCUAAAGUCGAGGAGUGCUUGGUUACUGUCAUUAGAAUUGGCGUUGCAUGCUCAAUGGAAUCUCCAAUUGAGCGAAUGGAGAUGAGAGAUGUUUUGGCGAAGUUAUGUGCUGCGAGGCAGACUCUUGUUGGCAGGUUGGUUUGAUGUAAAAUAAUGAUUUUUUUUUUCUUUUUCAUUUGUUAGAUCUGGGAUUUGCAUUCCAGAUGUUUGUUAAAAGUCCUCUUACAGUUGCUCUUUGCGAGCUGCUGGAUAUACCCGGUAUCACGCUUUUGAGCAUAUGAAACAAAAUGAAACAUCACAAGAAUUGCCAUGGAAAUGUAUCAAUGACUUGUUUUGAUUACAAUCACAUAAAAUUAGAACAAAAUAAAGCUUAUGUAUAGUUGUCAAAUUGAGAUAUGUCUUACUAGCUAUGUAAAGAAAAUUAAUUCACAUUAUUUAUAUAUUAUCUAUUAGAGCAUGUUUGGGAUUGUGUUAGUUUGCCAAAAAGUGAAUAAUUAUUUAACAUUCUUACGCCAAAAGGUGUCACCAAACACACUUUAAAUAUAAUUAUCAAAGAAUCUAGUUCUCAAAUAACAAGAUUUUUUUGUUGAAUUUUAUAAGCAAGUUAGUGUAACUUUUCUACAAGUUGAUUAUUUAAAAAUUAGAUUUUGUAAGCUACGCUGCCAAAAUUGCUCUACUUGAAAAUAUGAAUUUCCAAAAAUACCUUUGUUGGUUUUCCACAAACAAAAUAUUCAUAAUUUUAAUUUUUUAAAUUAGAAUUUCGAAAAUUUUACUCAAAAUUAUACCUAUGAUUUGUUGACAAUACUCUUUAGCAAAAUAAAUAAAGUGAAACAUCCCAAGAAUUACCAAGCAAACAUAUCUAAAUAGGCAUUGACCACCUUCUUUGCCCAGUAUAAAAACAGCUGAAAAUGAGAAUUUGUAAAUUAGUGAAACUACUUUAUGAUUACAAAUUUUAAUUACGUAAAAUGAUAAACACAGACAAAGCAAACGUAAAUUAAAAGCAUUUUGAAAUAGCUAUUAACAUUUUUAUUUUUAUUUUUCCCCUAGAAAUGGGUAUGUAAAUCAUUUUGGAAUUUAAUGGAAAGUUUGGUUCUUUUGUUGGUUUUGCAUUUUGCAUUUUAUAUUGUGUUGGCGAUAAUUUCUAAAUUGAUGGCAAUCCUUAGAGUUAUUUUUUGUCAAUUUAGAAGGCAAACUGCUUACAUUGAUUCAACAAUAAGUAGCUUAACUGGAAUGCAAAUUUUGUCUAGUUUGUUUACUGAAGAAAGUUUAAUCUUCCCAAAAGAUACAAAAGUGGCAAAAAUAAUAAAGCAAUUAAAAUAUAUUUUUGCUUCAAGUGGGACUAUUGACAUCCCUCCAAGUACUUUUAAAAUCCCUUUAAUUGUUUCACAAUUUUUACCUUUAUUAAAAUUAUAUAAUAAGACAAUUUCUAAUUAAAUUCCCACUCAAAAGUCAAAUAAUUUUUUUUCCUUCAAAAAUCUAACAUUUUAAAAAUAAAAAAGAUUAUCUUUUAGUGGAAGAAAUCCAACAGUUGCUACAAUGAAGAGAAGAAAACCAUUGUUUUUUUUAAUGAAAAAAAUCAUUUUGUUAAAAUAGAGUUUAAUAAUAAAAAAAUUUAGAGAAUGUGACUUACACUAAUAAAUUUUAACUAAGGAUUUUUUUUUAUUGAUAGAGGUAUUAAAAGAAUUUUAUAAUUUUUAAAAUAUUUUAAUGGGUUAAUAAAGAACAGUGGUGUUAAGAGGUAUCCGGACAGGUGUAGACCGUGUAGUCCUUAGGUUCCCAGUUCCCCUAAUUAUUCUAAAGCUCUUCCCACACGAUGAGCUCUUGGAUUUGCCUUCUUUUUGGGCCAAUUAUUAAUGUCCAAGGUCUGACCCAUAAUGUUCAUGGGCUCCGCCUCAGCCUAAUGCAAAGAAUUUUGGGACAACAAACUUCAAAUCUACAAAAAUGUUAAGGAGUUUCUAGUGUGUGUGUACAGUGGUGAUAUCUAACCCUCUUAAAAAAUCUCACUAAUCACCAUUUAUCAAUUAACCCAUCCAAAAUUUUAAAAAAUAAAAUAAAUAAUUUUUCUCUCAAUAUAGCCCAUAUAAUCCCCAAUUUAUCCUUGUUAUUAUUUUUCACACACUUCACCGAAUUUAACUCCAAAACUCUACUCCAUAACCAUAUUCUAAUCCAAGCAUAAUUGAAUAUUUCUUUAAGCGCUGGGUGCUCGCCAUCAACCAAAAAGGGUUCAAUGUUGAUCAGUUUAGUGUUCCUCAUGUCGACGAUGGCCGUAGUCAUGGCAAUGGCAAGGCCUAUUAAUAGGCGUACAUUGUCAGCUUGGUGUAACAUUUGCCCGCUUAAGUUUCAAGCAACCAAACAGACACUCCUUUUUAUGGUCGGCUACCAAUUGCUAAAGAUCUACUAAUUGAGGGAUUGGAAGUUUAUUGGAAGGAAAGAUUAACAAAGAGAUAUAUCUAUUUUAGUAAUUUUAUCUAGGGACAAUAUAGGAACUAAAAUAACAUUAAUUAUUGGGGGAUGCUAAGAGAUAUAAAAAAAAGUAAAAUAUCACCACUUUUAUAUAUAUAUUGAGAGAGAUUUUGGUUCAUCAAUAAUUAUUGAAAUCUUUUUUUAUAGGUCCGUUUGAUAUUAAGAUUAAACAGUAAAAUUAUAUUAUUAAAGUACAUAAUAAAUAAUUAUUAUUAUAUCUUAAAAGAUAAAUAUAUUUAAUUUUAAACUUAUAUAAUAAAUAAUUUAUUAUAUAUUUUUAAAUUUUAUUAAAAUUAUUAUUUAAAAAUUACAUCUAUUACGUAUUAUUAAUUUUUAUUUUAUAACUAUUAAUUUAAAAACUACUAAACUUCAACACUUAAAAAAUACCUACAAAUUGUAAACUUUUGUUUUUUAGAAACCGACACAGAAUCGUUAGUACCAAAGCAUUGAAUAAUAAUUGAACAAUUAAAUACAACACUGAAUCAUUGGAUAAAAAACCUCCACCAAUAGAACAUUUUGAGAGGGGGAACCAGUUAUGUCCCAUCAAGAUCCCUCUUCUUGGUUUAAAAUCUCUCCGAUCUUGCCAAAGCCACGAUUUGCAGCCGCACCAAUUUACAAGCCAUUUUACAACUUGAAUAUAUGUUAACACAGAGAUAUAUAUAUUAAUUCUUUAAUUUAAACCACCCACCCCCCGAAAAAAAAAAAACUGUUCACUAACAAUCACCAACCAAUUAAUUAAUUAAUGAACGCGAUACUUUAAGAAAGUUGUAAUAAAAAAAAAAGUAGUUUAAAAUUGAAACGGAGUGCUUUGGAGUAUCUUCAUAGGAGGGUUAACGUUGUUUUAAUUAAAUUAAAAUUUAGAGAAAAAAAGACGAUAUGUAUUAAUUUUACAUGGGGAAAUUUACAAAAAUGGCCAUAAACAAACCUUCAUCACUCUUAACAAACUUCAUCAUUCUCGAUAAAUCAAUUGCAUAAUCAAAUAUAUAAUUAUCAAUGUGAGAGCUUCUUAAAAUUAGUUUAUGCUCUUAUAUAAUGUAAACCUUUAAUCUAUUAAUUUUAUCAACUAAAUUCGAAAUUAAAGUGGGUUUUGUUGUAAAUAUUGUUAUUUUUCAUUUAUAAAACAAUGUGAUUUGUUAAAGUACUUAGAUUGAGUUGAAAAAUGAAGAAAAACCAUUGAAAACACAGAAAAAUCGGGCAAAAAACGAAGUUCAGAACAAGUGAGACAUGCAAGUGGGACAGGUGCAUGUCUCACAUAAACGCACUGCAUUUAUGUGCGACAGGCACCUGUCCCAUUGCCUGCCGCACAUAAACUCACGGAUUUUAUGGAGUACAUGAUUUUGAAUUUGAUUUGUCUCGUCGUAAGCUUCGAAACGGUAUAUUAUACGCCUAAAACGGACAUAUAUAGCUCAAGUUAUGGCUUUCGAAACAUAUAUGAAAUUUAGUGAGACAUGCACAUGUCCCACUUGCCUGUCUCACUAAAUUUCAUAUAUGUUUCGAAAGCCAUAACUUGAGCUAUAUAUGUCCGUUUUAGGCGUAUAAUAUACCGUUUCGAAGCUUACGACGAGACAAAUCAAAUCCAAAAUCAUGUACUCUAUAAAAUCCGUGGGUUUAUGUGCGGCAGGCAGUGGGACAGGUGCCUGUCGCACAUAAAUGCAGUGCGUUUAUGUGAGACAUGCACCUGUCCCACUUGCAUGUCUCACUUGUUCUGAACUUCGUUUUUUGCCCGAUUUUUCUGUGUUUUCAAUGGUUUUUCUUCAUUUUUCAACUCAAACUAAGUACUUUAACAAAUCACAUUGUUUUAUAAAUGAAAAAUAACAAUAUUUACAACAAAACCCACUUUAAUUUCGAAUUUAGUUGAUAAAAUUAAUAGAUUAAAGGUUUACAUUGUAUAAGAGCAUAAACUAAUUUUAAGAAGCUCUCACAUUGAUAAUUAUAUAUUCGAUUAUGCAAUUGAUUUAUCGAGAAUGAUGAAGUUUGUUGAGAGUGAUGAAGGUUUGUUAAGUUGUUGAGGAAAAUCUGUAUUUACUUUUGCUGGAAUUGAAAAAGUGGCAUGCCUUUGUAAAUUUGAUGAAAGUGACGAGGGUAAUGUAGUCCAAAUAUAGGGUAUUUGGCUAGUUAUGAUAGAAAAAACUUUGGGGGGUUAAAGUUGAAAAACGCAAAAUUUUUAUGGCCAUUUUUGUAAAUUUCCCAAAUUAUCUCUACUCUCUAGCAUACAUUUUCUAAUUUAAGUAGAGAUUUUCACGACAACUCGGCUAGUGGCCGAGUUGUUGGGUGGGCCAGCAGUCUAAGUACCCAUAAAAAUAUUGCGGUAAAUUUUAAGUUAUUCUUCAAUUAUAAUAUAUAAUUGAGUAAAAAUAAUAUUUUUUUUUAUUAAUAUAAGUGCAGUAAAUAUUUUUUGAAUAUUAGUGAAGAUAAAAAAUAUGCGCAAUAAUCUCUCAUGUAAAUAUGAAUUAUAAUUUAAUUGUAAAUAUCAAUAAUAACUUCAUGUAAUAUAAGUUAUAGUCGAAUUGUUAUAGUUAGUUAAAAAAAAAAGAGUUCGUUGCCCAUGUCAAAAAUAUGAUCUGCACUUUAUAAAAUCCUUUGAAAGUUAGAACUUCAUUUUCCUAAAUGUUUCCUAUAUAUUAUUCCUAUAUAUUAUUUUUCCUUUUUUUUACAAUGUUAAAAUCAGCCUUUAUCCAAAAAUAGGAGAGGGAGCAUGUUACUCACCCAUUAGAGACAUUUCUUUCCCUUAGUAUUAAUUUUUCCCAAAUUAAUUAACAUGUUUUACCACAAGUUUCAUCAUUUUAAAAUAAUUUACAGUAACAAAAUGUUUGGUAAACUUGAUCUUAUCAACAUUUUUAUGACUUCAAUGCCUUCGUACCAAAUAUAACCUAAGUUUGUGGGUUCCAAGCUAGAGCACCAAAAUAUCAAACAAAGGCAUAGUUUAAUUGCAAAACUUAAUCAAAGCAAUAGGCCAGCUGAUACUAGAUCAAGUAUAUAUUAGGCUAUGCGGUAGAAAUAAGUAACAACAAUUCUCAGAAGAAAAAUUGGAGCUCGGGGACUUUAUUUAUGCAUCAUAAAUACCUACGGAGAUUCACCCCCCGACCUGGCACCUCGAGCGGGGUAAAGAGAAGAUAACGUAGCCCAGCGAGUAUUAUCAUUUAUGCCAUACUGCAUACUUAUGACCUGAGGUUGCUAGUGUCCAUUCUUUGCCAGCCGGGCACCAUGAACCAUCCCCAAUUUUCAUGCAGACUUUGUCCCCAAUUAUUGCAGCGGCAGGCAGUGGGACAGGUGCCUGUCGCACAUAAAUGCAGUGCGUUUAUGUGAGACAUGCACCUGUCCCACUUGCAUGUCUCACUUGUUCUGAACUUCAUUUUUUGCCCGAUUUUUCUGUGUUUUCAAUGGUUUUUCUUCAUUUUUCAACUCAAACUAAGUACUUUAACAAAUCACAUUGUUUUAUAAAUGAAAAAUAACAAUAUUUACAACAAAACCCACUUUAAUUUCGAAUUUAGUUGAUAAAAUUAAUAGAUUAAAGGUUUACAUUGUAUAAGAGCAUAAAUUAAUUUUAAGAAGCUCUCACAUUGAUAAUUAUAUAUUCGAUUAUGCAAUUGAUUUAUCGAGAAUGAUGAAGUUUGUUGAGAGUGAUAAAGGUUUGUUAAGUUGUUGAGGAAAAUCUAUAUUUACUUUUGCUGGAAUUGAACAAGUGGCAUGCCUUUGUAAAUUUGAUGAAAGUGACGAGGGUAAUGUAGUCCAAAUAUAGGGUAUUUGGCUAGUUAUGAUAGAAAAAAUUUUGGGGGGUUAAAGUUGAAAAACACAAAAUUUUUAUGGCAAUUUUUGUAAAUUUCCCUUUUACAUGAAUAUUAAAAAAAAAAAAAACCACUUUUGUGAGAGACUACUUUUGAGCGGUUGCAAUAAUUGAAUAACCCCAGUACCCCCUUUUAAUUAUUUAUAUCUUUCAAGUAUUCCACCAUAAUUAAAGAUGAGAACAGCGACACAACCGAUCUAAAAAUAAAAUUCUUCCACGUCUUCGAUUUGUUUUUGCUGUCUAUAAUAAUAAAGAAAAAUUGUAUUUUUUUAAUAUUUUGUUAAAAAAAUAUUGAAAGUUCAAAAAUAUUUUACAAAACUAUUUGGAAAUUUGGCACAGACAGUUGACUAACCUCGUUCCGUCUAUUUUGUCAUUCUCAAAUGCUGGAAAAAUUGUGAGCCACGAGCCAGGAAAGCGAGUGUGGGUCAACAAAGACAUAAACAGAACGAACUCGUCAUUCAUCAAGACACGUACGCACUUUUCUCGAUUCCACUCCCCAUCUGCCCCACUAGAAAAGCAACAAUCCACUUCCAUCCAGUAGGAGCCCGCCACGUUUGAUAAAGAAUCUUUCGAAGGAUUUGCCGCCACCUUCUCUUCUCUCAUUGGCGACUUCGUCGACCUAUCGUGUAACCCUCAAAUCUUGAUCUUCUUUUGAUGCGGCCCCACCAAAAUUAAACCCCUCAGCUGUUGUUGCGAUCAUCAUAUUCAAAGUUUUGGUCUGAACACGUGGCCCCUCCAUAAGCAGCCAGCACUUGCUGAUCGUUACUGUUACCGAUAUGAUUAUCCUUCCCUUCGCAGUCGAGGAAAGAAUAAUAGAGACUAGAGAGAGAGAGAGAGAGAGGAGAAAUUCGAAAAUAAGUUUCAAGAGAUGGAGAGGUGGCGACGCACUGAUGCUUUGCUUUGUUACAGGUCUUUGAGAGAAGGAAAAGCUGAUUUUGAUCGUACGGCUGUGAUGGGGAGGGCCCACAACCCCAUGUGCUUCAACAUUCAAGCGGACAAGAUUGGACGGGUGUGAUUGCGUCAGAACUCAGAAGGAACAGUGGGGUGUCGAGGGUGACAAUACGCGUGCAUGUCAAAGAAACAAAAGAAGGCUAUGAGCUGUACGGACGUGAUUCACGUGAAACAACUGUGGAGGAAUUGCAUGGAUAUAGAAGAAAACACUUAACCUAAACGACGGCGUUUAAACUACUCGCCCUCUCUCUAAGACUCUAAGACCAGCCACUCCCUGUUAGUUGGCACUCCAAAUUUGAAAACAAUCAAUCAAAUAAUUUUUUUAAAAUACAUAUUUUUUACGACUGUUUUCAAAUUUGGAGAGUAGAAGGAGUUUAAAAAAAAGUAAGUGUGUGUAUCAUAUUCUAUAAUAUAAAACAUUAAAUAUUCAAAUUUUAUUAAAUUUUUAAUUAUUUAAUAGAGCUCAUAUUUUGAUGACAUCAUUGAACGAUGUCCAAAUUAUAAGAUACAAUAUCUCAAAAUUCCGUAGUUGAUCACAUACGGUAGCAACUUCAAAUUAAAGUUUUAUGUAAUUUUACUACGAAAAAUUUGCUCUUCUUGAAACUGGUAUUGUUAAUAAUUUUGUAAAAGCAUAAAACGAAUGAUUAGGGCUUUAAUUCAUGAGAUGGGAUUGGAUAAUAACAAAAGCUUUUGACGAAACGAGACGCAAAUAAUCCAUCCUCCUUUCAAAAUCUAAUGACGCUGCAAAAUCUCGCAAUAAAUCCACGUCUCCAUCAGACCAUCCACGCGUCCUCAUCGUACCAUCGUGUCUUCAUGAGAGUAUUGCCAAUCCCCACUCUCACGCAAGAACGUGGUUCACAAACAUCAACGAACACUCAGAGACGUGGCGUUGUUCACUUGCCGGAAAGAGCGUGGAAGGAGUUUAUAAAAAGUGGUCUCGGCUGUUGCGAACCAAAUUUUACAUGUUCUGUGCUAAUCGAAAUGAACCACGUGUGAACUAUCUCGAACCUGCCUAAAUAUGUUUUUGUCCUUUUUCCCCCUUUAUUCUCUAGGUAAAGGACACGUGUUCCCACCUUUCGGCAGUGCUGAACACGCUGUAGCUUCCGAUUGGCUGAAGCCGUGGGGUCAGCUCCCCAACGAUCAAUUACGCAGGCUACACUACUUUUUGAGUGGGACCCGCGUGAGAGUAGGAAAAAAAAUCGACCAAUCAGGUUGUACCACUGUUUCAAAUGUUAGCCCUAGACACGUGUUGGUUUUUCACCAAAUGACCCUGUACUGCUUCUAAGAUUAUCGCCUGAAUUAUCUCGGGGGUAGAGAGAGUGUGUGUGUGUGUGUGUAGUUUUUUCGUUUCCAAAAAAAAAGAAAAAAAGAAGAAAGUAAAAGAGGAGACAAGAGGGGUAUCUCCGGCACCGGUUCAUGAUAUGGACGGUGGUAAGGCUAAAGAAGGGUGGUGCAUGCUAAGAUACGCCGGUGGUGUGCAGAAUAGUGAUAACGAGAUAAUCAAUCGUACAAUGCUCAGAUUCCGUCCGAUUGCACCGAAACCCGUGUCAAGCGGCACCGUUUCAGGUAACUUGUUAGUUGAUAGGUUUACUAGCAAAAGAUCUAAGAGAAAGUACGUUCGGGUUCGCAAAAAUAAUGGGUACAAGAGAAAGAAUAAUAAUAAUAAUAAUAUUAAUAAUGAUCAUGAUGAAGAAGAAGAAGAUGGAUUAAACAAGAACGUUAACGUUGUUACGACGCUACAGUUGUUGCCUGAGAGACCUACUACGAAAGAUCAAGAGUCGUUUUCUUGGUGCAAUAAUAAUGUUAGCAAGAAUGAUCCUGAUUUGAUGAUGGGUUCAAAAGUUGACGAUAAUCGUCAGGAUCUGAGGGCUGCUGCUGCUAUCUGGCUAAACAUGAAGGGGAAAGAUUUGAUGAUCAACGGUGUUGGUGGGGGUGGGUUUGGUGUGUCAGAUCAGACGGUGGUGGAAGUUCGUCGGAGGACGGUGGUGGAAUCUUGGGUGACUGUGGAGAGCGUGACUGCAGACACAUGCAUGGAUAUAUUAGGACGUUGUUUGGACGUUGAGGGAGUGAAGACUGAUCUUGAUAAGGACACGUGUCCAGGGUUCAUAUCAGAUGGUUUUAACCGGGUUCUGUGGGUUAACAAAGCUUACAAGAAGAUGGCGGUGAAUGGCGACGGCUGCUGGCCGGAGAUAGAGAUAAUGGUUUGGUUGGUCCUUAAAGAGAAGUUGCCGAGUUUGGAUUACUCGUUGUUUGCGAGUCAAGUGAGGCUGCAGUACACGUGGCAGAAUGAGAAGUACUCGAAGAUGGUACCGUGUGAUGCGUUCAGAAUGGACGGUGGAGGGUUUGCAUGGAGACUCGACGUUGAAGCUGCCCUCAGUUUGGGCCGUUGAUAUAAGAAAAUCAGAAAAAAAACUUCAUCAAAUGAAGUUUCAAAUCAACGAGUAAAAUAAUCAGGUAACAUGAGAAUAUAUAUUUUGCCAAUUGUAUAUGUAUAUACUGAACUAUGUGGUUAAAUUAUAAUAUAUGGGUAGAUAGCAAAACACUACACGGUAAAAAUAGUCGUGGCUUAAGGAGGAAUAGGAUCCUCUAAAAGUCUAAAUAUUUCUAAAGAAGUGUGCUAGGUUGGCAACAUAGCAUUAGCUAUAUCUAUUGAGUGGGAGGGGGCAAAUGAAAGCGAAAACAAGAAACAAGAAACAAGAAGCGAAAACGAAAACGAAAACGAAAACACAUAAAGCAACAAACCAGAAUGACAGCAAAGACAAGAAGGGACAGGUGGAGGGUCUUUUGAUACUACACAACGCAGAACAUAACUACUGCAAAAAAAAACUAUGUAAUGAAUCAGCUUUAAAUUUUAUAAUACAUUCACUAGAUUUCCCACCCAACAUGUACUCUUUGUUUGAUUAAUAACACUGAUGUGCUGUUUUGUGUUCUUUCUUGCCAGGUAAGAUAGGGGUGUUGGGAGUUGGGACACGUGUCCUUAUCUUGCAGUUGGCUUGUUAUAUAUGGUGGUAUCUUAUGCUUUCUAGAACAAAGUUGAUGUUUAUCUAUAUUACUACUAUAUAUAUACAUGUGUCUGUGUAAACUUGAAUAACGUAUGACACAAGCAAAUGGUGUUUACUCGCUGUUUAAUUAGGUGUAGAAGGUAACAUCUUUUCUUCAGUUAAAUCACUACUAAUUUGUAAUUAACUAUUUAUUUAACCAAUAAAAAGAUGCUUUUCCUUCCAAAAAAAUUCUUAAAACAUCAAUAUGUAAUCUAUAUACUAUACAGAACAAGUCUAACAUUCUUUCCUAUGAUAUAUACAAACACUCUAGCUAGUUCCAAAACUAUCUAAAUCUCAUUGGUCUAAAACUUCCUUGCCUUUCUCUUACUGCACAAUGACAAAACACUAGCUAUAUUCAAAACUAUCUAAAACUCGUUGAUAUAAAACUUCCUUAUGUUUCUCCUACCGUACAAUGUAUAUCUCCUAUUCCUGAAAUUAAUAUACUAUGAAGUUUAUGAUAUACAAAGUCUCUAAAUCCUAAUGCUUGGUGGACUUCUAUCAUCUAAAAUUCAUGUUGUCCUAAUAAAUGACCCUAUUACCGUUUAAGUAGUGGUGAUCGUUCUAUUUAAUAAAAGGUAUCUAAUUAUAUACUAUUUAAUAAAAUAAAAAUUUAGAUAAUUAGAUAAUAAAAUCACAUUCAUAAUAGUGGACCCAAACAGUUUCCUUAUUCUCCUUUCAUGUAUACUAGUUCUCUUAAUCUCUAUGAUUGCUUGUGGCACAAGGUUUUUCCUCACGCACUAUCCUUUACGUGCCUUCUUGUUUGUCCAAAUCUCUAUUGUGCUUCUUUUCUCAUGCAUUUUUCAAUUCACAUGCUUAAUAGCGAACCUUUAAUUAUCCUCAACACAUUCCAAUUGAUGCAAUACUCUUUUCUUAUAUUGUCGUUGUUUAAUUACUUUCUUGUAGUACAUUAGAACUAUAAUUAUUGGUCUUGGCACUAAUCAAAUAUAUAUACACUAGUAUACAUUUGAUGCUAUUGUUGCUUUUAUUAGAAGGAGAGCAAGAAAUAGAUUAGGAAGUUGGUGGAGACAAAAAAGGACUACUUAGUGCUUGGAACAUGAGACUUAGGCUUUGCAUCAUCUUCUGGUAAAUCAUUUGAUCUAAAAACUUUUUCUUAUUACACAUUAAGGACUAACAUUAACAUAUAUUAAACUUGGUUUGACAAUCAUCAUCAUAUGAAACCAUUUUGUCAUCACGUAGCGAAUUUGUAGAUAUUAAAGAACUCAUGACAUCUUAAUAUUUCAUAGGUUCCAUUAAAAAAAAAAUUACACCUUUUCUUGAAAAUCUGCCACCUGGCUAAGUAUUUAUCACUUUUUCACUUCGUCUUUUAGGUUGAAGAUUCAAGUCUACGUACACGAUGAAGUGGACUUUCAAUCAACUAGGGUAGAAACCUCUCUCUUUAGAGUAGACUCAUGAGCUACUUACGAUUCAAGUGGGUAUAGAUGGACUUUAAUAUAAUUAAGCAGGUCCUGGUAAAUAUUUUAUGAGUACGUAUCAUAAAAUAAUUAAAAAAAGGGGUGCACCUUUCUUUGAAAAUAUGGGGCUGAUCUGCAGAUGGUUUUGAUCUAGAUGGUUAUAGAUGCAUUUAAUCUAAGGUAAUUGCUAAGUUACAGCCGGCUGUAACUUACAUCCAAUUCAAAAACAUACAAAAAGUAGUAACUAACAGUGAGCCCCGCAUGAUUUUUGUAUGGACUGUAAGUUACACAAAUUGUAACCUAGAUCAAUUUAAAGUCUUUGACGGAUAACUGUUAAACAAUAAGAAAAAGCUGAUUCUAGUUUUCCAGUGAUAUGCUGAUUAUCAUAUGGGAUUACACCUACUGACCUUCAAGUAGUCCAAUCAAAUCUUGCCAGCUAACAAUUUGAAAUCGGAAACUUUAGCCUUCUUUUAGUGACUUGAUCUUGCAAUAUGAUCUAUGUUGCUAGACUUACUGACAAUGAAAUUGUGUUGAUAUUUAUCUCUGUGGUUAUAUGAUUAGAAUAAUGUCGUUUUCAUCAGUAUUAUAAUUAUGUUUAUUGUUUAUAAAAUUAAUGUAAAACAAUUUACGUCAAGCAUAGCUAUUACUUAAAAUUACCACUUUUACGUCAUGCAUGCAUGGCAACUGAGUUAACAAUUUCUUUUUUGUAUGUAAUUUUCAGAAAUAAUAUGUUACAAUAUGGUAUAUUAUAUAUCAUAUCAAAAAGUUUUGGACCACAACCACUAGGUUUUUUGAAUGUUUUACCAAACUUCAGCACUGCAUGUCUAUAUGUAUGUAUAUAAAAAUGAAAGGGUCAAUAAUGCCUCUAGUUGUGGCUCAGUCACUUUCUUACAAAAGGAAAAAUCCUGACGUGCCAACUUUAUCUGGAGAUUUAACUCAUGAGUCAUGACUAUUGAAUUGCGAAGCUUUUUCAUUAAAGAAACACUUGGAAUUUUCUUUUUUUCCUUUGUUGGGCAUAUAUCACGAAAGUCUUUUCAGCUUGUCUUAUGUCCUGUUGUGGUAUCUUUUAUUAUGAUUGAAUGGAAUAGAUAUUUUGUAUACAUAAAAUACAAUGGAAAGUUAUUUUGGGCUGCGUCCGAUGUGUGAAUUAAUAUUGAUUGAUUUAUUUUUCCUAAAUAUAUAUUUUGGAGUAAUUCAACUUAUUUUGAGUUAAAAUAUUCAGAUUAUAUCAUCACAAAGUUAUUAAUUUGUGAGGUUUGGAUAGAUUUUCAGUUGUAAUAGUAAGUAGAUUUGUGAUGGUGUACUGAAAAAAAUAGAUGUCAUAUAUUAGAAAAAUAUUUGUAGUGUAAUUUGAACAAACAUUGAAUUGAUAAGUACUUCUUUAUGAUAAAGUACUCUCGGUUGUUCUAUAUACAAGUUCUUUUUGUUCAAAUAGGCAUGCUUUCACAGGCGCACCCACACACAAAAAGAAACCAGAUAAUUUGAUUGAUUUCAAUGUUGAUUAGGUGAUAAAAAUAUUGUCAUGUUCACUCUUAUAAGUUAGAUUGUGUAUAUAUUAAAAAAAAUUGUUCCUGUGACAGGUUCUUAUUAUUAAUUAAAGCAGUUUUUGAGCGAGAUCUGGCAGGGGAAGGAGCAAAAUGCUGAUUAAGACGAUGGACAAGUCUAGACAAAAAAGGAAAAAAAAAAGUGUAUAUAAAAUAUAAAUAUAUAUAAAGCAAGCAUUAUUCGGCUGACUAUAAAUACCAGUAAGUGUAUAUAUAAUAAUUAAGUAUUGGUGAUAAAGCCAUUUCCGGUGGUGAGCAGCCAAUCGAUCGAUGAAACCUUUGCAACUACAACAAGUGAAGACUUGAUGGAUUCAGGUUUUCUGAUUGAUGAUCGAUCAAAACUUCAACAAGUUUAUUAGGUGUGGCUAAUUUUGCAAUAAAUAUAUUGUUGUUAGCAUGUCAUUUUCCGAGAAGAAUCUCUCGGAAAUGAAUAAUUGUGCCACUUAAUUAAUUUCUGAUAAUAAAUUUAGGAUAUGGCAUAUAUUUAGUUUCUACCUGUCGGUGGUUGGUAAUUUAAUUUUCCGGGUCACUGUGUAUGAGAAGAAUUUAUUAGUCUCUCUAGAUGUGAUUUGUGGGUAAGCUUCAAUUUGAAUUCUGAAAAUGUUUUAACAAUGGGUGAAAAUGAUAUUUUGAUCCAUUUUCGAUGUCGGUUUUAAUGUUUAGGUGUUGCGUGAGUAACAAGAAAAACAUCGUAAUCGUAAUGUGAAUCGAUUUUUUCACAUUAAAUUUGAUUAUCUGAGGUCGCUGUCAAUUAAAUUAGUUGGUUCAAUAGUUAAAAGGUCAUAUUUAUUCUUAAACAUUGUGUUUUUUUUCUUUCUUUUUUUUUUUUACUGCAAGUUUAACACUAUAGGUGAAAUAGGAUAUUGAAAUUUUAUUAAGAACCUAAGUGGUAAAUAAAAUAUAUUUGAGAGGGAAUAAAGUGACAUUCCUCUCCGAACGAUAUGGUGAAUUAGUUCAAAAGUAAUUAUUAACUUGCCUAAUUAAUAAUUGCAAACAUUUACUUAGGAUAUCUGAGGAUUCCAUAUGAAGCAAAAGUAUCAAAUUAUUUUAUUAUAAGUUUUGUACAACGACACCUUAACUCGUGGCAUAAGAACCUAAUAAAGUGGAGGGCACCUGGUUGGCAGGGCACUUUGCUUGUUAAUUGAUAUAUAUUCCCGUCUUGUGGACAACAGGACCUACUGAAAAUUAUAUGUUUAAUUUUUAUAUUUUUGAAGAGCUUUUUGAUUGGUUCAAUUUUAAAUCUUAAAAAGGUGUCCAAUGGGCUGUGUUACGCGUGGUGCAUUUUUUUUUUCUUUUGAAUUAUUAUAUCAAAAUUUAAUAUUAUCAGAAACAAUAUUUAUCAAGACUAUAUAAUAGCAUAGUGUCGCAGACCGCUCAAAAUUCCGUGGCAAAGAGGUAAAGUGCACAAACCAAGAUGUGAUAACUUGAUUUUACAGAAAGUUUUAUCUCCAAUAAUCUUUAGCACUUUCUCUUCACUUGUAAGUACUCACUAAUUACAGAGUGGUAGAAUGUGGAUCCUCUAGGCCUUGUACAAAGAAAUCAAUAAAGCUUAGUAGAUGUAUAAAUUUAAUAGGCUCUCAGAAAUCUCUAGAUACGGAAAGUUCUAGGCUAACCUCAAAUAGGCUUGGCACUCGUCAUUUUAUAUUUUUAUUUUUUUAAUUAUGUUAUAUACAAGGUUGUUAUUAAUAUUUUAUCAGAUAUUAUAAUUGAUAUUUAUAAUAAGAUUAUAUAACUGAAAUCUUUUCAUGGCGUUUACAUUAAUCAUCAGAAGUACUUCUAAAUUUUUUAAGUCCUCUCUAAUAUUUAAAGUAUUUACUUCUCUCACAUUUCGUAACAGAGAGAUUGUCUUCAUUUAAUUAUUUGAUAUUAAAAAAUGAUUGAAACUAACAUUCAUAAUAUUUUUAUAGGGGUCCGAAUCCUUACUCUCAUCAUUGUAAUUGUAAAGACUCUUCGACUACAUUAAAGGCCCAUGGAUUCUUGUCAUUUUUUUCGGGCAACAAGCAAGCAAGCUAGUAAGCAACUCAAAGCAAACUCUCAAAACUCUCUUGUACACAUACUUGUGAAAAGAAAAUGUUCUCUUUGGCUUAAUUGCUCACUAUUUUCUCUAAUUUUUUUGCAAGCAUCUUAGUUUAACUAGUUGAGAAGCUUAGAGCUUCCUAAGCAAUUUUUAAACAAGAGUUAUUAGAGUAUCACACAAGUAUGUUAGAUGCAGAAUACUAAUCUUAUGAUAAUAGCCUCGAAGCCUAGACUAAGUAUAGUUCGGAAUCUAUGUGACUACAAUUAAGAUGGAACACAGAUAACUUGAAAAUUUAUGUAAUUAAAACAAAAUUUAUUCUCAUUUAUUACGAAAUAAAGAAACAAGGAAUUGUAAUCUUUUUUUUUUCCGCCCCCCGACUUGUAGAAAUUUGAACUCUAAUGGGUUUUUAAAGUAAUUAAACUAAUUUUUGUAAUUUAAUUAAACUAAUUAAAGGAAAAUUUUAGACUAAGUUCCAAUGAUAAAAUGGUUUUUAAAGUUUUCCCCAAUCCUGCUUUUUAGCGCCAAAAAAAGAAAAUCCUAAUGGUUACAAGAGCACAAGGAUCGUGAUCCGAGAUCCUGCUCUCCAAGGACUCCGAACCGUCGAUAUUUAAAGUAUUUUAAGCCAAUCAAACGAUCAAAAUUAUGCCAUUCAUAAACCAAUUCCAUUGGUCACUUUCAAUUUCACAUGGAUUGACAAAUCAGCAUACACUCUCGAAAUAUUCACCAUUGAUCACUGUCAAAUCUACGGUCCAAAUGCACACAUUCAAAUCUCUCAAAGUAACACAAAAUUUUCGAACUUCCCUCCUCCAAAAAUAAUUUUCCCUAUAAGUACUGCCACUUCCUCACCUUUGUUCACAAAUUUAUCUUCAGCAACUCUAAAAUUUUGUUUCACUUUCUCAAGAAACAAACACUCAUUUUCGUCUUCUACUCUCACAAAUGGCCCGCACAAAGCAAACCGCUAGGAAAUCAACCGGAGGAAAGGCGCCACGCAAGCAGCUUGCAACAAAGGCGGCUCGUAAGUCGGCUCCGGCGACGGGAGGAGUGAAGAAGCCUCACCGUUUCAGGCCAGGAACCGUUGCUCUGAGAGAGAUCAGGAAGUACCAGAAGAGCACUGAGCUUUUGAUCAGGAAGCUUCCGUUCCAAAGACUCGUUAGGGAAAUCGCUCAGGACUUUAAGACCGAUCUGAGGUUCCAAAGCAGCGCCGUCGCGGCUCUUCAAGAAGCUGCCGAGGCUUAUCUAGUCGGUCUCUUUGAAGAUACUAACCUCUGCGCCAUUCAUGCCAAGAGAGUUACUAUUAUGCCCAAGGAUAUUCAGCUCGCUAGGAGAAUUAGAGGCGAGAGAGCUUAAUUGAGUUCUUAUGAUUGUAAAUCUUUGGACUGUAAUGUUGAAUCUCGAUUUUAUUUGCUAUCAAUUGAAAUGGAAAAAAAAUGUUGCUCUGCUUAAUCUCUUGUUUGGCUAAUUUUUCGGUCCAAUUUUGAUUUCCGGUCCAAACCGGGUUCGUAACAAUCCGCCUAGUUUAUAAUUCGCAAUGUGCCCAAGCGUACGAUAGCUCAGGACUUUAAGACCGAUCUGAAAUCGCUCAGGACUUUAAGACCGAUCUGAGGUUCCAAAGCAGCGCCGUCGCGGCUCUUCAAGAAGCUGCCGAGGCUUAUCUAGUCGGUCUCUUUGAAGAUACUAACCUCUGCGCCAUUCAUGCCAAGAGAGUUACUAUUAUGCCCAAGGAUAUUCAGCUCGCUAGGAGAAUUAGAGGCGAGAGAGCUUAAUUGAGUUCUUAUGAUUGUAAAUCUUUGGACUGUAAUGUUGAAUCUCGAUUUUAUUUGCUAUCAAUUGAAAUGGAAAAAAAAUGUUGCUCUGCUUAAUCUCUUGUUUGGCUAAUUUUUCGGUCCAAUUUUGAUUUCCGGUCCAAACCGGGUUCGUAACAAUCCGCCUAGUUUAUAAUUCGCAAUGUGCCCAAGCGUACGAUAGCAGAAAUGAUUCUGGCGGGAGUAGUGAGCGGGUAAACUAUCUGUUGUCACUCUAAUGGAAAAAUACUUAGUUUCUCGCGAAUCUGUACCUGAAAACCCUAAACGAUGCAAUUCAAGGUUUAAAAAAAAAAUAUAACUCUUAAGAAUAUUUAACUGCAGUAUCCAUUAUUCUUUAAUUCAAAGUUUUAUUUAUUUAUUUUUUUUAAUGAAAAGCAAUCGUUGGAAGAGGAGUGUGGUUGAAUUGAACGGCAGAUUUGAGUCCAAGUACCGACAUGACUUGUCUGCUUUGCUUAUGCAGUCCUAUUCUCAGGUGAUCUAAUUACUUUUGUCUUUUCAUUAGUUUCGAUUUUGGGUUUUAAGUCGUUUAUUUAUUUUUAUUUUUAUGUUACGGAAAGAUUGGGGCAUUUCCCCAUUUGUAUCAUGUUGAUAGAGUGCUGUGUCCGACCCACGAAGGCAUUGUCAAUAGUCAGGUAUUGCUUCUGUUUCCCAUUUUUGUUUGGUUAAUUGGCAGCCUUUUUCAUUUUGCGCAUGCAGUUGGGUUGAAUUUUUAGAUUUUACAGAGAAGUCGGGCUGGUGAUGUUGCAAUGAUUGAUCACCGACGGUCAUUUGGAAAGUGGGUAUUGCCUUCUCUUUGUGUUGUCUUUUCUUGUUGUUGAGCUUUGAGUGUGAUUAGAUGAUUAAAAUGUAGUGAUUAUGGUUAUGUUUUUUUUUUUUUUUUUGUGUACUCAGACCAGGCAUCUCUGCACUGGACUUUGACUGCAAGGUGAAGUGUCAAAUUUGUUGUCUGUAGAACUAUAAUUUCUGAAAUUGACAACUUCCUGCUAAAAAUGCCUGUGGCUGUCGUGUUUCGUGGUUGUUUGUAAUGUGUUUAUGUCUUUUUCAUUGGUAUCUUUUUUAUUUGGUUUUAUAUUGAUAUGGUUCUUCCAUCACCUACAAUUGGUCCAUCAAAGGUUCUUUCGAGAUAUUAUUACAUUUUCAAUAAUCUUGAAACAAUGUUUAAAGAUAUCCUGUAAUUCUUUAUUUUAGAAGGAAAACAGUGUUUGAACUUAUAUGGUCAAUUCCUUGGAACUUUCAGCCUUCCUUUUUUAUUGAAUGUGGACUUUGUUUGGAGAAACAUUGUGGAAUGUUACUUAAUUUCUUUGAACUUUUAGCCUUAUCUUUUUCUUUUAACUGGUUGUGCUGACAAAUACAUUUUGGUUUUGGUCUUCGCUUUGAAGCUUGGCUUUUACUUUAGUUGUUGCAAUAUUUCUUCAGGGGAUUUACUUGGUUUCUGCUACGAGAUCUGGGUGCUUAACGGUGCAUGACUUUGAAUCUCUAUAUUACCAAUGUAAUGGAACUUUACCAGGUUAGUACCUUAACUCUUAACUUAGCAAAACUACGACUAGGAAAACUAUAUGGACUAGAACUAGAAUAACUGUAACUGAGUCAAACUGCAGCAAGGAAGUUCUAAAGAAAGAAAUAUAGCUAUUUCUAAUAGAAAAGUAGCAUUACUAUGCACCCCACAUCUCAAACUCUAGUUAGUGAAGGAGAAGCGAGCUCGAGUUUGGAGACCAAUUGUAUAGCUGACUCCAUUUUCCUGUGACUGAAGAGUAGAGUAGAAAGUUCUAGUAAAAUGGUUUAUCUAACACACGUUUUGAAAUAAGUACAAAUUUUAUUCAGUUGGUGGAUUCUAUGCAUCUCAGUACUUGAGUGGUUCUAAAUUUUCAGUAUUACAUUAUUUCUAUUCUAAUUUUGUUUAUUGUUUUGUUAGGAGUGGGCUUGAAGGAAGACCAGAGUAAACACUUACUGCACAUUCCUUUGCCUCAACAACUUGAUGCUGUUAGAUGGAAUCUGGCUAAUCAAGAUGAGGUUCAGCUUACAUGUGUACUCGCUGUAUAUUUAGAUUAUUAUGCUGAUUCAUUUGUUUGAGCUGGGGAUAAUUAUAGAUAGAUAAUCAUGUAGAAAUUUACCAAAUUUUUGUUCUAGAAUGCAACAUAAAAGUCUUCAUUGCACUAAAAUUUUUCUAAUUAGUUCUCUCAGUCAGAUAAAGUUUAUAUGUAUAUGUCUAAAAAUUUAUGGUUACUUGUGUUUAUUCCAGUUCUAACUAUAUUAAAUUUGGUUAUGCAAUGUGCAUUGUAGUUCAAUUUUGUCAUUCUUGUGUCAGGGUGAAAACUUGUUCUGUUUCUUUACCAUUAAUUAUGCUACUUAAUAUGUCAUUUGCUUCUACUUUAGAAACCUUUUAAAAUUUUCUGACGCAUUUGCUUGUGGGAUCACUAAUUUGCGGUCCAAAAUAUGUCAUUUGCUUCUACAAUUUUGUCAUUUUUAGAGAUGUAGAAAACAUAAUUUCUUACCUGCUCAAUCAUUCUAUUUGGAAUAUUUUUGUGUCAGGGUGAAAACUUGUUCUCUUUCUUUACCAUUAAUUAUGCUACUAAAUAUGUCAUUUACUUCUAGUUUAGAAAUCUUUUAAAAUUUUCUGACGCAUUUGCUUGUGGGAUCGCUAAUUUGCUGUCCUUAUUUAAAAUAAGUUUUCAUAGUGAAUUUCUGAUCUAAACAUAUUUUCAUUUUAUUCGUUUAUUCAGGUUGCUUGUGCUUCUACAAGAAGUAAUGUAGUAAGCAUCUAUGACAUUGGUUAUAUAUCAGACGAACCAGUCGAAGUAAGUUGACUUUUCCAUCUUCUUAUCUGGCUUUACUAGUAUAUUGGAAGUAAUAGUUAGUAGUUUUCUUCUACAAAUCAUUGCUAAUGACCUCAUUUUCCACUUGAAUUUCUAUAAACUCCCUCUCCAGCUUCCUUAUCACUAAUAGCAUAUGCCUGUUCCUUAAUAAAGAAUGUUUCCAAAAAGUAUUUGACAAUAAACAUUUUAUUUUUCAUUGAAAAUUAAGUUGAGUUAUUCUUCUAGAACAUGGUCCUGAAUUUUCAACUAUCAUGAUGACAGGUUUUUUUAUUUUUAUUUUUUACCUUGAUGUAGGUCUUAAAAACAAGACGUUCUGUCACUGUUGUUGGGUCUGAUGUCCAGAAAGGUCUAUCUGAUCUUGCUUUUAGUGCAGUUAAUACAUCAAGGUACUAAAAUGGUUGACCUUUGUUAGAAAUACCAAAUUCAUUCAAUGAAUGGACUACUCAUUUAAGGUGCAUAUGAUUGUAUUUGUUAAAUAAACUGUUGGCACCGAAGGUGGUACCUAGGUGGUAAAUUUAUACCAGAAUGUACACUAGUUGCUAGAGAUUGCAGUGAUUAAUGGUGGAAAAACUAUCCCUUGGGUUAAAUAACUGUUACCAAAUGGAGGAAAACCCCUUGUCGUCCUCUAUUGUGUAAAGCUUAGUAACAAAGAAUGAACCAUUUCCCAGAUAUUUUAUAAGUAUUGAAUAAAGUUAAAGCCUUUUUGGUUAGGGUUAUCAACUGUUUGGCCUGCAAUAUGUUUUCUGCAUGAAUGAUCCUAGGAGGACCAUGCAGAUUUGUAGGAGAGAAAUGCUGAUAACAUUAUGCAAAGAAAUGUGUACAAUAUGAUCGGAGUUAAACAUAUCAAGAACUGCUAUAGCAAUUAUGUGUUUAUUAUCUCUAAGGGAGUGAGGAAAAUCCUGUUAAACAUUAAUACUGAGCUGAUGGCCUCAAAUGACAACACUGGAUGACUUUUUAUUUUGGUAGAAUUGAUGCUGAGGUUUCAUUUUUGUGCUUAUUGAUUUAUUUAUCAUGCAUUAACCAUGAUAUUUUAUGCAGGGCAGGGAACCAAAGGAAAAACCACUAUUUUUAAAAGUUCAUUUCCAGUUUUCCUCCAAAAUUGUUUAUGCUGGGCACCAUAUAGUGUGAUACCCUUAUUGAUAAUUUUGAAUAUAUCUAUAAUGAUGUGAGUGAGGUACAUGGCUAUUACUUGGCUGCCAUUUUGAUAAAUUGAGCAAAUAGGAUUAGAGUCUCUGAAUUUCUAAUCUAAAAGAUGAGGAAGGUGACAUGUAAUGAUUUAUAGAAACAUUAAAUGUGUACUUCUGUUUCCCCCAAUCCUCCUUCUCUCUCCCCUCCUCUAAUAUAGAUGAGCUCAUAAAACAUUGUAGACCAUUGCAUCACCGAAUAAUCAUUUAUCACUUUUGAAUAUUUAAAAGUCCUAAUGAAAUCAUUUCAUAUGGAGGUUAUAUUAAGCUCGUCUUUCCCCGUGUAGCCUUUGGUGAUUUCAGCUUUCAAUUUAACUGACCCAUUCAUGUCAUAUAACUACUGUCUGGUUUUAGUGUACUUAUCUAAUCCUUUCAUUAUGAGAAAUAGGAUUCUUAUUGAUCUUCUGCCCUAACAUUUUUGAACUAAAGUCAAUGACUGAGGAUAAUGGGAGGUGACGAGAUGUGCCUAUGCAACAAGCUUUUUGCUAUUUUGGCUUGUUGACAAUAAUUAUUUUCCCACUCGAUGAUCGAUUUUUGUAGGUUAAUUGCUUCCGAUACACAUGGUGUAGUAAAUAUAUGGGAUAGAAGAGUUGGUGUUCUUCCAAGUCUUGAGCUUUCGACUGGUUCCCAUGGCACUCUUAAUAGCAUUCAAUUACAUGCUGAAAAUCAGGUUAAUUUAUUGAAUCCAAAUAUUCUUUUAUUUAUUGUAAAUAUCACUUGUUUGUUUCUAAAAAUGUGCAAACUUUGAUUUUUUUCGCAAUUGUGAAUGUAAAAUUUUGUUGCAUUAAGAUGUUGUCCCAUCUUUCAUGUGUGCGACAUUUCAGAGCCACCUUAUGUAACAGUUUUUCAAUAAAUUGCAGUCAGUCUUUAGAUGAGUGUGCCUAUUUUAUAGUUUACAAAUGGAUUGCUCAAGCUUGCAUUAAAAGUGCUAUGCCAUUUCUGGGAUGAAAAUUGCCAAUUGAAAGAGUGCAAACCAUAAACCAUAAGGUCAAAAAGGAACGGCACCUUGUUUUAUUUAAUAUGGCAGGCUUAUAUAUAUGCCAUGCCAUGGUCCUAUCAACAUAGUGAUUCUUAGGUCAGCUUUUUCAAACUACAAUAACAAUAAUGAAUUAGGCAGUUGGAUUUUACUCUCUAGUGUUUAAGUAUACUUCAAGUUCUUUCUUCUAAUAUCAUCCAUCACUUUCCUGGAGCCCUAAUUACAAAAGUUCAUUUACUUCAGAUUAUUUUUGCUGCUGGUAAGCAUGGGAGCAUUUAUUUGUGGGAUCUUCGUGGUGGAAGAACAUCUGCUCCUUUUCAUAAUCAUAAGGAGGUUGGUGGUGUUUAUAGAUGUAUCUUUUUCCUUUAUCUUGCAAUGUGAUAAUUCAAAUGAAGACGCGAAACAACUGCCAGCAGUUACCACAAAAAUAAGGACAAUCAUAUUGUGAAUAUUUGCUUAUUGAUCCCAUGAGCACUAGCACUGAUGUCUAAACUUUCUUGUUACAAAUUGUUUCAUGGUUAGCUUUAUUGGUGUGCCUGUGACAGAUUAGUCAAUGAUAUUUUGAUAAGCAUUUGGGUUAAUGUAUCUUAUGUAGUUGAUAAUAUGGUUGUUUUGCAUAAUUGAUCUCUCUCUCUCUCCUUCCCCCCCCGCUUCUUCAGGUAUGUCAUUUACCUCUAACAUCUCUGAAGUUAGCAUCAAUGCUGGAAAAAAUUGGGACUUUGAAGGUAUGUAACUAUGCACAAACGUUCUGAUGCUGUCUUCAAUUAUUUUCAUCAAGUUUACUAUUGUGGAUGGCAGCGAGGUGUUAAUAAACUAAGUAUUCCUGCUGUUCCCAUUCUGCCUAUUAUUAGGGCAAAGAAAUCACCACCUCAUUAGCUUUAUGGCAGGAUCAGACUUCAGAAAUGUAACUUAGAACAUACAUUUUUGGAAAGUUUGAGAAUCCUAGAUUUAUUUUUUCUCUAAUCUGAAAAAUUAAUGUUAACAAUAAUGUAAUUGAGACUAGAAAUAUGGAGUUUUGUAAUGGCUUUACUUAUUACAAGAUGUAUUUUGUUUUACAAUAAAAUGAUGAAGGACUUAGAGGGAAGCCAAUUGGCAUUUCCUUACAAAGCUAAUCCAUAUAAAUUUUAUUCGAGAGUAAUUUUCUAUAUACAAAUAUUUUUAUACAUCUAUGUAUGCUGUUUUGCAAAUGAUUUUACUUAGUAUAUAUUUUCUCUUUUCUUAUCAAAAUAAAAAUGUUGACAUAGUUAUUAAUGAUAGAGAGUUGGGUUAUUGUAUAGAAAUUAAUGCUGAAAACUUUUCAAAUGUGAAAGGCGCUUUUUGUUGUUUCUGAAUUGUGAAUAAUCCAUUAUUAGUGUUUAUUGCACAGGCACAAUCAAAAAUUGUUUCACAGGAAAUACACUCAAUUGAUCUUGAUCCAUCUUGCUCAUACCAAUUGGCAUUCCACCUUGAUGAUGGCUGGUAAGUUGUGAAAUGAAUGUGUUUUCUUUGACUUAUAUAUAUGUGUAUGUAUGUAUGUAUGUAUUCUGAACACAUUUGUUCAUAUCUUAACACUGCAUCAUGCUUUGCUAAAUUAACACGUAAUUUUCUUAGCAGUUUUAAAAUUCAACACAUCAUUUACAAUGAAUUAUACAAUUAAAAGACAAUGUAUUGCUACAGGCUGACUCACUACUAGGAUUUGGAAAUCAAAGUACGUUAUAAAAGACUACCUGAAUUAGUGAAUUGUAGAGGUUAAUGCUACCCAACAAGAAAUCAUAUAUUUGCUAGAAUCUUUCUGCAAUUCUGAGGUUUUAGAAUUCUCUUUUUCUUCAGCUUGUUGAAACAUAAAAGAACAUGUUGAUCCAGAAUGAGCUAUAGAGGAUGGUAAAAAUUGAUUGCUCCCUGUGGCUGGAGAAUAUCGAACUAGGAAAUUAUUCAUAAUUUUUUGUUGGCGUGUCAAGCAUUUCUGACUUAUUUAGCAAUCAGGCACACAUUUAGUUCUUGUUUUGAACUGUUUUUUCAAACUCUUGAAACACUUGCUGACAACUUCGACAUUCUUCGUAAUCUAACAUUUUGACUAUGUCAUGCCAGUGAUAAAGGUGGAGAGACAAAUUGGCAUUAUCUUAUACCGUCUCUUUUUCAUAGCCAGUAUAAUCAUGCAAUACUCUAACUUCGUGAUGUUUCAAAAUUUGAUUGUUCAUAUGUACAAGUCUUAAAUUUUGCCCUAUGAAAGUUAUGAUUAACUUUCAAUGUUUGACAUGUUUAUCAAAGGUUCUGCUUGUUUCUUAUUUAUAUAAUUAGAUUUAUCACAGUGGUUGACUUAAGUUGUUAGCAAAUGAUAAUAUGAGAUGAUAUGUUUCUAUCAUAAUUCAUAUGCUUCAUUUUAAUUAAAAUCUCCCUUACUUAUUUUCCAUGUGAUGCAGGUCUGGCGUUUUGGAUGUUUACAAUUCUCGAGUUAGCCAUGUUCAUUGCCCACCUCCAGCUUGGUUGUAAGUAGAAUUCAAUAAUGUUUAGGAUUGCCAUAUUUUUUCUGUAAUCAUUGGCAACUUUAAUAAUUGUGUAAUUACUGUCCUCGUCUUUUUGGAGUAAUUAGGAGUGAUUCCAACAAUUCAGCUGAUCAAUUACACUUGCGAAAGCCAUCAUGGUUGUCAACAAAUUCUGUAAGUUUUUUAUUUUAUUUUAUUAAUGAUUAUUAUCAUUGAUUUACCUUUUCCUCUGGGGAUAUGUUUAUGUAUGGUAUGGGCAUGUGUUUUACAUGGUGGUUGAGCACAGAAUUUGCAAAGAAGUAAUUUGCAAAGAAGUAUGGUUAGCUUCAAGCUUAAUUACAAAGAUUUUAUAGGACAUUGCAUAUCUUAACAUUUCUCGUCAUUGGUAAGUAACUAGUGUAAUGUCUCCAUGAAGAGAAUGAAAUACUCAUUUCUGGUUAUUAGCUGAUUUUUAUUUAAGCUCAGCUCAAAUCUCUUUUUUGUUUGUAUUGAAAUCAAGCAUGAAAUUGAACGCUAUAGAUUUUGAUAUAUCUAUAUAACUGGCAUACCAUAAACUAUUAUAAAUGUACAUCACUUCACCUCAAUUUCAAGUUCAAAUGACUUGAUAUCUGAUCAUGUCUUUUUGUGCUGAGCUUGCUCAUUUUUAUCACAUACAUGUUAUCUGAUCUCAACUUUAUGCCCUCUUGAGGUCUAAUCUUUCUUUUCAUUUCAAGCUGGGCUUUGAAAGCCUAUUUAGUCAUCUUGACUCUGCUCAUCGUCACCGCUAUUUUCUCAUGUGGGAAAGAGUCAGUUUAAUUUCUUUAUUAAUAAAGCAUUUUUAACUAGAAGAACAGCAUUUCUCUUGCCAAUUUGAGGUGAAGCAUGGAAACAAUUUUUUCAUUAAUUGUACACUUUGGUUGGAAACUUAGUUUUGUAAUUUUGCCUUUCGUGUUUGAAGGCAAGUCAUAUUCCAAAGUUUUCUCGCUUUAGGUUUCGUCAAAAAUUUACAAUUCUAGCCAUUUUUAUAAUUCCACUGGAAAAUGUGCUUCGGCACCUCCCUUCAACCAAUUAUAACUUUGUUGCCUUCGAAUGCAGAUCUAUGCGGUUGGAUCAUCAUCUGACCAUGGCAUUCAUCUUUUAGACUUCUUCCCAGGCUCCAGCUCUCCCAGCCACGUGGACUACAAGUAAGAAACUAUGUCAAAUAGCUAACUUAUGUUAUGUGGCAAAAAUACUUCCCAGGGAUUGACGACCUGAUUUUAAUCCUGCAUGGAUAAGAAUACCCAGAAAAAAAAUGUUCUCAUUUUUCUUAUUGCUUGUAUCCUUCUUUCUAGUGAGGAUAUAGAGAGCCUUUCUGAGAGAACAAAGCUCAAGAAGGAAAAUAGAUUUGUUCCACUAUCAGAAGGUGUUACUGCAUGUGUCACUCAUCCUCUCAAUAAUACCAUCGUGGCUGGAACAAAGGUUUGUGGUUUUGUAGAAUCUACUUUGAUAAUAUUUCGUCCAGGAUAACAGAAAUGCCAUUGUUGAACUCCUUACGCAACUUCCUUAAAAUUUUAUGAACUGCCAUUUAGAUUUCACUAGUGGCCAAGCACACCAUAACAAUACAGAAAAAGGCUUGCUCACUUUAUACUUGCUUAGCAAAAAUAUUGUUGCAUGUGGUAGUGAAUGUCAAGCUCCAAACGAUAUGAGUAAUUUACCCUUCUGUUUGACGAUGAAUAUUAUCGUUAGGGUUAUGCUAUGAAAUUUCUACAGAAAGAUUGUUUUCACGAUAAUGGGUCUUUGAACAAAAGUUUAGGCUUCUGUUUCAAGCAUGAACAUAUCACUUUUCUUUAAUAUUUUGUUUGCAGAAUUCAUCUUUGCUGGUCGUAUCCCAGAAACAACAGUGCACCAGUGAUUCAAUGCUAGAGCAAUGAAGAAGCUGGAGAGCAUAGAUCCUAUAUUUCCCAAAAUAAACAGCUUACUAGAAGUCUAGAAACUAACUGCAGAAGCACUUGAAUCUCAAAACGGUUUACCAUUAUUUUGGAGGCAACCAAACAACAACAUAGCUUAAUAGUUUGGAGCUGCUGGUUAUGGAUGUUAUCAGUUUUAGGAGACCAAGCGCUGCUUAAGAGUUACAAAUUGUAAAUAGAGCUGAAAUUAGAGUGAAACAAUGGCCUCUUGCUGUGUUGUCAAGUAACUUUUAAGUAUGCUAAUGACAAACUUAAGUACGCGUUAACCAUAAAUGCAGGUAAGAACACGAUCUUGAAUGAGUUGAUUUGUUUUAACUAGUACACCCAUGGACCGUAAUGCGGAAUCUGGAUUUUAUUUGCCAUCUAUUCAAAUGAAAAUUUAUUCUCCGGUCCAAACCGGGUUCACAAAAUUCGGAAAUGUUUUUUGGCCCUAUGUACUAAAAAAGCAUUAAAGAGGCAAGUUUAGAAGAAAUGAUUUUGGAGGGAAUAAAGAGUAAACCGAAAAAAUAUAGUGUCAUUAUGAUUUAUGAGGGGUAAAAAUUUAAAAAAAAAAAAAAGAAAGAGAGAGAGAGGUGAUUGUCUGUUGGAAUCACUAAUGGAAAAAUGCUAUAGUUCCGCGCAAGAAUCUGUAUCUGAAAACCCUGAAAAGUGCAUGUUAAGGAAAAAUAAAAUUUAAUCUAUUUACCUGGUAUGAGAGAGAUAUUAGGGGCUGGAACAGAGAAGAGGGGAGGAGUGUAUAGUUUGAUUGAAUGUCGAGAAUGGUAAUGAGUGAGUGGAAUCAUUUUGUCCAUGUGGAAAGUGAAGUUGAUGAGAAUGCAAAUUACUCUCUCUCUCUAAUCCUUCCUACCAAGGACCCUGAAGAGGAAGCUUUCCUUUGCCUUUUAGAUCUCUCCUACAUUUAUGUUGCUCCAUUUUUGGGAUGACUUAUUUGUUUAUAAAUGAUAAAUUUGAGAUGAUAUGUUUCUGUCAAAUGCUUCUGAUUAAAUCUUCUUGCUUUCCUCAUUUUCCAUGUGCAGGUCUGGUGCCUUUGAUGUUUACAAUUCUCGAGUUACCCACAUUCAUUGUCUUCCGCCGGCUCCUCUGGCUUGGCUGCAAGUAGAAUUUGAACGUUCAGAAUUACCACAAUUUUGCUAGAACCAUGGGCAUCUUGUUUAAUGCUUGUGUAACUACUUCCUUGUCCCUUUGGAGUAAUUAGGAACCUUCCAACAAUCCAUCCAAUUGCGAAAACCAUCGUGGUUAUCAACAAAUUCUGUAAGUAAUUUAUCGUUGAUAUCAUCUUUUUCACUGGUAACAUGUUUAUGCUAUGGUGUGGGCAUGUGUAUCACAUGGCUGUUGAGCAUAUAAUUUUCAAAGAUAUUAUAUGUGGCAACUAAUUAGUGUAAUGCCUCCAUGUAGAGAAUUUAUUACCUGAUUUUAUUUAAAGCUCAUCUCAGACCUCUUGUCCGCUGGAAAACAUGCUUGAGUGUCUUCCUUCAGUCAAAUAUGACUUUGAUGUCUUCUCAUGCAGAUUUAUGUGGUGGGAUCAUCAUCUGACCAUGGCAUUCAUCUUUUAGACUUCUACCCGGGCUCCAGCUCUCUCAGCCUUGUGGACUAGAAGUAAGAAACUACCUGAAAUGGCUAACUUACUUUAUGUGGAAAUAAGGCUUUCUAGGGAUUGAUAGGAUUGAUAUCGCCAUGAUCCUGCAUAAACAAGAACACCCAGAAAAAGAGGAUAGAUAAGAAAUGUCAUAUGUAUAUAAUUUCCUGUGUUUUGCUCAUGUUUUCAAAUGCUCCCCAGUCUUGAAGUUCUUUUUCUUAUUGAGGAGUAUCAGCGAGCAGGUGCUUUGAGUCUUUGUCUCUCUUUGACAGCGUCUGUGUUCACAUUUUUCUUGUUGCUUGUAUCCUUCCAGUGAGGAUAUACAGACCCUUUCUGAGAUAAAAAAACACAAGAAGCAAAAUAGAUUUGUUCCACUAUCAGAAGGUGUUACUGCAUGUGUCAGCCAUCCUUUCAACAGUACCAUCGUAGUUAGAACAAAGGUUUGUGGUUUUGUAGCAUCUGCUUUGAUAAUAUUUCUUCCACGAUAGCAGAUAUGGCAUUUUUGAACCUCCUUCAGAAAAACUGCCGUUCAGAUUUCACUAAUGACCAAGUGCCAUCAUAACAAUACACAAAAGGCAUACUUGUUUAACAAAAACGUAGUUGCAUGCGGUAAUAAAUGUUGAGUUCCAAUUGAUAUAAGUGAUUUAUUCUUUUAUUUAAUGAUGAACAUUAUCUAUUGGUUAUGCUAUGAAAUUUAUGCAGAAAGAAGGAUCAUUGACACCUAAAAGAGAGUUAAAGACAAGACAUUAAAGAAAAGUGAUAGCCUAAACUUUUGUGACUGCAUUUCUGUUGGUUGCAGAAUUCAUCUUUGUUGGAGGUAACCCAAAAGCAACAGUGCACCAGUGAUUCAAUGCUGGAAUGGAACAAUGAAGAAGCUGGAGAAGUGAUCCUAUGGUUUCCAAAAUAUACAGGCAGAAAGGAAACUAAAUAUUUAUAAGUACCUGAAUCUUGGAUUGAGCUUACACUAGAAGGUUUACCACAUUUUUUGGAGAAUUACUGGUUGUAGAUUUUGUCGAUCCAUGUCAGUUUUAGGAGCACAAGCACUGCUUAGGGCAAUUGAAAAUAGAGCUGAAACCAGAGUGAAACAAUGUCCUCUGCCUUGUAGUAAAGUAUGUUGAGUAUCUGCUAAUGACAAACUCCUAAUUUAUUGACUGGCAACUGUAAAUUGUUUAACUCUAUUCUUUAUUUCCUUGUUUGAUGAUAUUAAUUAGCUUUAUCUCAGUUAAAAGACAGUGAUUGCUGCUUUAAGAAUGAAAACUUAUGUCAGCUGUAAAGAAAGAACAAAUAAGCUCUAAGAAAGUAAAGGGAAGAUAGAAAACUGAAGAGCAAAACUUCUUGCAUUCACUUGAUAGGUUUUCAAUAUUCAUUGUGCAUUUGCUUCAGUCAAUUAAGAAUUUACAACCACAACCGGAGCAUCCAAUUACAAAAUCAUCUGGAUACACAUUGACUUCCUCUAUUAUAUGUUGAUUAGGUCAUAAGAUAUUCAGCAGGAUUGAGAAGAGCUACAGCGCCUCGUUUGUGACUUGAGAAUUUUUUAUAAACUCCUAGCUUUUGCUCACUUUCCGCAGCUGCCAAGUGAAAGCUUACCAAGAGCUUUGCACAAUCCCUGUUACAUGGAAUAUAACAUGUGAAGUUAGAGCAUAUCACUUGUCUCAGUUACAAAUUAGAGCCAUGAGCAAAUACCAUGCUACAUGAGCUUACUGAUAUGCGCCACUUAACACCAGAAAUCAGUAACCAAAUAUAAAGGAUACUACAGUAAGAAGAAUUACAGAUAAUAAUGGAAAGGGGACAUUACUUUAGUUGCUCUUCACUGUAGCCUGUGUGGUGCUUCAAAGUCUCAGUCCAAAGAGGGCUCUUGUUAAGGGUGCAAUGUGCAGCGUAUACAGAUGCGGCAGCAAGCAUGGACGGGCAGUAACAAAUGACAGUGGGAUAAUGGCUGAUACCUAGUUCGGCUAGGAAAAAUACCAGAUUCUCCAUCUAUGUUGGACAGAAAUGUCAAUCAUUUAGUUUGAGUUAUUGCACUAUAAUCAAAACAAGACCAAGAUAUUUGCAGCACCUCCUGAUCAGGUGAGACAGAAGCCUUGACAUAUCGAACUAGGAACACAUAAGGCGUAGGAACUGUUAAAUACCACCCCAAUUUCUCCAAAAUUGCUUUCUCCAUGACAAGUACCUGUGAUCCAAUGUAAGCAUAGUCUGAUAUGCAAAUGAAGUCAUUAACCUGCAAAAUCAAAGCCAAUCAAUGAGAAUUUCUAAAUACUUUGAAACUAGUAGAAACAACUUAAAGAAACAAAAGAAGGAAGAGAAAAGAACUAGUAGAAACAAAAGAAAUUUUGAAAGAUACCUGUGGAGCCCAUAUUUCUUCAUACUUGCAUGCAAUGAGCAUUGAGCUAAUGCCAACUAGCUGAAGCUCCCUCCUGUUCACAGUUUUCAUGGAAAGAUAGCGAUCGAGUAUGUUUACAGUAAGAUACAGGGUUUCAGGCAUUAGUUUAAACUUGUUAUGAACUUCUAUCAGCCAGUCAACAAGGAUAGUUCUCAUCUUAGCAUUGAUAUUUGCCUGUGAGACCAUGUAAUCGUGCACUCGACCCUCUUCCUGCAUAAAAGUUUCCCAUUAUAAGAAAGAGGCCGGAACUACUGCUGAGAGUGAAAAGUAUAAAAGGAACAUUACUUCUGUGAGCUUGUAGAACAUGUAGAUAUCAUCAACAUAUUCAACAACUGCCAAAUCGUCAUUAACAUCUGGUGCAUCAAUGUUUACUAUCAAAUCCUUUGGCUUGUCAGUGAUUCCACAAGCAGCCUAAUACAAAUAAAUUUGGAAAAGACAAAGAUAAAUAUCUUAUUGAAGAAUCUUCAUAAUCAACAAAAUAACCCAAGAAGAACAUCAUCAAAACCACCUUGCUUCUAGCAGUGAGAACUGAAGUGAAUGUCCUGUCAUUCCUCCUCAGGGACCUUUCCUUUGAGCUCUGCUCCCCAACAGGUUUAAUUUUUUCGUUUUUAGCUUCUACUUCUUUAACGUUCUCUUCUUCAUCAGAGCUUAUCACAACUAAGUCAUUGUUGGCAAUUUCAGAUGCCUUUUUUUGAGGUUCUGCUGGCUUCUUUACAAUUCUACCUUUUUUGGUGGCUGCAGCUACAAUAUCAUCAACCACUACGAGCUGCAAAAAAAAAAAGCAUCCGGUCCAUAAAAUGGUCCAAUUAUUAAUGCCUCCAAUUACCAAGAUUCUAAAGAUAAAAAAGUUUAAUAUAACUAUAAAUAGCUGCAUAUUACUACCUUGUUCUUGUCUGCUGCUGCUUGCAGUUGUGCACAAAAACUCCUUGUCAUGGGGCGAGAGAUCUUCCCCUCCACAACUGGAAGCGUCUCCAUAUUGCCAAUAUCACAAAGAACUCGUCGAUUCUGACCUUGUGCUGGCUCAUUCUUCAUCUUUCCUCUUCCUAGAAGGCAAAAACAAAAUAAAAAGAGAAGAUUUUUAAACAACAUUCCACUGAAAUGAGACCUAAGAAAAAAAAAUGCAAAGAAAAAGAUAUAAUCUGGUUUUAGAAACAUAAUGUGAUCAAAAUAAUCCCAGAUGCUCUAGUAAAUGUCAGAAUUCAGAGAAACUUCCAUAAUUUGGAAAUUGACGAACAAAGAAUCAUUUAAAAAAGAAACAGGAUGAUAAUCUUAAGAACAAUACCCAAAUCUUUGGAAUUAAACAAGCAAUAAUUAAAAAAUCAAUUUUUUUAAUAAAAUCUACGUAAAAAAAUUUACACUGAGAGAGAGAAUGAAAAUUGAUAUUAGAACAAGCAAUAAACCCCUAGAACCCUAAUGAAUGAUACACGCUAAAGCAAACAAAAGCAGACGAAAAUAUUAUCAACCAUCAUUUAAUAAAACAAAACAACUGGGGAUCAAAAAGAAAUAGUACCCAGAAACACAUCAAUGCCCAUUAAUGAAAAGUAAAAUCCCUAAACUGAAUCAAAAUAUAACGAAUCACUUACCCAUAAAAUCCAAACAAAUAUAGUAUCAAGCAAAAAUAAUGCCUUUGGGUACCAUUAAAGAAUCAAAAGAGAAAAAUCAUACCCAUUAAAGGAGGAGGGGACGCACAAGUAAUUAAUGAAGAAAAUAAAUUGAGACUAGGAGAAGAAAUUAAUUAACCUUUGGGUUGCCUUGCAAUAACAGCAUUGGCUUCCAUUUUCAAUUCUUGGUCACAAUUUCCACACACUGUUACUCUGCUAAGUCUGGUAAAGAAUGAGGGUUUUUAACUUAAGAUGAUGGCUUGUUAAUGAAUUAAAACAACUUAGCCUUUUGAAAAAAAAAAACUAACGGUCAUAUUUUCAAUUUUCGAAUCGCCGCCGUUUGAUGAGUGCUUGCCAAAAUAAUCACACGGCUAAUAUCGCUUUUAACCAGCCAUGGGCCCCCAGCCCAGUUAGCCCGCCCAAUCCACUUUAGUGAAUAGUGAUAGUUAUUCAAGCAAUCAAGUUUUUUUUUUUUGGGCAAGUUUGAUAUUCAAUUCCAAACUAUAACAAUAAUUUAUAAAAACAUAAUCUUCAAAUUUCAGAAUUAGAACUGUGAAGAGGCAUGAUUGGGUGUUGAGAAGUUUUGUUAUCUUUUGUGUAAUUUUGAUCUUCAGAAUUUUUAACUAUUUGUAAUUUUUUAUUGAUUGAAUUCCUUUUUAUCUUUUUUAAAAUACUGUUUUUUAGGAUCGGUUCGAUAUCAUUUUGUGGAAUUUAUUUUUAUUUUCAUUUCGAAAUACAAAUAUAGUACAUGGUCAGCGCACUGUAUUGAAAAAAUAAAUUGUUAAAUAAAUAAUCACUACAUGCUGUCCCAAAGUAAUUAAUUAAUGAUAAUUAUGGAUAUUUCUAUAAUAAUAAUUUAAUUAGGAAUUAAUAACAAUGUACCUUACUCUUCUUAAUUUGUCAUUAGUUUAAAAAUAUAUAAUAUAGGCCUCAUCACCUGCAUAGCUCCCUGAUAUAAUAUCUAACUUACAUAUAAUAUCUAAUAUUUUUAUUUUAUACGGUUAAUAAUAUAACUUAGGUGUGCGAAUGCCAUCACAAGCUCGGGUAUCCCUCCGCCAUAUUUUGCUAAAAUUCAUUCUGAAACACUAAAUAAUCGAACAGGGCCCCACCCAAAAAUUACGUUCCUCCUGUUACUAAUAAGGCCCCAUUUUAUUUAUCAAAAAGGCCCUUCAUUUUAUAAAUAAUAAAAAUAUUAAUAAAAAAGGGGUAAUUUUUAAAAACCUCCCCUGAGGUUUGGACUUGUUGCAAGUAGAUGGCGAGAAUCUAUUUAUUUGUAAAAAAUCCCAUACCGUCAGUUAAUUUUAACAUUGACCGUUAGUUGACUGUGCAAAGACAAUAUUACCCUUAACAAUAGUUUGUAGACUGACAUAACUAAAAAAAAAACUAAAAUUAUUGGCUAUUUUACCCUCUUUAAAUUAUUGAUAUUUCCUUAAAGUUCCUACAAGAAAGAUAAAAUUAAAAACUUGAAAAUGAAAUAGUCAUAAUCUUUACCUAUGAUAUUGUAAAUCUUUGGAAUUUACAAGGAUAAAAUUGUCAAAAAAUAGGAUUUGUGCUUUUCGCGCCAAUAAUUUUAGUUUUUUUUUUUAGUUACGUCAGUCUACAAACUGUUGUUAAGGGUAAUAUUGUCUUUAUACAGUCAACUAACGGUCAAUGUUAAAAUUAACUGACGGUAGGGAGUUUUUUACAAAUAAAUAGAUUCUCGCCAUCUACUUGCAACAAACCCAAACCUCAGGAGAGGUUUUUAAAAAUUACCCAUAAAAAAAGUUAUAUAUGUCAUAGCUUAUUCUAUUAUCAUGCAUAAUUAUUCAAAAAAAUUAAAAAUUGAUACCUGAAAUCUAAUAAAAACGUUGCAUCUCAUAAUACAGGAAGGAGAAGCUUAAAAUAAUUUUUUAAUAUAAUUUUAAUGGUAAUUAUAAAAAAGUAUAACUUAUAUUUUUUAGCCUACGACCUUAAUUUUCCUAGGCCUUAUUAUGGUCUACGAAAACAAGUUGUUAAAAAUGCUUGUUUUAUGAUAUGAAAAAAAUUGAAUCAAAUCGACCGGUUCUUAAACCUCCACAUCAAAAGUUUGAGUUUAAUUGCGCUACUAUUUAAAUUGAAUAAUAAUAGAAUUUUCAAAGAAUAUUUUAAUAUUUUUAUCUGACGUGUUGAACUGGCAUUUAUUUAUGAGUGAUGAUACAACUAUAAAUUUUUAUAUAAAUUUAUUUUAUACAAACUGACGUGGCGUUAAUUCAUUAAUUGAAUAAAAAUAUAAAAUAAUAAAAAUAAAUUAUGUGGGCCAAAUGACAUUUAAUUCAACCAAUUUUAUCAUGCCACGCGAUUACUCAGGUAACAAUUUUCAGUACUUGCCCUGCUGUACGGCCAAGGCGGAUGUACGGUACAGCAGUUAAAAUUUUCACUUAAAAAUUAUUUAUGUUAAUAAAGUUCGUAAAGGAAAUGAGUUUAAUUAAUGAAUAUUAUAGGAGAAAUUAAAGGAAACGAGUUUAAUUAAAGAAUAUUAUAGGAGAAAUUCUAUUGUUUGGUUUUUAAUAAAUUAAUUAAUAGGUUUAAAAAAAUUAAUAUACAUCAAAAUAUUAUUAGUUGGUGGUGGUUCCACAUCGGACUAAGACGUGGCACCUUACUUGUGAGAUUAAGACAAUCGGCUUAGACUAUUUAAAUAUGUUUGAAGCUUAGAUGGCACCGCUUCAAUUUGCAUUAAUGAAUGUCAUUCUUUAUCCUAAUUACUACCGUAAUUGAUAACAUGCAAUUGAAAUAACUAAUAUUAGCACUUGGCUAUAAAUGAACUAAAGGCCGUGCAAUUGAAUCCUUACUUGAUCACUUCAUUCCUUUAUUUUGCUAACACGUCUGUUUAUAAGAUUAACAGGUGCCAGCUAUUCCAUUACAAAUUCUCCCCUUCAUCAUACAUUUUGUUAAAAUUCAUUCUGAAACACUAAAACUAAAUAAUCGAAUAUGGGUUUGCGGGUCAAUGAUGCCAGAAGCAAUGAGAGUGCAAUUAUCACUUGUUUAGUUUCUGUGCUUGCCGUGGUUUACUUCGCAUGGAAUGUGAAAAAAUCAAGGAAAGCAAAUGCUAAACUUCCACCAGGACCUCGCGGCUUGCCUGUAGUCGGAUACCUCCCAUUUCUCGGAACUACUGACUUGCACAAGAAAUUCACGGAAUUAUCCGGAGUUUAUGGUCCGAUCUUCAAGCUCUGGCUCGGAAAUAAAUUAUGUGUAGUGGUGAGCUCACCUUCCCUAGUUAAACAAGUGGUUCGUGAUCAAGAUACAACAUUCGCAUACCGUGACCCGCCGAUCGCUGGACUAGUGGCCACCUUUGGUGGCAAUGAUAUUGCAUGGUCCAAUUACGGUCCCGAAUGGAGAAAGUUGCGCAAAUUUUUUGUGGGCAAGAUGAUGAGUAACGCAAGCCUUGAUGCUUGUUAUGCUCUAAGAAAACAAGAGGUUAAAAAUACUAUCAGGGAUUUGUAUAACAACAACAACAAAAUUUGCAAGCCCAUUGACAUUGGUGAAUUGUCGAUUUCAACACUGGUAUGUGCUAUGCAGAACAUGCUGUGGGGUGAAGCGCUUGAAUUAAAAGAGAAAGGGACCACUAUUCUUGGGGUUGAGCUAAAAUUUAAGCUUGCAGAACUCAUGGUGCUACUGGGAACACCGAAUAUUUCGGAUAUCUUUCCAAUGCUUUCAUGGCUCGACAUACAAGGUAUAGAGAGGAGAGCAAAGAAGAUUUCACUCUGGUUUGAAAAUAUUAUAAAUUCUACUGUUGAAAAGUAUAGAAGCAAGGACUUUAAUGUUGAAGGUAAAGAAAGAGCAGGGGAAAAUUUUGAAGGAUCAAGGAACAAGAACUUCUUGCAGUUACUAUUGGAGCUUCAAGAAAAUGAAGACGGUUCUUCCUCAAUUAGCAUGAACCAAUUUAAGGGCGUGCUCGCGGUAUGUUAAGCAACUAGCCACGAACAGUUGUAUAUUUGCAUGAGUGACGCUUUUCAACUUUUUUUAAUUUUUUAAAUUAAAGUUUUAUUGUAAUCUUUUGAACAGGAUAUAAUUACGGGUGGAACCGACACCACAACUACGAUGGUGGAAUGGACAAUGGCAGAGUUGAUGCAGCAUCCACAAGUAAUGAAGAAAGUUCAGGAAGAAUUAGCUCAAGUUGUGGGCAUGGACAGUUGUGUUGAAGAAUUUCAUUUGCCUAAAUUGAAAUAUUUAGAUGCUGUGGUGAAAGAAUCGUUUCGUCUGCAUCCUGCAUUGCCUUUAUUAGUACCACGCAGAGCAAGUGAGAGUGGCAGCAUUGGUGGCUAUACCAUUCCCAAAGAUACAACUCUUAUGUUGAAUGUUUGGGCUAUCCACAGGGACCCUCAACUUUGGGAUAAUCCCUUAGAAUUUCGACCCGAGAGGUUUCUGAAUGUUGGUGUCGAGAGUAAGUUCGAUUACUCAGGUAACAAUUUUCAGUACUUGCCAUUUGGUUCUGGUAGAAGGAUGUGUGCUGGGAUUCCUCUAGCUGAGAGGAUGCUGAUGUUUGUUCUGGCUUCGUUAUUGCACUCAUUUGAGUGGGAAUUGCCAGCUGGCACAAAGCUAAACUUAUCUGAAAAAUUUGGGAUUGUCAUUAAGAAAAAAGAGCCUAGUGAUUUCACUUUCACAUUUUUUUUUAUCUGCUGUACGGCCAAGGCGGAUGUACGGUACAGCAGACAAAAUGAUUGUGAUGAUUUUGUGAGUAUCGGAAGAUUUGUAUGUUAUUUCAAGUUCAAUCGUAAUAAAAUAUUUCAAUAAAAGUCCUCCGUUGCUAAUUUUUUUUUCAACGGCAUAAUCUGUCAUCAUGCUUGUGUUUGGAGCUACUUUGAAAUAAUUUUUGAAUUACAAUUUAUAAAUAUUUACAUUUUAAAAUUUUAUGAGAGUCUAAAUCUAUACACGUUCAAUAAAAAAUUUCCUAAAAGUUUUAGGAUUCAAAAUUCUAUUAAAGUAUAGAUGAAACUUUUAUACCUCCUAAUUUUUUGGUCUAUUCUACGAGUUUAAAGAGGAGAUAUUUCUAGAGCUAGUAAAAAGAGUUACCUGAUUGUUUUCGCGUUAUGUCAUUUUUUUAUUGUGUUAAAUUUAAUUUGACUCAAAUAUGACCCAUUUAAUAAUCGUGUCAAAAUAUUAAAACUUAAACUUGACACGGAAAAUAACUGGGUGACCGAAAAACCCAUUUAAUGAUUAGGUAACUAUGUCACUUAAUACGACAUAACCCAAUAACUCGUUUAAUACAUAUUUAACAUAAUUUACAUUGUACAUUGUACAUUGUACACCAUUUUGUCAUAAAUUACACUAUUUUAUAUUUCUAAAUAAUAUUAUAUAUUGAUAUUGUAUAAAAAAAAAUCAAUAAUCUCAAAAUUUGUACACCUCCUAACUUUUAAAAAUAAAUAAAAAACUAAUUAAUUAAUGUUUAUUUUAUUCAUUAAUAUAUCAUAAUCCUACAUGUGUUUUAUUUGUUAUUUUUUUUAUUUAAAAAGAUAGGUAGGUGGAUGAAACUCAAAUAAAUUUUUAGCCUAUCUUGAUCUUUCAAGUUUCUUAUUUAGGUGGCCAGCUAAAGAAAAUUACUUAAAAACUACUCCAUCAAUUUAACAAAUUUUAUUUAUUUAUUUAAUGGAGGUGUAGAAAAUAAAAGUAUCUUCAAGCACAUUGCAAUAGUGAAAGCAAUGUACCGGUGUUGCAACAUAAAUGAACCUUGAUAACCUAUCACAUAUUUUAAGUUUUAACAUUGGUAGUUCACGGAUCAGUUUCUACUUCCACGAACAAUUAUUGAAGGAAAUGAGUUUUUUUUUUUUUAAUGAAUAUUUAUAGACCCCGAUUAAAUAUUCGAAUAUAUAAUAAAAGAGAAACUGACAUAGAAAUGAGAAAGAUAUUUGGAGGAGGCAAAAAAAAAAAAAAAAUGCAACAGACAAUUAGAUCAGCAACACAAUUAACUAAUUAAUUCAUCUAUACAUCAUAAUCCUAUUUGUAUCUUCUUCCUUCUUCUAAUUUACAUAUAAAUUUGGUUAGAUAAAACAUAUUUUAAUACUCGGUCACAAUCGGUGGAUAUAGAAAAUUAAUUUAGAGGGGGUAAUACCAUAACGAAAAAUAAUGAUUCAUAAUUAAAAUCAACCCCAACAUCAAAACUUAUUUACAAGAUCACCCCCAGUCAAAGGUAAUUUUUCCUAAAAACUAACACGAAAUUAAAUAAAUUUAACUUUUAGUGGGUUCAAUUGCCCACGCAUUCUGAACGUAGAUCCACCCCUGGCCCCGACUGAAGCAUUUUUUACAAUAUGUACUCUGUUUAUCAGCGGGAACAGCCUUCCACCUUAAAUUAAAAUUUUCACUUAAAAAUGAUUAAGGUUAAUGAGGUUAGUAACAAAAAUGAGUUUAAUUAGAGAAUAUUAUAAGAGAAAUUCUAUUUUUUGACUUUUAAUAAAUUAAGAUAUAUUAAAAUAUUAUUAGUUGGUGGUGGUUUCACGUCAAAUUAAGACGUGACACCUUACUUAUGAGGUGGAGACAAUCGGCUUAAACUAUUUUAACGCAUUUGAAAUUUGCACUAAUGGCUAUCAUUCUUUGUCCAAAUUAAUACGAUAAUUAAUAACAUACAAAAGUCAAGAAAAUGAAAAUUUAUCCCAAUUAAAACACUUUCUGGCUGCAUUUGGCUGUUUCCAUUUGAAGUUAAAAACGACAACGUUUCUUUCGUUUUGUGGGCGAUUCGAUUGAGCAGGCGCCACUAGCUAGCUGGCUUCCAGUGCUAGUGUGUGACGAUAGAAGGCUAGUGAUUUCACUUUCACAUUUUUUUUUAUUAUUUUUUUUGGGGAAUCAAGAUAAAAGUCAAGAAAAUGAAAAUUGGGCUGUUUCCAUUUGAAGUUAAAAACAGCGUUUCUUUCGGGGCGUCAAUUUGAUAUUUGAAUGGACAGGCAAGUAAGAAAUACAUUUCCUUCAUAGACAGUGACAACGAGGACAUCAAGCCACAUCAUUAUAGUUUGUAGCCCAUCUACAUUUAAACGAUUAAUAAACAAGAUUAGGUGUGCCACUGCUAUUAUUAAUUAUCCCCUGAUCAUUAUAGUUUCUGAAACAGUAAAACAAAACGAAAUUGAAUACAUCAACGAGACCGCAAUUAUCACUUGUUUAGUUGCGGUAUUUAACUUAAUUUUAAUAUAAUAUAUUUGUUAGUUAAACUUUUAAUAAUCAAAUAAUUUUGAUUUAAAAAUAAAAUUAUAGAAAUUAUUAAUUAUUAAAAAUUCACAAUUAAGGGAACGUUCAUCAAACACACAUAGCUAUUGUUUUCUCUAUAUAUUGCAGUGUGUACGAUAUUGAGGGUUGAAGCCCCAAGCAUGCUCUAAAAUCCAGAUAAUAAUUAGAUCCAUGCAAAAUAUUCAUCGUUGUAUCAGCUGAUCAGUUGGUGGUGAUGAAGGGUGUUAUUGGCGGAGCUCAAAGUUAUUAUGUGCAUGUUGGGUGGAUAUCUCUAUUGAAAAUAUCUCUGAUAUUUCACUCGACAAACUUGUUAAUAUAAAAAAAUCUAUGGUUUUGCCGUCUGCAUACUGUAGAAAAUUUUGUCUCUACGUUAAUCUAAAUGUUUGAGGUGAUUAGAAAUUGCCUACUAUAUAUAAAGGGAAAUAAUUUCUAGGUUGAUUGAUACAUCUCUAUUGAAAAUAUCUCUGACAUUUCACUCGACAAACUUAUUAAUAUAAAAAAUCUGUGGUUUUGCCGACUGAAUAAUGUAGAAAAAUUUGUCUAUGCAUUAAUCUAGAUGUUUGAGGUGAUUUAUACAUCUGUGGUAAAGAUUUAUAGGUUGACUUAUACGUCUGUGGUAUAGAUUUUAUGUAUUUCAUUACAAAAUGCUGGCCGUUAGAACCCUUUCUACAUCUAUUUAUAAGAUUAACGGGUGCCAGCUAUGCCAUUACAAAUUAUCCCCUCAUCAGAUAUUUCGUUAAAAUUCAUUCUGAAACACUAAAACUAAAUAAUCGAACAUGGCUUUGCGGGUCGAUGAUGCCAGCAGCAAUGAGACUGCAAUUAUCACUUGUUUAGUUUCUGUGCUUGCCGUGGUUUACUUCGCAUGGAAUGUGAAAAAAUCAAGGAAAGCAAAUGCUACACUGCCACCAGGACCUCGCGGCUUGCCUGUAUUCGGAUACCUCCCAUUUCUUGGAACUACUGACUUGCACAAGAAAUUCACGGAAUUAUCCGGAGUUUAUGGUCCGAUCUUCAAGCUUUGGCUUGGAAAUAAAUUAUGUGUAGUGGUGAGCUCACCUUCCCUAAUUAGACAAGUGGUUCGUGAUCAAGAUACAACAUUCGCGAACCGUGACCCACCGAAGGCUGCACUAGUGGUCUCCUAUGGUGGCAAUGAUAUUGCAUGGUCCAAUUACGGUCCCGAAUGGAGAAAGUUGCGCAAAUUUUUUGUGGGCAAGAUGAUGAAUAACGAAAGCCUUGAUGCUUGUUAUGCUCUAAGAAAACAAGAGGUUAAAAAUACUAUCAGGGAUUUGUAUAACAACGACAACAAAAUUGGCAAGCCCAUUGACAUUGGUGAAUUGUCGUUUUCAACAUUGGUAUGUGCUAUACAGAACAUGCUGUGGGGUGAAGCGCUUGAAUUAAAAGAGAAAGGGACCACUAAUCUUAGGGCUGGGCUAAAAUUUAAGCUGGCAGAACUCAUGGUGCUUGCGGGAACACCGAAUAUUUCGGAUGUCUUUCCAAUGCUUUCAUGGCUCGACAUACAAGGUAUAGAGAGGAGAGCAAAGAAGAUUUCACUCUGGCUUGAUAAUGUUAUAAAUUCUACUGUUGAACAGCAUAGAAACAAGGAGUUAACUGUUGAAGGUGAAGAAAGAGCGGGGAAAAAUUUUGAAGGAUCAAGGAACAAGAACUUCUUGCAGUUACUAUUGGAGCUUCAAGAAAAUGAUGACAGUGCUUCCUCAAUUAGCAUGAACCAAUUCAAGGCCGUACUCGCGGUAUGUUAAGCAACUAGCCACGAACAGUUAUACAAGCACAGUUGUAUAUUUGCAUGAGUGAUAUUUUCAACCUUUUUUUUUUAAUUAGAAUUUUAUUGUCACCUUUUGGACAGGAUAUAAUUACGUCUGGAACCGACACCACAACUACGAUGGUGGAAUGGACAAUGGCAGAGUUGAUGCAGCAUCCACAAGUAAUGAAGAAAGUUCAGGAAGAAUUAGCUCAAGUUGUGGGCAUGGACAGUUGUGUUGAAGAAUUUCACCUGUCUAGAUUAAUGUAUUUAGAUGCUGUGGUGAAGGAAACAUUUCGUCUGCAUCCUGCAGUGCCUUUAUUACUACCACGUAGGGCAAGCGAGAGUAGCAACAUCGGUGGCUAUAACAUUCCCAAAGAUACAACUAUUAUGUUGAAUGUUCGGGCAAUCCACAGGGACCCUAAACUUUGGGAUAAUCCCUUACAAUUUCGACCCGAGAGGUUUCUAGAUGACGGUAUCGCGAGUAAGUUCGAUUACUCAGGUAACAAUUUUCAGUACUUGCCAUUUGGUUCUGGUAGAAGAAUGUGUGCUGGGAUUGCUCUAGCUGAGAGGAUGCUGAUGUUUGUUCUGGCUUCCUUAUUGCACUCAUUCGAGUGGGAAUUGCCAACUGGCACAAAGCUAAACUUAUCAGAAAAAUUUGGGAUUGUCAUUAAGAAAAAAGAGCCAUUGGUUGCUAUUCCAACACCAAGACUAUCCAAUUCAGAGCUCUACCAUUAAGACAAUGGUUGUGAUGAUUUUGUUAAUUUCCGAAGAUUUGUAUGUUAUUUUAAGUUCAAUCGUAAUAAAAUAUUUCAAAUAAGAGUCCUCCGUUGCUUUUUUUUUUUUUUCAACGGCAUAAUCUGUCGUCAUGCUUGUAUUUGGAGCUACUUUGUAAUAAUUAUGUUUGAAUUACAAUUUAUAAAUAUUACAUUUUAAAAUUUUAUGAGAGUCUAAAUUUAUACACGUUCAAUAACCCGCUUCAUACAUAUUUAACACAAUUUAUAUCAUACAUUGUACACCCAUUUGUCAUAAAUUACACUAUUUUGUAUCUCUAAAUAAUAUUACGUAUUGAUAUUAUAAAAUAUAUAUAUAUAUGUUUAUCAAAAGACGAUACCAUUCAAUAUAUAUUGAAAAGUGAACAAAGAAAAUUUUCUUAUGGUUUAAAAAUAUUAUGAAUUCUGCUGUUGAACAGUAUGGAAACAAGGUCUCUGUUGUUAAAGGUGAAGAAGCAACAGGGAACAAUAUUGAAGGAAGAAAUUUCACAUGUUUAGUUGCUGAAUUUGCCGCUGUAUUCUAUCGGUAGCAAAAAGAUUAGAGUUUUUAUUUUUCUCUAUUAAUGUUAAGUCAAUUUUCUAUAACAAAUUCGGUUGAGUUUAAUUGUGUUACAAUAUAAAUUGAAUGAUAAUAGAAUUUUCAACGAAUAUUUCAAUAUAUUUGUUAUGCGAUGGAUUUUAAAAUUUAUAAAAUUAUUUGUUACUAAAUUGCAUCAUAUGCUAAAAUCACCUGAAACCUAAUUCCAUAACUAACCCUUUAUUUUUAGUCUCAAGAAAUCUUGUAAGAACAAAAUUCUUUUAUAACAAAACUUUUACAACACAUUAAUUUGUAACUCAUUCCUGUGCGAGAAUCACUCUCAAUUUCCUUCAAUUGCUGUUGAACAAUCAUCUGCUUAUCAAAAUUCAAGCAUAAUUUUUUUUUUUUUUUUUAAUUUCUUCAUCAUUCUUUUGAAAAAAAAAUCAGGAUAUGCUGUUAAAUUUUGAAAUAAAUUAUCUCAAAAUAAUUACUAAGCAGAAAAAACAAAGGGGUUUAACUAGGCUAUGCACCUUUGAAAAUUAUAUGUUGAUCGAUAAGAAUGAUGAUCACGAUUGAGGAGUUUAAUUAAAAUAUAUAAGAUUUUAAAAUUAAUCAAGGUUAAAUUGUGAAUUCUAGAAAGAGAGGUUUUGUGAGAAUGCUGAAAGGGUCUUAAUAGUUCCACUCUUUUUAAAAGCAACCAUAGUCAUCAUUUUUCCCGAUUUCUUCUUCCCAUCUCCAUCUUACUUAGAAAUUUCCCAGAGCCUUUGUUUCCCACCUUUCAUUUUUCUUCUUUCUAAUUUAAUAUUAUAGUAUUAUAAAAAUAAUUACUCACAUUUUAUCAAACACCUCCAUUCUACCAAGGCCUUGUUUUAGUAGUAGGCUUUUAUUAUCUCAAUAAAAUUGAAAAAACAAAUCUCAAUAAUAUUGGAAAAAAAAAACCUACCCAUAUUUGUAACUUUAAUUUAUUAUUCUGCAUAGACCUACUUUUUAGCUUUGAAUUUUGUUGGAGCCAUGUAUAAACAGAAUAUGUUGAAAUCAGCACCAAAAAAAAAAAAAAACUAAUUAUAUAAUUUCUGUUCCCAAGGACCUGACUGAGUGAUUCUCAAGAAGUUUUGUUUGGCUGGCUACUUAGGUUUAAAUCUUGGUGGAGAUUAGGGGUUAAGAAAUAAAUUUGGACUUUGCACACCCCUUUAACUUUUAAAAAGAAAUGAAAAAAACUAAUUAAUAAUCUUUAUUUUAUUUAUUAAAUGUCAUAAUCCUAUGUGUAUUUUAUUUGUUAUCUUUCUAUUUAAAAGACAGGAGGGCAGAUAAAACUGAAAUAAAUUUUUAGCCCUAUCUCCAUCUUUCAAAUUUCAUAGUUAGGUGACCAGCUAAAGAAAAUUAAUUGAAAACUACUCCAUCAAAUUAAAAAUUUUUAUUUAUUUAAUUUGUGGAGAUGUAGAAAAUCAAACCCCAUGCCUUUUCGCAUGCAAAAGUGUCAACCUGAUCUAGCUAUGUUGCAACAGUGAACAUAUUUCAAUACAUGACUAUCAUCCUUUAUCGUAAAUACUACUAUAACUAAUAACAUACAAUUGAAAUAAUUAGUGUUAACACUUGGCUAUAAAAAAAAGGUUUUGUGCUUGAAUCUUCACGCAUGACCUUCAUUCCCUUAUUGACUUUGCUAACACAGAUUUUGAGGCAUUAAAACUAAAUAAUAAUUGACUUUGUGGGCCGAGGAUGCCAGCAACAAGGAGACCACAAUUAUCACUUGUUAAGUUACUCUAAUUGCGGUUGUCUUAUAUUCAUAGAAUAUUAGUAAUAAGAUUAUUGUAGAAUUUUUUUUAUAUUAAAAUCAAGUCAAUUUGUUAUAACAAAUUUAGUUGAAUUUAAUCGUAUUACCACUUAAAUUGAAUAAUAAUAGAAUUCUCGACAAUAUUUCAAUAUUUUAAUCUCAAGCAUUGGAGUGGCAUUUAUUUGUUAUACGGUCGAUUUUAGAAAUUUUCAAAUUAUUCGUUACUGAAUUGCACCAUAUGCUGCAUCACCUGGAACUUACUAAACGGAACGUAGCGUUGGCACCGUUACUCAACAUUCACUGUUACGACUUUGCGACAUUAGAAUUAAAAUCUUUUCCACAUUUAAUUUGUUUACUUCCAAAUUAAUAUUUAACAAAAUAUUUUUUCACAUUAUCAAUGGACAAAACUCCAACGAAAAUAACUAUUCAAGAAAAAUGUAUGCUAGCAUUGUAUGCCAUAUCAUCUGUAAUUUUGUCAGGAUCGAUCAUUCUAAUUUUUAAGCAGAACUUUUUAUCAAUGGACAAACACCUCACACAGCUUGUCAGAGGCAUUAUUAUGAUGGAAAACUGCAAUGGUAUAUCUUGAAUUAUUGGUAGAAUAGUUCUUUGGAGCAAUAAAAACAGAUAAGACAGAUGAGAAAAUUGUCAAUACCCCACCGCAAAAGCAAAAGAAAAAAAGGAAAGGAGACAAAAGAGGAAGAAGAAAAAGAAAAAAGAACGAAGACAAAAAUGGUGCCGUGCGGUAUAGGGAAGAAGGAAAAAAAUUAAUAAAAUAAUAGUGCAUAGCAGUCAUGUGAUUGCUAUAAAUAAAGGGGCGUUUCCCUCAUUUUAUUCUUCGAAUUCUUUAGUGCCUUUUAAGCGAUUUAAGAGUCUAGUGAUUUGAGAGUUUGGGUGUAUUAUGGUUUUAAAUAGUGAGAUAAAAUAUUACAAUAUUUGUAACUCAUUUUUAUUAGUAAAAUAUUUUCCUUUUAUUUUCGCUCGUGGACGUAAGCUAAAAGUCAAACUACAUAAUUUAUGGUGUCCCUAUGUAAUUAUGUGUCUCAUUAUUUCUCAAUUUCGCUUUAGUUGCGUGUCUGCUAAACCCUUCAAUUUACUAACAAAAAUCGCCAAAAUUAUAUAAGCGGCCCAAAUGUUUUGCUAUUUCCAAGAAAUCCCCAAUCUGAAUGGACUAGACCAGAGGGAGGCAAGUUAGAAAUACGUUUCCUUCAUAGACAAUAACAACGAUGAGUCGAUGACAUCAAGCCACGUCGGUAUCAAUAUUGAAUUAAAGGUGUAAUUAUUCAGCCAAUGAGCCUUACACAUCAAGAUAAAAGUCAAGAAAAUGAAAAUUUAUCCUAAUUAAAACACUUUCUUGCUGCAUUUAGUUGUUUCCAUUUGAAGUUAAAAACAACGUUUCUUUCGUUUUGUGGGCAACUCGACUGAGUUAGCUGGCUUUUAGUGCUAGUAUGUGAAAAUAGAAGGCUAAUGAUUUAUUUGUUAUCUUUUGAUAAAAUUAUUAAAGAUAUAAUAUAUUUUCCAUGAUAUAAGUGAAAAAUCGCAUCAACAUAGUUUCCAAGCUACAACAGCUAGUGUUUACCAAACACUUUGCUGUAUCUUUUAAGCUACAACUACCCAACCUUAAUCACAAACGCACCCUUAAUAGGUUGAUUGAAUUUGUGGGAUAUAGAUUCCACAUAUCUCAUGACCUAGUAAUUAUACAAGUGGUUCGUGAUCAAGAACAACAUUUGCUUCCGGCCCAGUGACCCAGCAACUGCUGCAUUGGUCGCCACCUAUGGUGCCGACGAUAUUGCAUGGUCCAAUUGUGGCCUUGAAUGAAAAAAGUUGUGCAAAUUAUUUAUGGGCACGAUGAUAAGUAACGCAAGCCUUGAUGCUAGUUAUGGUCGAAGAAAACAAGAGGUUAAGAAUACUAUCAGAGAUAUUCAUAACAACAAAAAGGAAAAAAAAAAAGGCGUUGGCAAGUCCAUUGAUAUUGGUGAAUUGUCGAUUUCAACUUUGGCAUGUGUAAUUUAGAACCUGCGCAUUGUGGUAUGGCACUGGCACGCUUGCAUUGACGAGGGGACAAAUCUUGGGGCUGAGCUAAAAUUUAGGCUUGUAGAACUCAUGGUGCUAAUGGGAACACCAAAUAUUUUUUGACAUAUUUCGGUGCUUUCAUGGUUUAAUUCAAGGUAUAGAAAGGAGUGUUGAGAAUGUCAAAUAAAACGACAUUGAAUGGAAGUUUUCAAAGACAUGAUCCGCACUGAACAGCAACGACACGGUUGGUGAAGAUUUUUUCGUAAUACGAGUAUCUAAUUUUUGAAAAAUUAUAACCUCUGCAUCUAUAAAUAUGCUCAAUGUAUAAUGUUUUACUUAAGAAAUGAAAAACUUGUUUCUUCAUGGUAUCAGAGCGAGGUUCAGUGCCCUUAGGCUUGGCAAAACCUCGGGUCCGGUCCGGGUUUGGUGCAACCCGGGACCGGACCGGCUGCCAAAAAUUGAAACCCGGACCCGGACAAAACCCAACUUUUGCAUGUCCGGUCCGGGCUUGAGCCCGGCGUGUCUCGGGUCCAGAUCCGGUCCGGGCUUGAGCCCGGCGUGUCUCGGGUCCAGAUUUUGUCUUCCGGGCUUCUAAGCCCGCAAACAAUUAUUUCAAAAAAAAUUAAAAAAGGCUCACAGCAGUAAGUCAGCAACAUAAAAUUAAAAAAGGCAAAAGGAUUUGGCCUAAAAAAUAGAGCAACAGUAAUCACAAAUUCACAGGCUCACAGCAAGUCAGCAACAAUGCACAAAAUUGGUCGAAGAUAAACACGAAUAGCAACAGCCAACAGAGAAGCAAUCGACAAAAAUGCAACUGGGAAGACAAAAUUUAUUAUUUCGCUAACAGACCUAUAAUGUUCUAAUGUCUUUUCAUUUUAUUUAAAAUACCAAGAAAAGAAAAGGUGAAAUCUAUAUGUGUUGUUAGGCCAAUUACCUAAGGUGUCGGUUCAAGAUUCAAGAAACACAAUGACCAGGUAAUUAAACAAGGAGCAAAGUCACUUGCUAUAUAUAUAUAUAUAUUAAAGAGAGGGCUAAAACUGAUGAGGCUGAGAAGGAGAGCUUGAAACAGAAGGCAAAAGAGUUGGAUGAGGAGGUUGCUCGUCGUGAUAUGUAGUGAUCGAGGAAAAAGACAAAAUGAUUGCAGAUAAGGGAAAGAUGGUUGAUUAGUUGAAGAAGGAAAGCCAAGUUAAGCAUGAUGAAAAUAUUUUACUGGAGCAACAGCCGCAACCGAGCAAAACCGAGUCAGCAAAUGCCAAACGAGAAGAGAUGAUGCCCACUGCCGAGUACCGAGGGGCGACGGUGACGGACUGACGGUGGGUGCUAGCCAACGGUGACGGUGGGUAGCCGGUGGCAGCAUCGCUGCUUAUGCCUUUGAGUUUGGGUAACUGGGGUCUGGGAAUUCGAAUUAGGGAUUUGGGUGUUUUGCGAUUUGGGUUUGGGUAACUGGUUUUAGAUUUUUUUUAAAGUUUAUUCAGAAAACGGGUUCGGGUCCGGGUCCGGGUUCCGGGUUUUUGGUGCUGAACUCGGACUGUGCCCGGAAAUGUCCGGGUUUUAAAUUUUGAAACCCGGAUCCGCUUUUGCAGCAUAUGCGGUCCGAGUUUUGCCCGGACCGGAUUGGCCGAGUCCGGACUGGAUCUGGUCCGGGCGGGUUUUUUUGACACCCCUAACUGCCUUGUUUGUAACAAAAGCAAAGAAAACUAAAUUCUUCCCACAACUAUUUUUCCACCAUUUUUUCUUCCUUAAAAGCAUUUCUAGCAUUAUAGAAACCCAUGCCAAUAAAAGAACAAGCCACACAUACGUAAAAACUUAAGUUUACAAAUCUAUCAACAGUCUCAUAAAUUUUCCCAAAAAGUGAUCUUAAAAAACCAAAAAUAUCAUCAAUUUUCUCAGCUUCCAAUAAACAAACUAUAAAAGUUUCGCACUCAAACACAGCCACACGCGCCUCCACGCACUUCCCGGAAUCACGGCCAACCACCACGUGCCUCCGUCACCACUAACUCACCCUCAUGCGCUCCAGAGGUUGCAGAAGACGCAAAAUAACGUGUCGUUUUCUUCUCUAGAAGUGCAGCAGCUUGGAAAAUGACUCGUCAUUUUUAUUCCGUUAGAAACGACAUGUCGUUUUCUUAAGCAGAAAUAAAACAACUUGUUGUUUUUGCCUUAAAUUUGUUUUUUCCUCGUUUGAAGCUAUACAACAUUUUUCUUUCUAAACUUGUUUUUUGCAAUAAAAAAGAAAAAAAUAGAGAAAACUCCAACUGAAUCUACUCAUGUUGUCAUUCAAUCUGUUCAACCUGAUGGAGUAUUUAAUGCCAGAAUUAUCCUUACUAAGACAAACUACGAUAUUUGGUCUCAAAUUAUAGAGAUGCAUCUCGCAGAAAGAAAAAAAAAACUCUCAUAUAUUCGUAGCAGCACAAAGCCAUCUGACAAAUUUUCAAAGGAAUAUGAGAAAUGGUAUAGUGAGAAGCAAAAAGUAAAAAGAUGGUUACUAAUAUCCAUGUGUCCUGAGAUCAUGAAGCUAUAGUUACGAAUUCCUACAGCUUACAAAAUUUGGAAUGCAUUAUCAAAAGUCUUUUAUGAUGGAAGCGAUGAAAUACAAGUUUUCACUCUAAACCAGAAGGCGUUCUCUACGAAGCAAAAUGGACAACCACUCUCUAAAUUCUACGGAGAAUUGAUCGAAGUAUUUGAAGAACUUAAUCAUCGAGAUAAAGUGGUCAUGAAGGAUCCAGAAGAUGUUAUAAUAUACAGAAAGUCUAUUGAAAGAUUAAGAGUGCACAUUUUUCUUGCUGGGCUAGAUGAAGAAUUUGACCAAGUUUGUGGAGAAAUUCUACGAAAAGAUACUAUCCCAAACUUAAAAGAAUGUUAUUCUAUAAUCCGAAAAAAAGAUGUACGGCAAAGCAAACUAAACAAGAAGGUGGACGACUCAGAAACGUCUGCUAUGAUAGCACUAGAGAACAAUGUUUUGAAAUUGUUGGAUAUCCUGACUGGUGGCAUACUCAAAGGAAUAACACAAAGCAGGGAUAAAAAACUGCAAUGGCUGAAUCCACAUCCACUACAGAUCUUAGAAAAGAAUCUUCAGCGCAAAUUGCAACCCCUGUCAAUUCAGGUAAUGUCCUUAAAACUCUUACAUAUGUUAUUAAUAGUAUAUGAAUAAUUGAUUAUGGUGCAACUGAUCAUAUGACUUUUGAUUCUCGACAAGUUUCUCAAUUGAAACCAUCUUCACAAAAACAUGUUUCCAUUGUAAAUAGAACUACAACCUCAGUUAUUGGGGAAUGAUCUUUACAACUCACAGUUAAAUUAAAUUUAGACUAUGUGUUAAUUGUUCCAUCUUUAAAUUAUAAUCUUUUAUAUGUGUCUCAAAUAACCACUUACUUAUCAUGUGUUGUAAUGUUUUGGCUCGAUCAUUGCGUGUUUAAGGACAUCCAAACGAAGCAAAUGAUUGGUUAUGGUAUUAAACGAGACAACUUAUAUUACCUGGAGAUGACAUCAACAAACACUGAAAAGCUAAGCCCCGCAUUAGUAGCAAACAGUUCCAUGAAAAAAAAAAGAAAUAAGAAAUUUGGUUAUGGUAUAGACGUUUAGGGCAUGUGUCAUUUGGUUACUUAAAAAAAUUAUUUCCUAGUUUGUUUCUGAAAUUUGAUGUUUGUGAACUUUCAAAUAGUCAUCGAACUAAUUUUCCAUUGUCCUUAAAUAAAAAUCCAGUUCCUUUCAUGGUAGUACAUUCUGAUGUAUGGGGACCAUCUAAAGUUUCUAUCAUUAGAAAAACUCAUUGGUUUGUUACAUUUAUUGAUGAUUGUAGCAGAAUGACAUGGAUUUUUUUUUAUGAAAUCAAAAGACGAAGUAAAAUCUUAAUUUAUUUCAAAGAUUUCAUAUGAUGGUGACGAAUCUAUUUCAGACACAAAUUUGAGUUCUACAUACUGAUAAAGGAGGCGAGUAUAUGAGCACAGCAAUUUAACAGUUUUUUAAAUCACAAUGAACUGACCACCAAACCACUUGUGUGGGGACACUCCAACAAAAUGGCGUUGCUAAACGGAAAAACAGACAUUUACUAGAAGUUGUUCAAGCAUCACUAAUCUAGACCUACAUGCCACUGUUUUAUUGGGGAGAAGCACUAGUAUCCGUAGCAUACUUGAUCAAUCGGACACCUUCAAUCUCCCUUGGAUUCCAAACUCCUUUUCUGGUUCUAAAUGAAGAAUUAUGUCAUCAAAUGUGCCAAAUUUACCCUCAUAUAUGUUUGGUUGUGUUGCCUUCGUUCAUUUGCCACGACAAGACAAAUUAUCUCCUCGAGCACUACGUUGUGUGUUUGUAUGGUAUGCCUUACAUCAAAAGGGGUACUGAUGCUAUCAUCCUCUAUUAAAAAAAAUAUAUACAUCACCAUGGACGCUUCUUUCAUGAAGAUAUCAUGUACUACCCAUCGGAGCAUAAAUUUCAUGGGGAGUAUAAUAAAGAGGAAAUUCAUACUCUUACAUAUCUUCCACCUGAAGAAGAUUAAUCCUCCAUUGAGGUAGUAAACCUUCAAGAUAUUGGAAAAUAAAAUGGCGAUGAUUCUCAGGCUGAGACAAGUGAAGACACAUUUGGGGAGCAAAAUAACUCAGACAUAACCACAAUCGAGAACGAGUCCAUGAAGAAAUAUCUAACAAAUCAUCUGCAGAGGAUGAUCCUACCACAAAUCCCAGUCUAAUCAGAAGAAUACUUCCCCAUCAUAAAAAUAGAGGUAUCUCUAAACCCACAUAUAAGUCUGACCUCUCUAGUAGAGUCAAAUACCCUAUGAGUAAUUUUGUGUCUAACCAUCGCUUGUCAGAAUCAAAUCAGUCAUUUGUGAAUCAGUUAUCUAUUGUGUCUAUUCCUAACAGUGUACAAGAAGCCUUAAAAAAUCCAAAGUAGAAAGCGGCUAUGAAUGACGAAAUGAGAUCUCUUCCAAAAAAAUCAAACAUGGGAACUAGUUGAUCUUCUACUAGGAAAGAAACCAGUGGGUUGCUCUUUAGAAGUAUUUGUCGAGAGAGUUUGAGAUGAAGGAACUCAAAAAUAAAAAUAAAAAUCAUACCCAAUAAAAGAGAAAAAAUAAUCCACAAAAAAAUCAUCAAGAAAAUAAAUUUGAGACAAAGAGAAGAUAUUAAUUAACCCCUGGGUUGCCUUGGAACCACAGCUUUGGCUUCCAUUUUUCAAUUCUUGUCUACAAGUAAUUUCUUGUUUGUUUACAAAGAUGAAGGCUGAUUAAUGAAGCUCUAUUAACAAUGAAUGAAUCAAAAAACUUGAGUCUUGAAAAGACUAACGGUCAUAUUUUUCCAACUCCGAAUUAGUGCCGUUUGAUGAGUCCUUGCUAAAACAAUCACUCGGCAAAAAAUGAUCAUUUUUCAACCAGCAAAACUCAUUCAUUGUUUCUCACCUUAGUCAAGAUUUAAAAAUUGUUUCAAAAUAAGCCUAGUGGUUAGAACCCAAGCGUCACAAUUGUGAUGUCAUGGGUUCGAGCCCCUACAAUAAUUUCCUUCUUCAAUUUGAGUGAAGACGGUACUAUCCCUUUCGAAAUAUGAGUAGAGUGGACGUCCCUCAAAUAUUAGAGAGGGUUAAAAUCUAGGUUGUACUAUAUAAGAUUUGUAAAUUAGUCCUAGUAAUUAUUUGAUUGUAAAUAUUAAUAUACUAAUCUAAUUAAAUAUGGGUUGUAAUCUAAGCAUUAGUCUCAUGUAAUAAAAAAAAUUGUUUCAAAAUGAGAUUCUUAAAAAAAAUAAUAAAAUGAUAUUUAACUUAAUUUUAAUAUAGGAAAAGGACAUCUACACUUCCAAAGUUUGGGGAAAUGGCCAUCAAUAUCCCUAACUUUCCAAAAAGAGACACCAAGACCCCUUUUGACCAUAAUACCCUUUACUUCUAUUAUCCCAAUGUGUGAGAUUUUUCUUUCAUAAAGAAAAGCCACACAUAUCCGGGGAAAUCAUCAAUGACCCUCACUAUGUACCACAUUCCAUCAACUAAUGGUUGCUUGAUAGGCUUGAACACUAAUGGUUCCUUUGCUCUAAACUUUAAAUCCUUGUAUGGUAGUUGAUGUGCUUUACCAUACUGACAUCCCACACAAAUAAUAUUUGUUCUCAUGUCAAGUUUAGAAGGCUCCUUAUGCAUUGAGUUGAUUACCAUUAUACUUAACUUGGAGUUGCUAAUGUGACCUAACGACAUGUGCCAUAAAUCUAUUGUCCUGUCUAUUUUUGUCUUGUUUACAUAUGCAGACUUGCUGAUAUUAUUUAAACUGGCUCCAAACAUCAUCCCUCUAUCAUUGAAUUUUUUGAAACGGUAAUUAUCAGAAACCUCCCCUGAAGUUUGGCGUAUUCUCAGUUUGAUAGAUUAUAUUUGUGUAUUCUCAGCCACCUCCCCUAACGUUAGUAUACCAUUUAGUUGACCGUGUGUUACUUGACAAAAUGACCAAAAUACCUUUGUGUUGAAAAAAAAAACUUUGUUCACACAAAUCAAAGAAUUGUUGGCCAGUCAUAUCUGUUUUAGCGCCAAGAGUUAUGAUUACAUUGUAAAUACCAAAUAAAACAUUGGACGGCCCCCCUGCAUCAACAGAAGGAGCAGAGAUUCUAGUUCACUUUGAGGCAAGAUUUAGGCGUUCAAUCAUUUUUGCAACACCAGUAAUCCCUGCACUCAUCUCAUGCUGAACUUCUUUACCUAGUUGCUUAACUGAAGUAUUCCUAGAGACCAGCCUCUCCUUUAAACUGCAGGUACCUUUUGAGAUUAAUUUCUUAUAUCUGUUAAGAAACAAACGCAAGUCAAAUUGACAAGUUGAAACAUAUAAAUACCAAUUCCAAAUGGAACCAAGUUGCAAAAAAUCUACCUGGCUGAAGCAGCAGACCAUUUCGAUUUUAGACUCUGAGAAGGAGAAUACCUCCGAAGGGUUUGGCCUUCUUGGACUAUCAGGUGGUGAUUAUCUGAAGAAAACUCUGAAAAAAAAAUGAUCUAUUGAAUAAUAUGAAACAUAUAUAUAUAUAUAAUGGAAAUCAAUUAAAUAUAUUUAUAAAUAUAAAAACUUGUGCAAUGGAAGCAAGAGCUUUCUAAGGCAAAAAAAUAUGCAUGAUAAAUCCACUUGUGAAAAGAAGAAGACAACAAUCACGCUUUUCGAAAGUACAUUUACAUACAAAAAAUGGAGAAAAAAGAAUGCAUGUCAGCUUAUAUGAGUGGGCAGAAAUCAUUCGUACUUCCACCCAAGCUGAGUAGCUGACUAUUAUUUCACUGCAUCAUUCAAAAAACUUUUACAGGAAUAAUUCAGCAUUCCAAGCCAAUUCUAGUUUUCUUUAUCCUUUCAAAUAACCUCUCCGGCUUUGCCACCCAAAUGCUAGUUGAAAACAACUUAAAUAUGGAAAAUAAUUGGACUUUUGAGUUCUGAACAAAUACUUGAAUUUAAAAGGGCUAUCUCUGUUAAGAUCAGGAUAAGAUGAGAAGGUCGAGUCAGUUGAUCAUAUGACAGAAAUUGGAAAAUCACUGUAGAUGACCCAUGACAAAAAUUUGGUAUAUUCGUACUUGUUGGCAGCGUUAAAGAAGCAUUUGCAACAGAGCUAGAAUCAACCACUUGGGAAACAUCAAGUCCAGGAUAUCUCUGCAUAUCUCUUNNNNNNUUGAGAACAUAAUUUGAAACCAAACUAAAUAAUCACCAGCCCAUUAUCAAAAUCUUCAGGGAAAGUAACAAGAGCAGCAGGAGCUAUGUGCCUUGACUUGGAGAGCCUUUCACUCUCGAUGGUAGUUAGAACCUCUUGGCUACAAAACAGAAAGACAAACUGAAAUCAAAAGGAGACUAUAUUCCUUUAUCAUUUGAUGCUGGACAAAUAAAGACAUCUAAAUGCAGUGAAGUAGAGCCAUAGUCAAAGAGAAGAAAAGAAUUAAAACCACUAAACUCACUGCUCCAGUGUGAGAGAAUGCAGCAAAUCAUGACAUUUUUUCAACUAAGACAUGUACAUAUCAUGAUAAAAAGAAAAAAAAAAACAAAAUCAAGUAUCCUCAAAAUAUUAAUAUUGCGGCACAAGGAAUCUCCAACACUUAAUUACAUCUGUAAUUUAAUAAAAACUAGCAUGAAUCCAAACAAUCAGUGGCAAUAGCUUAAACAAUUAAAAAUUUUUCAUACCCAUCUUUAAUCAUUCACAAGGCAACAUAAUGUAGCUGAAACCAUCUUCAAUCAAAAUCAGGUGAACAUGCAUUUACAACAAUCAUUAACCUAUAACUAACCCAAUCGAUGGAAAACAAUGGAAGCAACAGAGAUACUCUCAAAAAUUGUCAAGACCCAUUACUCAUUUUUACCAAAUUGAUUAAUUCCAUCUAAUAAAACUGACAUGCACAGUAAUAAGCAUUUUCAUACCUCAUUAGUGGCUCGAACAAACUGAGGUUGUCUGUGGGUCAACAUGGAAACUCACUGGUCGGCAUUCUUCCACCUGGCGGUCGUGAUUCGGUUGUCCCUGCUAUCAGCGUCUUCGAGUUCGUCAUCAUGGUCUCCCGAUCGUGGCACCCUUUUUCUAUUAAAGUAUAGUAUAGAUGAAAGGGGCGUUGUUCUUGGUAGCUCCUGUUUGAACGGAGCAAGAAGAUGCCAUUUUCCUUUCUCAUUUUUUUGUUAUAAUAUUGUCUGUUGGUUAAAAGGAUGUUUUUGUUUUUACCCAUUGGAAUAUUAACAAAAUUCAAAUCAAUUUCAGAAUCCAAUUUGAUAUUUUUAAGUUUGUUUGAAUUUUUUAUUAUUAACGAGUUCUAUUACUAUCUUGCCCUCACUCACUAAACUUAUACUAAACGGUGUAUUAACUUAAGGGGAGGUGGCUGAGAAUACGCGAAUACAAUCUAUCAAAUUGAUAAUACGUCAAACUUUAGGGGAGGUUUGUGAUAAUUACCCUUAUUAAAAUCAAGUAAUCAACUAGCUCUACAAGAAUAUCCCUUUUUAAAGGAAGAUGAUUCUCUCUCUCGAAAUUUUUAUCUCGUGCUACAAACUUAAAACUGAUGCCACUUCAUUAACCACAAAAGAUCUUUGAGGAAAUCUGCUGAAAAAAAAAAAAAAAGAGUCCUUCCAUAUUGUGUGAAGGCUAAUAUAUCGAUGAAUCUAGAUUUCUUUAAAUUUUUUGCUUUACUCAAUUCGAGAUAAUAAUUCAAUCCAUGCAAAUAUCUAUCAUUGUAUGAGCUGACCAGUUAAUAGGUUGAUUGAAUAUGUGCGGUAAAGAUUCCACGUAUCUCAUGACAGAAUGCUGACCACUUCACUGUAGAUGACCCAUGACAAAAAUUUGGUAUAUUCGUACUUGUUGGCAGCGUUAAAGAAGCAUUUGCAACAGAGCUAGAAUCAACCACUUGGGGAACAUCAAGUCCAGGAUAUCUCUGCAUAUCUCUUUUACGAAAAUAUCGAACAGUAGCUAGAUGUUGCAUAACACGUGCUUCCUUAUCAUCGUAACCAAAGUACCAUCUUGAAAUAUCCCAUCUCACAUAUUAGAGAUAUAAUAAUAAACUUUAUCUCACCAACCAAAUAUUUCAAAAUACAAUGUUGAGAACAUAAUUUGAAACCAAACUAAAUAAUCACCAGCCCAUUAUCAAAAUCUUCAGGGAAAGUAACAAGAGCAGCAGGAGCUAUGUGCCUUGACUUGGAGAGCCUUUCACUCGCGAUGGUAGUUAGAACCUCUUGGCUACAAAACAGAAAGACAAACUGAAAUCAAAAGGAGACUAUGUUCCUUUAUCAUUUGACGCUGGACAAAUAAAGAUAUAUGAAUGCAGUGAAGUAGAGCCAGUAGUCAAAGAGAAGAAAAUAAUUAAAACCACUAAGCUCACUGCUCCAGUGUGAGAGAAUGCAGCAAAUCAUUUUUUCAACCAAGACAUGUACAUAUCGUGAUAAAAAGAAAAAAAAACAAAAUCAAGUAUCCUCAAAAUAUUAAUAUUGCGGCACAAGGAAUCUCCAACACUUAAUUACAUCUAUAAUUUAAUAAAAACUAGCAUGAAUCCAAACAAUCAGUGGCAAUAGCUUAAACAAUUAAAAAAUUUUCAUACCCAUCUUCAAUCAUUCACAAGGCAGCGUAAUGUAGCUGAAGCCAUCUUCAAUCAAAAUCAGGUGAACAUGCAUUUACAACAAUCAUUGACCUACAACUAACCCAAUCGAUGGAAAACAAUGGAAGCAACAGAGAUACUCUCAAAAAAUNNNNNNNNNNNNNNNNNNNNNNNNNNNNNNNNNNNNNNNNNNNNNNNNNNNNNNNNNNNNNNNNNNNNNNNNNNNNNNNNNNNNNNNNNNNNNNNNNNNNNNNNNNNNNNNNNNNNNNNNNNNNNNNNNNNNNNNNNNNNNNNNNNNNNNNNNNNNNNNNNNNNNNNNNNNNNNNNNNNNNNNNNNNNNNNNNNNNNNNNNNNNNNNNNNNNNNNNNNNNNNNNNNNNNNNNNNNNNNNNNNNNNNNNNNNNNNNNNNNNNNNNNNNNNNNNNNNNNNNNNNNNNNNNNNNNNNNNNNNNNNNNNNNNNNNNNNNNNNNNNNNNNNNNNNNNNNNNNNNNNNNNNNNNNNNNNNNNNNNNNNNNNNNNNNNNNNNNNNNNNNNNNNNNNNNNNNNNNNNNNNNNNNNNNNNNNNNNNNNNNNNNNNNNNNNNNNNNNNNNNNNNNNNNNNNNNNNNNNNNNNNNNNNNNNNNNNNNNNNNNNNNNNNNNNNNNNNNNNNNNNNNNNNNNNNNNNNNNNNNNNNNNNNNNNNNNNNNNNNNNNNNNNNNNNNNNNNNNNNNNNNNNNNNNNNNNNNNNNNNNNNNNNNNNNNNNNNNNNNNNNNNNNNNNNNNNNNNNNNNNNNNNNNNNNNNNNNNNNNNNNNNNNNNNNNNNNNNNNNNNNNNNNNNNNNNNNNNNNNNNNNNNNNNNNNNNNNNNNNNNNNNNNNNNNNNNNNNNNNNNNNNNNNNNNNNNNNNNNNNNNNNNNNNNNNNNNNNNNNNNNNNNNNNNNNNNNNNNNNNNNNNNNNNNNNNNNNNNNNNNNNNNNNNNNNNNNNNNNNNNNNNNNNNNNNNNNNNNNNNNNNNNNNNNNNNNNNNNNNNNNNNNNNNNNNNNNNNNNNNNNNNNNNNNNNNNNNNNNNNNNNNNNNNNNNNNNNNNNNNNNNNNNNNNNNNNNNNNNNNNNNNNNNNNNNNNNNNNNNNNNNNNNNNNNNNNNNNNNNNNNNNNNNNNNNNNNNNNNNNNNNNNNNNNNNNNNNNNNNNNNNNNNNNNNNNNNNNNNNNNNNNNNNNNNNNNNNNNNNNNNNNNNNNNNNNNNNNNNNNNNNNNNNNNNNNNNNNNNNNNNNNNNNNNNNNNNNNNNNNNNNNNNNNNNNNNNNNNNNNNNNNNNNNNNNNNNNNNNNNNNNNNNNNNNNNNNNNNNNNNNNNNNNNNNNNNNNNNNNNNNNNNNNNNNNNNNNNNNNNNNNNNNNNNNNNNNNUCGGGACUACUGACUUGCACAAGAAAUUCACGGAAUUUAUUUUACUAUUAUAUUUUUAUUCAAAAUAAUUUUAAUUAGCUUUUAAAAUUAAUGAUUUUAGGAAAUAUAAAUAAAGGUAACUAAGAAUUCUCUUAAUGCAAUAUAUUAUUAAUUAGUUUAAAAAUACAAAUUUAUUAAUUAGAGAAAUUAUUAGUGAAUUUAAAUUAAUGAUCUUAAUGAUUUGUUUGUACGAUUGCCCCCAAUCAAAGGUAAUUUUCCUAAAAAUUAUUAGGAAAUUAGAGAAAUUUAAUUUUUUAGUGGGUUCAAUUGCCCACACACCCCGACUGUAUGUCCACCCCUGACCCUGACUGAAGCAUUUUUUACAAUAUGUACUCCGUUUGUCGGCUGGAAAAUAAAGGUCUUGACACAUGAUCACUUCAUUCCUUUAUUUACUUUGCUAAAGCAGAUUUUGAGGUAUUAAAACAAAUAAUAAUUGAAUAUGACUUUGUGGGUCGACGACGCCAGCAACGAGGAGACCGCCAAUGAUCACAUGUUAAGUUUGCUGUAAUUGCCAUUGUUUUAUAUUAGUAGAAUAUUAGUGAUAAGAUAAUUAAAGAAUAUUAUAGGAGAAAUUCUAAUGUUUGUCUUUUAAUAAAUUAGUUUAUAAGUUUAAAAAAAUUAACAUAUAUCAAAAUAUUAUUGAUUGGUGUUGGUUUCACGUCAGAUUAAGACGUGACAUUUUACUUGUGAGAUUGAGACAAUCGUCUUAGACUACUUCAAUAGGUUUGAAGCGUAGGCGGCACCGCUUCAAUUUGCACCAAUGUCUAUCAUUCUUUGUCCUAAUUACUACGAUAAUUAAUAACAUGCAAUUGAAAUUAUUAAUGUUAGUACUUGCCUAUAGAUAAAGUUAUUGUACUUGAAUCUUCACACAUGAUCACUUCAUUCCUUUAUUUACUUUGGUAACACAGAUUUUGAGAGAUAUUAAAACUAAAGAAUAAUUGAAUAUGGCUUUGUGGGUUGAUGAUGCCAGCUCCAACGUGAGUGCAAUUAUCGCAUGUUUAAUUGCUCUAUUAGCCGUGGUCUAUUUCGUGUGGACAAGGAAAACAAAUGCUAAACUUCCACCAGGACCUCGCGGUUUGCCUGUAAUAGGAUACCUCCCGUUUCUCGGAACUACUGACUUGCACAAGACAUUCACGGAAUUAGCUGGUGUGUAUGGUCCAAUCUUCAAGCUCUGGCUUGGCAAAAAAUUGUGUGUAGUGGUGAGCUCACCUUCCCUAGUUAAACAAGUGGUUCGUGAUCAAGAUAUAACAUUCGCUAACCGCGACCCACCGAUAGCUGGACUCGUGGCCUCCUUUGGUGGCAAUGAUAUUUUAUUUUCCAAUUAUGGUCCUGAAUGGAGAAAGUUGCGCAAAUUAUUUGUGGGCAAGUUGAUGAGUAACGCAAGUCUUGACGCUUGUUAUGCUCUAAGAAAACAAGAGGUUAAAAAUAUAAUUAGGGAUUUGUAUAAUAACAACAAAACUGGCAUUGGCAAGCCCAUAGAUGUUGGUGAGUUGUCGAUCUCAACUUUUGUAUGUGUUAUACAGAACAUGCUAUGGGGUGAAGCUCUUGAGUUAAGAGAGAAAGGGAUCAGUAACCUUGGGGCUGAGCUAAAGUUUAAGCUAGCAGAACUCGUGGUGCUAAUGGGAACACAGAAUAUUUCGGAUAUCAUUCCGUGCUUUCAUGGCUUGAUAUACAAGGUAUAGAGAAGAGAACAAAGAAGAUUUCUCUAUGUUUUGAAAAUUUUAUCGAUUCUGCUGUUGAACAGUACAGAAACAAGGUCUCUGUUGUCGAAGGCGAGGGAGGAGCAGGGAACAAUAUUGAAGGAAGGAAUAAAGACUUCUUACAGUUACUCUUGGAGCUUCAGGAAAAUGAGGACAGUGCUUCAUCAAUUAGCACGAUCCAAUUGAAGGCCUUGCUCGUGGUAUGUUGUGCCACUGCCACAAACUGUUGUACAAGCGCAGCUGUAUAAGUUAUGUGUUUUAACUUAUUUUUAAUUAGAAUUUUAUUGUUAUCGUUUUAACAGGACAUAAUUUCUGGUGGAACCGACACAACAACUACAACGGUGGAAUGGACAAUGACAGAGUUGAUGCACAAUCCACGAGUAAUGAAGAAGGUUCAAGAGGAAUUAGCUCAAGUUGUGGGCAUGGACAGCUGUGUUGAAGAAUUUCACUUGCCCAAAUUAAAGUACUUAGAUGCUGUGGUGAAAGAAACAUUUCGGCUGCAUUCUGUGCCCUAUUUAGUACCACGUAGGGCAAGCCAAAGUAGCAGCAUUGGUGGCUAUACUGUUCCUAAAGAUACAACGAUUAUAUUGAAUGUUUGGGCAAUCCACAGAGAUCCUCAAAUUUGGGAUAACCCCUUAGAAUUUGGACCAGAGAAGUUUUUUAAUGAUGGUAUUGCGAGCAAAUUUGAUUACUCGGGUAAUAAUUUUCAGUACUUGCCAUUUGGUGCUGGCAGAAGGAUGUGUGCAGGGAUUGCUCUGGCAGAGAGGAUGCUGAUGUUUGUUCUGGCUUCACUGCUGCACUCAUUUGAUUGGAAAUUACCGGCAGGCACAAAGCUAGACUUAUCUGAAAAGUUUGGGAUUUUGAUUAAGAAAAAGGAGCCUUUGGUAGCUAUUCCAACACCAAGACUACCCAAUUCAGAGCUCUACCAAUAAGACAAAUGGUUGUGAUGGUAUUGUGUCCCACUGUAUUGGAAGAUUUGUAUGUUAUUUCAAGUUCAAUCAUAAUAAGCAUAUUAAUAAAUGUCUUCAGGUUGUUAUUUUUUCACUGGCACAAUCUAUCAUCAUACUCGUGUUUUGGAGCUAUUGAUUUAUUUUUGAAUUGCAAUCUGAAAUAUAUGUACUUUAAAUUUCUUACAAGAUUUUAAAUUUAUAUACAUCUUCAACCCAAAAUCUCCCAAAAAUUCUAAAAUCCAAAAUUUUACAAAGCAUAGACCAAAUUUUUAUACCAACUAAUUUUUUGAUUUAUUCUACACUUUCUAAAAAGAGAGAUGUUUACUCCAAUAUUUGGACUACAAUUAUAUCUAAGCUUAGGUGCCAAAUAAUAAAUUUAUAAGUAAAUUGGAUUUUGAACAUGGAGAGAGUUCUAAAACAACUUGCUUAAAGCAAAUGAACUGUCCAAUUAAUUCAAUUUUUCAAAAACAAAUCUUUAAACAUUCAACGGACAUUUUCACAAGCUCCUGGAAAGCACAAUGUAAAACCCAACAAAGAAUACAAAAAAUCUUUGAACUUUUCACAAGCUUCUUGAAGAGAUGCGACGUCGCUGCUUUGGUAACUCAGAAGGCUCAGAGAUCUUUGAGGAAAUCAUGGUUCGCUUUCUUUUUUAUCUUUCUUCCUAAUCCUUUCAAAUUGUGUGAAGGCCAAUAUAUCCAUGAAUCUAAAUCUCUGUAAAUUUUUUUUGCCCAAAUUUGGAUAAUUAUUUUCUCCAUGCACAAUAUCUAUCACUGUAUUAGCUGUUUUUAUUUAUUUAUUUAUUUAUUUUUGGAGGGGGAGGCAGUUUAGAAGAGCUGGAGGGUGUUCUUGACAGAGCUCAAAUUUGUUGUGUGCUCGUUGGGUGGAUAUAUCCAUCAAAGAUAUCCCGUACAGUGACAUUUGUCGUGAUCAAAUUAUUAGUAGAUCAAUGAUUUCGACAUCUGUUUACUGUAAUAAAAUUUGUCACUAUACAUUGAUGUAAGUAUUUGAUGUGAUUUUCUAACUGCUACCGAUGGGAAACAGUUAGGUUGCAUUUGGGAUUGAGGUGUUGUAGUUUUUAAGCUACAACUGCUGUAAAAGAAAAAAAUUAUAAUUAUGAAAUAAAAGUUAGUAAUAUAUAGUAAAUAUAAUUUUCAAAUAAUAAUUUUGACAAAAUUAUUAAAGAUAUAAUAUAUUUUUUAUGAUACAAGUGAAAAAUCACAUCAACAUAGCUUUCAAUCCACAGCAACUAGUGUUUACCAAACACUUUGCUGUAGCUUUUAAGUUACAGCUGCCCAACCUCAAUCUCAAAUGCACCCUUAAUAGGUGAUUGAAUUUGUGGGAUAUAGAUUCCACAUAUCUUAUGACCUAGUAAUUAUACAAGUGGUUCGUGAUCAAGACACAACAUUUGCUUCCGACCACCCAACAAUCGCUACAUUGUUUGCCACCUAUAGUGCCAACGAUAUUGCACGGUCCAAUUAUGGUCCCCAAUCGAAAACGUUGCGCAAAUUAUUUCUGGGCAAGAUGAUAAGUAACGCAAGCCUUGAUGCUUGUUAUGGUCUAAGAAAACAAGAGGUUAAAAAUACUAUCAGAGAUAUAUAUAAAACAACAACCGAAAAAAUUGAGCAAAUCAUGUGUAGGCAAGAUGACAAGUAACGCAAGCCUUGAUGCUUGUUAUGGUCUAAGAAAACAAGAGGUUAAAAAUACUAUCAGAGAUAUAUAUAAAACAACAACCGAAAAAAUUGAGCAAAUCAUGUGUAGGCAAGAUGACAAGUAACGCAAGCCUUGAUGCUUGUUAUGGUCUAAGAAAACAAGAGGUUAAAAAUACUAUCAGAGAUAUAUAUAAAACAACAACCGAAAAAAUUGAGCAAAUCAUGUGUAGGCAAGAUGACAAGUAACGCAAGCCUUGAUGCUUGUUAUGGUCUAAGAAAACAAGAGGUUAAUAUAUAUAUAUAUAUAAAUUGGCAUUGUCAACUUUAGUAUGUUUUAUUCAGAACCCGCUGUGGGUUGACGCUAGCAUGCUUGCGUUAGGAGACGAGGGGACCAAUCUUAGGGCUGAGCUAAAAUAUAAGCUUGUAGAGAUCAUCUUGCUAAUGGUAAUGUUUUCCGAUGCUGGUUUAAUUCAUGGUAUAAAAAGGAGAACAAAGAAGAUUUUUCUAUGCUUUGAAAAUAUUAUAAUUUUUAGUUUAUAAUUUUUAAUAAAAUCUCUCAUUGAUAGCCAAACAACUAAAAUUUUUGUAAAACUUUUGUGGACUUUUGAUCACGUAUGGUGCCAAUGUAUUGCGUGGUCCUAUUAUGGUUCCAAAUGGAGAAAGUUGCACAAGUUUUUUGAGUACCAGAAGAUCAGUAAUGUAAGCCUUGACGGUUGUUAUGGUCUAAGAAAACAAGAGGUUAAAAAUUCUAUCUGGGAUUUUUAUAACAACAACACAAUUGGCAAGCCCAUUGACAUUGGUGAAUUGUCAGUUUCAACCUUGGUAAGUGCGAUUCAGAACAUGCUGUGGGGUGAAACGCUUGAAAUAACAAAGAAAUGGAUUUACUAAUAUUGGGGCUGGGCUAAGAUUUAAGCUUGCAGAACUCACGGUGCUAGAGGGAACACCGAAUAUUUUGGAUAUCUUUCCAGUGCUUUCAUGGUUUAAUAUACAAGGUUUUCAGAGGAUAGCAAAGAAGAUUUCUCUAUGGUUUUAAAUAUUAUCAAUUCUACUGCUGAACGCUAUAGAAACAACGUCUCUAUUGUCAAAGGUGAAGAAGCAGCAGCAGCAGGGAACAAUAUUGAAGGAAGUGUUGAAAAAUCAUGCACAUGGCAUGCAAAUUCAAGAAAGCAUGCAAUUUUUCAAAGAGCUACCAAACAAUUGAAGAAAAAAUGAAAAGUUGGCAAAUUUGUCAAAUUUGCCAAAUGGACACCAUUUACAUAUUUGCAUGGGUUAGGUGGAAUAGUUCUAGCUUCAAGCCUAUAAAUAGAGAGCAUUUCUUCAUUUCAUUGUAUCCCAAAAUUGUUAAGCUUAUAAGUUUCUAAGCUUUUGAGAAAAGUGAGAGAAGCGUGUCUGGGAAAUUUAUCUUUCCUGCAGAGUGUGAGAGUACUGGGUAUAUUUAGAUUUCUGGGAAGUGAGAUUCGUAACUCAAAUAUUGUACUCUAUUAAUUGUUAAAUAAACAAUUAUUCUUUCUUGCCUCCGUGGAUGUAGGUUUAAUUACCGAACCACGUUAAAUUCUUGUGCCUUUUGUCAUGAAAAGGGCCAUUGGAGGAAAGAUUGUCCAAAGGCUCAAAAGAGAGAUGGGAAGAAACCAGCAGCAGCAAACAUGGCACGGAAAGAUGAGGGCUCUGAUUAUUCACUAAGUAUUACUCCUGCAGCAUACAUGGCUAGUUCGAGCGAGUGGAUACUUGAUACUGGAGCAACUUAUCAUUUGUGUCAUAUUAAGGAAUGGUUUACGGAUUUUCGUAAUCUGGAAUCCGGUGCAGUUGUGAUGGGGAAUGAUCAACAUUGUCACACAAUGGGAAUAGGAACAAUUCGGCUCAAAAUGUUUGAUGGAAUGGUCAGAGAACUCAAAGAGGUUAGAUUUGUUCCAGCUUUAAAGAAAAAUCUAAUUUUUGUGGGUGCUUUGGAAGCUAAAGGCUUCAAGGUUACCAUUGAAGAUGGCACAAUGAAGUUUACACUUGGGGCUAUGGUGAUUCUGCAAGGGGUUCGGCGUCACAAUCUGUACUAUUUGAAGGGAGGUACAACUGAUGAAGCAAAUGUUGUUGAGGCGCACAGUGACACCACCAAGCUAUGGCAUGUACGACUGGGACAUUCUGGAGAGAAGUCUUUGCAAACUCUGAUGAGGCAUGGACUCUUAAAAGGUACUAAAACCUGUAAAUUAAAUUUCUGUGAGCAUUGCGUAGUAGGCAAGAAAACAAGGGUCAAGUUUGGUACAACUAAUCAUGAUACUCGUAAGAUCCUUGAAUAUGAUGUAUGGGGACCAAUAAAGACUGCAUCAAUUGGUGGAAGCGUGGAGACUCAAACUGGCAGAAAGAUGUUCUAGAGAUUUUCGUAAAAUGGAAGAAAUUGGUGGAGACUCAAACUGGCAGAAAGAUCAAAGUAUUACGAUCUGAUAAUGGGGGUGAAUAUACUUCUUAUCCAUUCUUGUAAGUAUGCCAGAAUGAGGGUAUUAAAAGACAUUUCACUGUGAGACAUACUCUGCAGCAAAAUGGUGUGGCUAAGCGUAUGAAUCGUACUUUUCUGGAGAAGGUACGGUGUAUGUUAUCUAAUGCUGGUUUAGAUAAAAAGUUUUGGGCUGAAGCUGUGAGCUACGCAAGUCACUUGAUAAACCGGUUGCCUUCUGCUGCAAUUGGAGGUAAAACUCUUAUGGAAAUGUGGUCUGGAAAGCAUGCACAAGACUAUGAUUCCCUUCGUAUAUUCGAGUGUCCAGCUUAUUAUCAUGUCAAAGAUGGUAAACUAGAUCCUCGUGCUAGAAAAGCUAUCUUUGUGGGAUUCAAAGGUGGAGUAAAGGGCUUCAAGCUUUGGGAUCUCGAAGACUAAAUGUUUGUGUGUAGCAGAGAUGUUUCAUUUGAUGAAGCUUCAAUGAUGAAAGCUUCAAUGAUGAAAGCUUCAAGUUCUCUGCAGGUAGAGAACAAGACCAAAGAGGUAUUGCAGCGGGUGGAGUUUGAUGUAACUCUAUAUGUACCAGUUAGUUCUACAUCAAAGAAGGGUUCAACUAUAGAGGUGACACCUAGAGUUGAAGAAGAGGUUGUUUCUUCUGAUGUCCCACAAAAUGAAGAAAUAAUUGAUAAUGUAGAUAAUGAUGAUUUUAUAGCAACAAGGAGGCCAAGAAGAGAGAUAAAGAAACCCGGAUGGCUUACUAAAGAUAUGGUGGUAGCUUAUGCACUUCCAGUUAUUGAUGAUGACAUCCCCAACACUUUCGGUGAAGCAUUACGCAGCAGUGAAAGUGAUCAGUGGAAGUUAGCCAUGGAGGAAGAGAUAAAAUCUCUCCAUCAAAACCAGACUUGGGAACUUGUAAAGUUACCAAAGGGGAAAAAGGCUAUUGGGAAUAAAUGGGUCUACACUAAAAAGCAAGGAUCUCCAAAUCAAUCAACUCCUCGAUAUAAGGCAAGGCUCGUGGCAAAAGGUUUUGCUCAAAAGGAAGGUAUUGACUACAAUGAAGUUUUCUCUCCAGUUGUAAAACAUACUUCCAUUCGUAUCCUGCUUGCCUUAGUUGCAGAAUAUGAGUUAGAGUUGUCUCAAUUGGAUGUUAAGAUGGCGUUCUUACAUGGAGAUUUGGAGGAGGAAAUCUAUAUGAUUCAGCCUUGUGGUUUCAAAGUUGUUGGAAAGGAGAAUCAUGUAUGUAGAUUGAUUAAAUUUUUGUACGGACUGAAGCAGUCGCCAAGGCAGUGGUACAAAAGAUUUGAUCAAUUUAUACAAGGGCAGAAAUUCACCAGAAGUGAACACGAUCAUUGUGUUUACUUUAGAAGACUACUAGAUGGAGCUUUCAUUUAUUUGUUACUCUAUGUCGACGAUAUGCUUAUAGCUUCAAAGAAUAGAGAUGAAAUCGAAAGAUUAAAGAAGCAGUUGGCUUCUGAGUUCGAGAUGAAAGACUUAGGUGAUGCAAAGAGAAUACUUGGGAUGGAGAUUCGUAGAGACAAGAAGAAUGGGAGCGUAUGGUUGACUCAAAAGUCUUAUUUGAAGAAAGUGCUAGAAAGAUUCGGUAUGGAUGACAAAACUAAACCGGUAUGUACACCUCUAGCUCCUCAUUUCAAAUUAAGCUCUUCUUCAUAUCCUAAAUCUCAAGAGGAGCGCGAUUAUAUGGCUCGUGUUCCAUAUGCUAGUGAUGUGGGUAGUCUUAUGUAUGCUAUGGUAUGCACAAGGCCCGAUAUAUCUCAAGCAGUGAGCAUGGUUAGUAGAUACAUGCACAAUCCUGGUAAAAAUCAAUGGCUUGCGGUAAAGUGGAUUCUCCGAUAUCUGUAUGGGACAGUUGAUGUUGGGUUAUUAUUCAAGAAGGAUUGUGGUCAACAAUGUGUUGGGUAUUGUGAUUCUGAUUUUACUGGAGACCUUGACACGUGAAGAUCAACAACGGGCUACGUAUUCACAUUGGGUGGAGGUCCGGUUAGCUGGAGGUCGAUUCUACAAUCGACAAUUGCUCUGUCCACUACGGAAGCAGAGUAUAUGGCAGCAACUGAAGUUAUAAAAGAAGCUAUCUGGUUGAAAGGUUUGUUAGGUGAUUUGGGAGUAAUCCAGGAGAACAUUACGGUCUUCUGUGAUAAUUAAAGUGCGAUAUUCCUUGCGAAGAAUCAAACAUAUCACGCUCGGACGAAGCACAUAGAUGUGAAAUAUCAUUAUGUGAGGGAGAUUAUCGAGAGCGAUGUUGUGUUGUUGAGAAAGAUUGAUACCAAAGAUAAUCUAUCAGAUAUGUUGACGAAGGUAGUUUCUGGAGUUAAGUUUCAACAUUGCUUGAAACUAAUUCAAAUCAUUCGAUUGUGUUAAGUUAUGUCCUUAGGGAAUUUUGAACUACAGUUGGCUUGAUCCCAAAUUUUGGGUACGUAGGCAGUCACAGAGAUGUAGCCACUUUUGGGGAUGAUGGUUCAUUGGUAGUCGGCUCAGAUUUGGACAAAUUUUGCCUAGGUGGAGAAUUGUUGAAAAAUCAUACACGUGGCAUGCAAAUUCAAGAAAGUAUGCAAUUUUUCAAAGAGCUACCAAACAAUUGAAGAAAAAAAUGAAAAGUUGGCAAAUUUGUCAAAUUUGCCAAAUGGACACCAUUGACAUAUUUGCAUGGGUUAGGUGGAAUAGUGCUUGGGUUAGGUGGAAUAGUACUUGGGUUAGGUGGAAUAGUUCUAGCUUCAAGCCUAUAAAUAGAUAGCCUUUCGUCAUUUCAUUGCAUCCCAAAAUUGUUAAGCUUAUAAGUUUUUAAGCUUUUGAGAGAAGUGAGAGAAGUGUAUCUGGGGAAUUUAUCUUUUCUGCAGAGUGUGAGAGUACUGGGUAUAUUUAGGUUUCUGGGAACUGAGAUUCGUUACUCAAAUAUUGUACUCUAUUAAUUGUUAAAUAAACAAUUAUUCUUUCUUGCCUCCGUGGAUGUAGGUUUAAUUACCGAACCACGUUAAAUUCUUGUAUCUUUUAUUCUUCUAUAAUUAUUUGGUACGCUUGAUUCCGCAUUCCGCUCACAACAGGAAGGAAUAAGGACUUGGUGCAGUUACUCUUGGAGCUUCAAGGUAAAGAAGACAAUGCUUCAUCAAUUAGCAUGACGCAAUUUAAGAGCUUGCUCGUGGAAUGUUUGCGCAACUAGCCACAGACAGUUACAGAAACUGAGUUUGGCAUAUUACGACCGUUUCUGGUGAUUAUAUAAUUAUUUGUGGCUUUUUUUUUUAAUUGGAAUUUUAUUGUAAUUUUCUUAACAGGAUAUAAUUUAGGGUGGAACCAACACCACAACUAUAAUGGUGGAAUGGACAAUGGCAUAAUUGAUACAGCAUCCACAAGUAAUAGAGAAUGUACAGGUAGAACUAAAUCGGGCCGUGGCCAUCGACAGCCAUGUUGAAGAAUUUCACCUACCUAAGUUAAAAUAUUUAGAUGCUGUGGUGAAAGAAACAUUCUGCACUGUAAUAUAAUAUAUGAAUCAUAUGUCCUCUAUUGUUUUUUUAUUUUUCUCUUUUUUUCAAUAGCUUAAUCUAUCGUUAAAAUCUUCUGAAAUUCUAAAUUAAUAUACAUUCAACCUAGAGUUCAAGCCAAAGUUUUAUUGAGCAUUAAAAAAAAAUAUCUACGACUCAAAAUUUUGCGGAGUAUAAAUUAAAAAUUAUGCGCCUACUAAGAGACAAAAAAUAAAUGAUACACAUUAUCCAAUCAAAGGCGAACAAGAGAUUAUUAACAAUAACUUAAUAAUAAAAUUAUAAGGAAUUAAAAAGAAAUGGUACCUAGAAACACAUCACAGCCAUUUAAACAAUCACUUACCCAUAAAAUCCAAACAUAUAAACUAUUGUUNNNNNNNNNNNNNNNNNNNNNNNNNNNNNNNNNNNNNNNNNNNNNNNNNNNNNNNNNNNNNNNNNNNNNNNNNNNNNNNNNNNNNNNNNNNNNNNNNNNNNNNNNNNNNNNNNNNNNNNNNNNNNNNNNNNNNNNNNNNNNNNNNNNNNNNNNNNNNNNNNNNNNNNNNNNNNNNNNNNNNNNNNNNNNNNNNNNNNNNNNNNNNNNNNNNNNNNNNNNNNNNNNNNNNNNNNNNNNNNNNNNNNNNNNNNNNNNNNNNNNNNNNNNNNNNNNNNNNNNNNNNNNNNNNNNNNNNNNNNNNNNNNNNNNNNNNNNNNNNNNNNNNNNNNNNNNNNNNNNNNNNNNNNNNNNNNNNNNNNNNNNNNNNNNNNNNNNNNNNNNNNNNNNNNNNNNNNNNNNNNNNNNNNNNNNNNNNNNNNNNNNNNNNNNNNNNNNNNNNNNNNNNNNNNNNNNNNNNNNNNNNNNNNNNNNNNNNNNNNNNNNNNNNNNNNNNNNNNNNNNNNNNNNNNNNNNNNNNNNNNNNNNNNNNNNNNNNNNNNNNNNNNNNNNNNNNNNNNNNNNNNNNNNNNNNNNNNNNNNNNNNNNNNNNNNNNNNNNNNNNNNNNNNNNNNNNNNNNNNNNNNNNNNNNNNNNNNNNNNNNNNNNNNNNNNNNNNNNNNNNNNNNNNNNNNNNNNNNNNNNNNNNNNNNNNNNNNNNNNNNNNNNNNNNNNNNNNNNNNNNNNNNNNNNNNNNNNNNNNNNNNNNNNNNNNNNNNNNNNNNNNNNNNNNNNNNNNNNNNNNNNNNNNNNNNNNNNNNNNNNNNNNNNNNNNNNNNNNNNNNNNNNNNNNNNNNNNNNNNNNNNNNNNNNNNNNNNNNNNNNNNNNNNNNNNNNNNNNNNNNNNNNNNNNNNNNNNNNNNNNNNNNNNNNNNNNNNNNNNNNNNNNNNNNNNNNNNNNNNNNNNNNNNNNNNNNNNNNNNNNNNNNNNNNNNNNNNNNNNNNNNNNNNNNNNNNNNNNNNNNNNNNNNNNNNNNNNNNNNNNNNNNNNNNNNNNNNNNNNNNNNNNNNNNNNNNNNNNNNNNNNNNNNNNNNNNNNNNNNNNNNNNNNNNNNNNNNNNNNNNNNNNNNNNNNNNNNNNNNNNNNNNNNNNNNNNNNNNNNNNNNNNNNNNNNNNNNNNNNNNNNNNNNNNNNNNNNNNNNNNNNNNNNNNNNNNNNNNNNNNNNNNNNNNNNNNNNNNNNNNNNNNNNNNNNNNNNNNNNNNNNNNNNNNNNNNNNNNNNNNNNNNNNNNNNNNNNNNNNNNNNNNNNNNNNNNNNNNNNNNNNNNNNNNNNNNNNNNNNNNNNNNNNNNNNNNNNNNNNNNNNNNNNNNNNNNNNNNNNNNNNNNNNNNNNNNNNNNNNNNNNNNNNNNNNNNNNNNNNNNNNNNNNNNNNNNNNNNNNNNNNNNNNNNNNNNNNNNNNNNNNNNNNNNNNNNNNNNNNNNCAGGUGUUCAGGUCAUGAUACCUUUGGGUUUCAUGAUAAUCAAAAUUGCAAUACCAUUAAAGACUCAAAAAUCAAAAAAAUCAUAGCCAAUAAAAGAGAAAAAAUAACCCACAAAAAACCCUGGGUUGCCUUGGAACCACGGCUUUGGCUUCCAUUUUUCAAUUCUUGGCGACAAGUAAUUUCUUGUUUGUUUACAAAGAUGACGGCUGAUUAAUGAAGCUCUAUUAACAAUGAAUGAAUCAAAAAACUGGCGCCUUGAAAAGACUAACGGUCAUAUUUUUCAACUCCGAAUUAGUGCCGUUUGAUGAGUCCUUGCCAAAACAAUCACUCGGCAAAUAACAAUCAUUUUUCAACCAGCAAAACUCAUUCAUUGUAUUUCACCUUAGUCAAGAUUUAAAAAUUGUUUCAAAAUAAGCCUAGUGGUUAGAACCCAAGCGUCACAAUUUUGAGGUCAUGGGUUUGAGCCCCCACAACGUAUUGUGGGGGUUAAUUUUCUUCUUCAAUUUGAGUGAAAAUAGUUCUCUCCCUUUCGAAAUGUGGGUGGAUUGGACGUCCCUCAAAUAUUAGAGAGGGUUAAAAUUUGAAUUGUACUAUAUAAGAUUUGUAAAUUAGUCUCAGUAAUUGUCUGAUUGUAAAUAUCAAUAUACUAAUCUAAUUAAAUAUGAGUUGUAAUAUGAGCGUUAGUCUCAUGUAAUUAAAAAAAAAAUGUUUCAAAAUAGGAUUCUUAAAAGGUUGGGGAAAUGGCCAUCAAUAUCCCCAACUUUCCAAAAAGAGACACCAAGACCCCUUUUGACCAUAAUACCCUUUACUUCUAUUAUCCCUAAAAAAUUGACUCUAAUGUUUUAUAAUAAAUAAAAAUAUAACAUUAAAAUAAAUGUAAUAGUAUAUACAUUUUAAAAUAGUUUCAAUAUUUAAAAACCAUUUUAAUAUUUUAAAUCUUANNNNNNNNNNNNNNNNNNNNNNNNNNNNNNNNNNNNNNNNNNNNNNNNNNNNNNNNNNNNNNNNNNNNNNNNNNNNNNNNNNNNNNCGCCCCCGGCGCCAAAAAGAGUCCUUCCAUAUUGUGUGAAGGCUAAUAUAUCGAUGAAUCUAGAGUUCUUUAAAUUUUUUGUUUUACUCAAUUCGAGAUAAUAAUUCAAUCAUAGAUAAUAUUUGUAUGAGCUGAUUGCGUGGAGGGAGCGGUAAUUGAAAUCUAAUUGAAAACAGCAGAAGGCUGUUCUUGACAGAUCUCAAAUUUAUUACGGACACGUUGGGAGACAUCUCUAUCAUAGAUAUCCCCAUGCAGUGAUAUUUGUCGUGAUCUAAUUUUUAGUAAAUCCCCAUGCAGUGAUAUUUGUCGUGAUCUAAUUAUUAGUAAAAUCUAUGAUUUCGCUACUGUGAUACAAUUUGUCACUACUCUACAUUAAUCUAAAUGUCUGAUGAGAUUUGUAAUUGCUUCCGACCGGAAAACAGUUAAUAGGUUGAUUGAAUAUGUGUGGUAAAGAUUCCACGUAUCUCAUGACAGAAUGCUGACCACUGGAACCCUAUCUACUUUUACGCGAUUAAUUCACGAGCUUAGGCACGACAAUUGCAAUACAAAUUAUCCCCUCAUCAUAUAUUUCGUUAAAAUUCAUUCUGAAACACUAAAUAAAACUAAAGAAUAAUUGAAUAUGGCUUUGUGGGUUGAUGAUGCCAGCUCCAACGUGAGUGCAAUUAUCGCAUGUUUAAUUGCUCUAUUAGCCGUGGUCUAUUUCGUGUGGACAAGGAAAACAAAUGCUAAACUUCCACCAGGACCUCGCGGUUUGCCUGUAAUAGGAUACCUCCCGUUUCUCGGAACUACUGACUUGCACAAGACAUUCACGGAAUUAGCUGGUGUGUAUGGUCCAAUCUUCAAGCUCUGGCUUGGCAAAAAAUUGUGUGUAGUGGUGAGCUCACCUUCCCUAGUUAAACAAGUGGUUCGUGAUCAAGAUAUAACAUUCGCUAACCGCGACCCACCGAUCGCUGGACUCGUGGCCUCCUUUGGUGGCAAUGAUAUUUUAUUUUCCAAUUAUGGUCCUGAAUGGAGAAAGUUGCGCAAAUUAUUUAUGGGCAAGUUGAUGAGUAACGCAAGUCUUGACGCUUGUUAUGCUCUAAGAAAACAAGAGGUUAAAAAUAUUAUCAGGGAUUUGUAUAAUAACAACAAAACCGGCAUUGGCAAGCCCAUAGAUGUUGGUGAGUUGUCGAUCUCAACUUUUGUAUGUGUUAUACAGAACAUGCUAUGGGGUGAAGCUCUUGAAUUAAGAGAGAAAGGGAUCAGUAACCUUGGGGCUGAGAUAAAGUUUAAGCUAGCAGAACUCGUGGUGCUAAUGGGAACACCGAAUAUUUCGGAUAUCAUUCCCGUGCUUUCAUGGCUUGAUAUACAAGGUAUAGAGAAGAGAACAAAGAAGAUUUCUCUAUGGUUUGAAAAUUUUAUCGAUUCUGCUGUUGAACAGUACAGAAACAAGGUCUCUGUUGUCGAAGGCGAGGGAGGAGCAGGGAACAAUAUUGAAGGAAGGAAUAAAGACUUCUUACAGUUACUCUUGGAGCUUCAGGAAAAUGAGGACAGUGCUUCAUCAAUUAGCACGAUCCAAUUGAAGGCCUUGCUCGUGGUAUGUUGUGCCACUGCCACAAACUGUUGUACAAGCGCAGCUGUAUAAGUUAUGUGUUUUAACUUAUUUUUAAUUAGAAUUUUAUUGUUAUCGUUUUAACAGGACAUAAUUUCUGGUGGAACCGACACAACAACUACAACGGUGGAAUGGACAAUGACAGAGUUGAUGCACAAUCCACGAGUAAUGAAGAAGGUUCAAGAGGAAUUAGCUCAAGUUGUGGGCAUGGACAGCUGUGUUGAAGAAUUUCACUUGCCCAAAUUAAAGUACUUAGAUGCUGUGGUGAAAGAAACAUUUCGGCUGCAUUCUGUGCCCUAUUUAGUACCACGUAGGGCAAGCCAAAGUAGCAGCAUUGGUGGCUAUACUGUUCCUAAAGAUACAACGAUUAUAUUGAAUGUUUGGGCAAUCCACAGAGAUCCUCAAAUUUGGGAUAACCCCUUAGAAUUUGGACCAGAGAAGUUUUUUAAUGAUGGUAUUGCGAGCAAAUUUGAUUACUCGGGUAAUAAUUUUCAGUACUUGCCAUUUGGUGCUGGCAGAAGGAUGUGUGCAGGGAUUGCUCUGGCAGAGAGGAUGCUGAUGUUUGUUCUGGCUUCACUGCUGCACUCAUUUGAUUGGAAAUUACCGGCAGGCACAAAGCUAGACUUAUCUGAAAAGUUUGGGAUUUUGAUUAAGAAAAAGGAGCCUUUGGUUGCUAUUCCAACACCAAGACUACCCAAUUCAGAGCUCUACCAAUAAGACAAA
rnacentral:lncRNA from 1 species